UUUUUUUUUUUUUUUUUGGUCAAACAAGAUUUUAUAUAUAACUAGUCUCCAUUAGAGGAGAAAUUGUUUACAAAGAUGAUAACAAAGCCAUACUGGCUAACAACUUUGCUGCAACAAAAGGCAAGCAAAAACACAAAGAUAGAAGCAAUCAUUAUACAUAAACAACUAACAUUGCAGAGACGUCCUCGUAUCUUGCCAACACUAGGCUUAAGCAGUGGAAUGAUACUGUGGGAAACAAAGAACACGAUCAGUGAUCUAAUGCUUGUGAUUGGUUCUGCAACUAGUGCAUGAAUAACAAUCUUAACGAUGGCUACAAUAGCAGAGGCGAUGUAACACCAAAAUGCCGAGCCUUUGAACAGUACAGAGAACAAAUCAUCUGUAGAGCAAUCUUCCAAACCAAAGGUUGACCUUGCAACACAUGAGAAGCAACGAUACAAAAGCCAUGGUAAUAGGAAGGUUGAAGUUGGUUUCAAAAGAGUGUUGAUAAACAAGAUCUGAAACCACAACCAAGCUAAAAAUCUGCAAUUUAACAUUGAGUAUUCCACUCUAAAGGAAGUUAAACAGAUCUGAAACCAGGAAGUAAUAGGAAACGGACACUCUAUAGCAGAGUAGAAGGAAGUAACAGGUAAGGAACACUCUAUAACAGAGUAGAGGAUGGACUCAACUAUCGUAAAGGAAUCAAUAGUUGGAUGGAAAUUACCACACAGAGAAGGAUAAGAUAACAAUGGUGUCUCUGGCGGGGGAAGUCGAGCGGCAGCCACAUACUUGGCAGUGAUGGAGCAGAGGCAAGUUACAUCCAGAGGGUCUGGUGGUUCCGGAGGGUCUGGUGGUUCCGACGGCUUGAGGGGAGAGAGAAAUCCAAGCGGGAGGGACUUACACGGUGGUGGAUCCGGAGGAGACCUGAACCGUGGCGGGAGAGGAACAGUCAGCAUCGGAAACAUGAAAGAGGGAGCUUCUUCAGAGGGGGAAAGCUAAACGGCGGUGGUGGAGCAGAGCAGAUCCAUCCGAGCGGCGCACAUCGGGAACCGGGCCUGGGAGGUUUCUUCUAGGGCGAACUUUUUGAUUAUAAUUUUUAAGUUCUGUUUUGUGUUUUUUUUUGGCUAGAAUUUGAUGCAAUCUCUGUUUUGUGUUGCUUUGUGAAAUGUGUAAUAUAUAAAGCUCUGAAAAUAUUCUGAAAACUCUGAUCUUAUUCAUCAAUAGCAAAUGGUUUUAUAUAGCCUUCAAGGUUAACAAACGACUCCUACUUUUACGUUAACACACGAGCUAACAACUAACACAACUUGAGCCUAAAGACUCGGUUGAUUAUUAACCAAAUCAAACAACUAAGACACGUUCAAACUCCAUCAUCUCCUUUAUUCUCGUUUUUCAAUUUGCUCCAACAAACCCUCCCUAAGCUAAGCUUGUCCCACAAGGCUUAACUUAUCAGCUACUGAGCAAAUUCCAAGCUUGCUCCUCAGGUUCUCGAACACUUCACGUCUCAAAGGCUUUGUAAGAAUGUCAGCUAUCUGCUCCUGUGAUCCGCAAUGCUCCAAACUUAUCUCCCCAUUGUUAACCAACUCUCGCAGGAAGUGAAAACGAACUCCAAUGUGCUUGCACCUUCCAUCAAAUACCUGAUUCUUUGACAACUUGAUUGUUGAAGUGUUGUCGCACCAAAUUGUUGUCCCUCCUAGUAUGUGAUGUCCCAACUCCUCCAAUAUCCUCUUGAACCAUACAGCUUGGCAAGCGCAGACUGAUGCAGCAACAUAUUCAGCUUCUGUUGUUGAGAGGGUGACGAUUGGCUGCUUCUUUGAAAGCCAAGAAACUGCAGCAUUAUCCAUAAGAAAGACGUAACCAGAAGUACUCUUUCUGCUCUCAACGUCCCCAGCAAAAUCACUGUCCGUGUAGACUUGUAGCUCACCGUUUCCUCCUCUCUUGUACCAGAUUCCAAAGUCCACCGUUCCUCUCAGAUAUCUCAAUACUCUUUUAGCUGCUUGAACAUGAAGUUGUGUAGGUUUUGACAUGAAGCGACUGAGAAGACUUACUGAAAAUUGCAGGUCUGGUCUUGUAUUAGUGAUGUACAUGAGGCUUCCGAUGAUCUGUUUGUAGAAGGUCUCAUCAACUCGUUCUCCUCCUUCAUCCAUAUCCAUCUUGCUCCCAGGGGCCAUCGGAUUGCUCACUGAGUUGCAAUUCUCCAUGUCAAAACGCUUCAAGAUCUCCAGAGCAUACUUUGAUUGACAGAUGUGAAUGCCGUGUGAUGUCUGUAGUACUUCAAAGCCCAAGAAGUACCUCAUUUUCCCUAGAUCAGUCAUGUCAAACUCCCUUUGCAUAGACUUCUUGAAUUCUUCCAUCAUCUUGAGAUCAUUCCCUGUGUAAAUGAGAUCAUCGACAUAAACACUCACGAUCAAAGUAUUACCAUGUUCUGUUUUUAGAAACAGAGUUUCUUCAUUUGGUGACUUCGUGAAUCCAUCCUUGACAAAGUAGUCUUCAAUUCGACUGAACCAGGCCCUUGGCGCCUGUUUUAGUCCAUACAACGCCUUGUGAAGCUUGUACACUUUGUCUUCCUCCCCCUCAACCUCAUACCCUUUCGGCUGUUGCACAUACUUCUUCUCCGAGGACUCCAUAGAGGAAUGCAGACUUUACAUCUAACUGAUGCACCUCCCAAGUUCUCUGCGCGGCUGUGGCAAGAAUGGUUUUGAUGGUAUCCAUUGUAGCAACAGGAGCAUAAACCUCUAUGUAAUCUAUCCCAUGCUCUUGAGAAUAUUCUUUUGCCACCAAGCGAGCUUUGAACUUGCUUACCUCACCAUUUUCGUUGAAUUUUGUUUUGUAUAGCCACUUCACACCGAUGCAUUUGGCUUUGUCUGGUAAGUCUGCAAGCUCCCACGUCUGGUUCUUUACUAUCGAGUUCAUCUCCUCAUCCAUGGCUUUUCUCCACUUUAGGCUUUUUUCUGCUUCUUCAAAAGUAGAUGGAUCCGUAGCGUUAUGUUCCACCAUGUUGACCAUGUGAACUUCAUCUUCAUCAUCAAUCAUCACACUUCCAGUGACGUAGUCAUUCAGGUAGCGUGGGCGUCUUACUCUUCUACCCUCCCGGGUUUGUACUGCUUGCUCGUUGUGAACUUCCUCUGCCACCUCAACGGGUUGUUCUGGUUCGUUGGCUUGUUCUGGUGCAGCUACCGGAGCCUCAUCAUUGUUUGCAGCUACUGGAACCUCAUCAUCACUUGCUUCUUCUUCACUGUCCUCCCAGCUUACAUUGUCAUCGUUCCAAGUGAGAUCAGACUCUAUCUGAUAGUCUUAUUCUUCUUCCCAGUUCCAACCCUUCUUCUCCUCAAAUACACCAUCUCCGCUUACUACAAUUCUUUUUGUCUUUGGAUUGUAGAACCUAUACGCCUUUGACUCUUCAGAGAAUCCAAUUAGAACACAUACCAUGCUUUUGUCGUCAAGCUUGGUUCGUUUUGCAUCAGAUACAUGGACAUGACUGAGACUUCCCCACACUCGAAAGUGAUCCACACGUGGCUUAACUCCACUCCACGCUUCUUGAGGCGUGAUGUUCUUCACAGCAAGAGUGGGGCAGCGGUUUAGGACGUAGAAUGUCCAGUUCGCAGCUUCAGGCCAGAAGCACUUUGGAGCUUUCUUGGCCGAGAGUAAUGAUCUGACCAUAUUCAUUACCGUUUGAUUCUUCCUCUCUGCAAUGCCGUUUUGCUGUGGAGUGUAAGGCGCGGUCAGUUGUCGUCGGAUCCCAUGCUCUUUGCAGAAGUCUGAGAACUCCUGAGACGUGUAUUCUCCUCCUCUGUCGGUUCGCAGGCCUCUUAUGCUUUUACCAGUCUCAGUCUCAACCUUCUUCUUAAACAAUUUGAACUGGGUGAAUGCGUCUGACUUUUCACUUAAGAAAUACGCCCAUGCCUUGCGGCUGAAGUCAUCAAUGAAGCAUAGUAUGUACCUCUUUCCGUUAGAAGACGUAGGACUGAUGGGCCCACAGAUGUCAGAGUGAAGCAACUCAAGUGUUUCUUUAGCUCUCCAUGUACUCUUCUUAGGGAUGGGAUUUCUUGAUUGCUUCCCCACCAAGCAAUCUGAGCAUGUGAAGCUCUGAGUGUCAAAUACCGGAAGUCCUCGCACCAUCUCUUUGCUCUGCAACGUCUUCAUCCCACGAUGACUGAGAUGACCGUAGCGUUCAUGCCACAGUUUUGGCAUAUCUUCUGUGACUGUCUGGAAGCAAUGUUGCGUUGAUCUCUCAGCUUCACUGGUUUGGUCCGUCAGUAUAAACAUCCUGUUUAUGCUCAUCUUGCUCUCCGCCAACAGACCUCUUUCAUCAUGAUAGAUUUUGCACAUCCCCUUCUGAAUGAUGACAGUGAUGUUCUUCUCUUGCAACUGUCCCAGACUGAGAAGGUUGUUCUUGAGCUCUGGAAUGUAGAAAACAUCGCUUAUGGUGUAAGCCGUGUUUCUAAGCACAAUCUUCACGUUUCCCUUUCCAACAACCUCCAUUUUUUUGUUGUUCCCAAGCUUGACUGAGUGCUUGAACUUCCCAUCCAUUGUAGAGAAUAGCUCUCGAUCACCACUCAUGUGAUUUGAGCACCCUGAGUCUAGGAACCAUGACGUCCUUCUUGCUGUCUCUCGUGCUUCUGAGUGAGUCAUCAGCACCAAGUCAGUGAUGAUCUCUUCAUCAGUCUCUUCUUCUUCAACGUAGGCCAUGAGCAACAUGUCUUCGGUCUCCUCAGCAUAGUUUGCUUCCUCCUCCCACUUUGGACACUCAUAUUGAAAGUGUCCAAGUCUAUGGCACUUGUAACACUCAACAGUGCUUUUGUUGGUGAAGCCUCGACCACGUCCUCUUCCAUUGAACCCUCUUCCUCUGCUUCCCGAACCUCUUCCUUGUGUCACAAUCAACAGCUUGUCUUCUUCCUUUUCUGGCUUUCUGAACUUUUGUUCGUGAACCACCAGAGAACUUUGCAGUUCUUCCACCGUGAUGUUUUCUAUCUCCUUUGACUCUUCUAUGGAGACUACCACGUACAUGAACUUCUCGCUUAGGGUUCUGAGAAUUUUCUCUACUACCUUCUGGUCUGGCAUCUCUUCUCCAUUGCUUCUCAUCUGGUUUGUGAUGGCUAGAACUCUUGUAAAGUAUUCUUCCACCUUCUCAGUCUCCUUCAUUUCCAAUAACUCAAAGUCCCUCCUGAGUUUUUGUAGCAGCGACCUCUUCACACGAUCAUUUCCACCAAACUUCCUCUUCAUGGAGUCCCAAAUGACCUUAGAUGUCUUUCUAUCCAAGAUCUGUUCAAGCGUUACCCUAUCGAUGGACUGAUAGAGGUAGUGCUUGACCUUGUGAUCGUUUGUCUUGGCGUUGUCCAUCUGCUCCCUCUGCUCGGCUGUCAAGAUGGUUGUGAUCGUUGGUUCCUCGUAUCCGGUUUCAAUGACUCUCCACAGUCCCUUGGCACGGAAGAAGUUCUCCAUCACUUCGCUCCAAUGAUCCCAGUGCCCAUCGAACUGCGGCAGUUUCAUCUUAUCAUCUCCCAUCUCUCACAAUUUGUUUGAAAAGCUGCGGCUUUUGAGUUAGAGAACAGAGCUCUGAUACCAAUUUGUAAUAUAUAAAGCUCUGAAAAUAUUCUGAAAACUCUGAUCUUAUUCAUCAAUAGCAAAUGGCUUUAUAUAGCCUUCAAGGUUAACAAACGACUCCUACUUUUACGUUAACACACGAGCUAACAACUAACACAACUUGAGCCUAAAGACUCGGUUGAUUAUUAACCAAAUCAAACAACUAAGACACGUUCAAACUCCAUCAUCUCCUUUAUUCUCGUUCUUCAAUUUGCUCCAACAAAAUGUACCACGAGAGGAUGCGAAGUGAAAGUUCUCUCUUUUGUGUUGCUUUGUGAAAUGUACCACAAGAGGAUGUGAAGUGAAAGUUCUCUGUUUUGUGUUGUUUUGUUUAUUGUACAUUCCUAGUUGUCAUUGAAACAUAAGUCCAAUGAUAAAAAAUUAUGAUGCAAAAGGGUAAAAGAAACAAAACAGCAAAUUGACUCAAAUGACAUACAUACAAGGUAAGUAAGAAGAAAACUAAUGAACCAAAUACCUAUUCUGAAAUUAUGUUGUUUUCUCCAACAACACAUACUCUGUUUAAAACAUUUAAAUAGCUAAAAUCGAUGGUAUAAAAUCGACAAAAAUCUUAUAUAUUAAAAGAGAAGUCACAACCUUUAUUCAUGUGUGACUUUUUUUUUAAAAAAAUAGACCUAAUAAACCUAUUACUAUAAAGUUAUGUUACAUUUAAUUUCUAAUCUUAUCAUUCUUAUAGAUCUAAAUAACUCACUUUCUAGAUUAUAUGAACUAAAUAAUAUGUCUACUACAUUAUAUGAACUAAAUAAUUAUCCUUAAUUAAUAUAUAGGAGACUAAAAAAAAUCCUCACGGUCGUGCAGGUCAAUCUAGUUAUUGUUUAAAAAAAAAAUUACAAACUUUUAAUUUCAAUGGACUUUGUUCAUUGUUUGUAGAAUAUGUUAGAGCACAAAAUUAGAUAACAGAUCCUUACAUUAUGAGAAUUAUUCUAGAUAAGAUGAGAAAACAUAUUUUAUCCUGUUAACAUAGACAUAAAACUAUAUCUAGAUAUCGAAGGAUCUUCACACUCUGUAGCAUGUAACGAAGUUUCACAUUCUUCAUGCAAAAGUGUUUUUUUUUCUCUGUUGUCUUAUAUUCCUCGUUUCCAUCAUUGGGUCUAAUUUUACAAAGUGAGAUUAAUAUUCUAAUUUUUGUCUAUUUAAUUAACUCCUUUUUUUUUAAUUUACUGUAAAAACAAGGAAAGAGAUUAGCAGAGGCCGAAAGUGUUAAACUUUCUUCUUGAAUUGUGUGUUGAUGCCAAAGUAACAAACUGCGGAAUCAAAUCUACCAGAUCUGUUUUCCAAACGUUAUAAGAAGGAAAAAAAAAACGACCCUUUCUUUUGUGUUUAACAUUAAACGCCUAAAACAUACGCGACCCCCUGUUUUAGGAGAAGGGCACAAAGUCUCUUCCUUUACCAUCCCGCACGUUCCGCCCCGGGUCGGGUCAAUGUCAAUAACGACGGGAACUGUUUAUAAUCAUCCAAGUUCACACCAACUACUUGAGAGAUCUCUUAAUUCAAACUGUUGAGAUACAUUUUUAGGGUUUUAAUCAAAAUCACGUGGAGAUGAUUGAGAAUGAGAGCUCUUCCUUUGAUUACCGGAGCAUUCGAGAAGUCGCUUGCAACGCCGCCGCCGGAGCCACCGCAGGUUCAGUUUCGAUGAUCUUUGUUUCUGUUUUUUCUUUCAGUUUCUUUCUCUUGAGUCUCGGUGGUGAGUUUAUUUGGUUUGUGGAACUUUUUUCAGGGGCGAUCGCGGCGACUUUUGUUUGUCCAUUGGAUGUGAUCAAAACGAGGUUACAGGUUGUUGGUCUCCCGGAAGCUCCAGCCUCGGGGAAGAGAGGUAACUUAGUUUGCUUCACAAUGUUAACAAGGGUGUAGAUCUUAUGUGAUGAUGAAUGAUGACAUGUGAUUUUGUAUGUUUAAUCAAGACUCUCUCCUGAGCUGUGCUUAGAGAUGCUAACAGUAUGAAGCUUAGUUUGCUUUAGAAUGUUAAAAAAAGUAUAUGUUAGCUGUAAAUCUUAUUGUGUGAUGACGAUAUGUGAUCUUUGUAUGCAAUUUUUUUGUUUGUUUGUUGCAUGUUUGAUCUACACUCUCUCUCUCUCUCUCUGGAGCUAUGCUUAUAGGUGCUAACAAUUUGAAGCUUAGUUUGCAUAAGAAUGUUAAUAGGUAGAUCUUGUUUAUGUGAUGAUGAUAUGUGUAUGCAAUUUUUCCGUUUUUUUUUGUUUUGUUGAAGUUUGUUGCAUGUUGAUCAAGACUCUCUCUCUCUGGAUCUGUUGAUAUAUCAGGUAGCGUGAUCAUUACAAGCCUACAGGGUAUAGUUAAGAAGGACGGUUUUAGGGGAAUGUAUCGAGGUCUUUCACCAACCAUCAUUGCUCUCCUUCCCAAUUGGGCUGUAAGCGCUUCUUUUCUUCUCUGCUGGCCUUUGUUUUUUCAGUAAUUUCCCAACAUUCUCCUACGGAUCUGCUAUGUCUUUCCUUGUAAUCAAGAUAUUCUGAAACAUGCGCAGGUUUACUUCUCUGUUUAUGGGAAGCUAAAGGAUGUACUUCAGUCAAGUGGUUUGUUCUCAUCAUUAACAAAUGACAAAUCUUUUUGUGCUUUAUAUUUUGCUUAUGCAGCGCUGGAAGAGUAUUGUUGUCCAGUGAUUUCGUAAUUUGGUUUUCUUUUUACCUAAUUCUUUUGGAUCGUUCGGUCUUUUCAUGAUAGAUGGCAAGCUUAGUGUUGGGGCAAACAUGGUAGCGGCUGCUGGUGCCGGAGCUGCCACUUCUAUUGCAACUAAUCCACUUUGGGUUGUCAAGACAAGACUAAUGGUAGAGCUUUUGUUCGCUUUCUUUGGUUUCAGCAUUACUUUACAUUCUAGAUUGUUUUCUUCUUAUUGUGUGUUUAUUCUCACACUUUGAUUCAGACACAAGGAAUUAGGACGGAUGUGGUACCUUACAAAAGCAUUAUAUCUGCUUUUAGUAGGAUUUGUCAUGAAGAAGGAUUGCGAGGGCUUUACAGGUCACUAUUGGCAAUGAAACUCAGUCACUUUGAAACCCUUUUUCUUGUGACUUAUAUCAGUUAUAUUUUUCCUGUGUUGGAACAGUGGCAUUUUACCUUCUUUGGCGGGGAUUAGCCAUGUUGCAAUCCAGUUUCCAGCAUAUGAAAAGAUCAAGCAAUACAUGGCAAACAUAGGUAAAACAUGAUUCCUCCACUAAAUUACAUAAUCUAUUUCAUAUGCUGUUCCCAAAUCCCAACUGGUUUCUGAUCAUAUCUAGUUAAAGCUCUCAGAUAAUACAUCCGUCGAUAAUCUAAGUCCUGGCAGUGUAGCUAUUGCCUCUUCAAUCGCGAAAGUACUCGCCUCUGUUUUGACUUACCCACACGAGGUCUCUCUCUCCUCCUGUUCCUCUAUCAACCUCACUCUUAGGCUCAUAACUAACUGAUCCGGGACUAAGAUAGGUUUAUGUUACGUUAACAGGUAAUUAGAGCCAAACUUCAAGAACAAGGGCAAAUGAGAAACGCUGAGACUAAGUAUUCCGGAGUUGUUGAUUGCGUCAAGAAGGUGUUUAGAAGCGAAGGGAUUCCUGGAAUGUACCGUGGAUGUGCCACUAAUCUAUUAAGGACAACUCCAUCAGCAGUUAUUACAUUUACAACCUAUGAGAUGAUGCUGAGAUUUUUCCGACAAGUUGUGCCACCAGAGACUAAUAAAUCAUACAAUCACAAUAGAGAAGAAGAAACGAAAAGUUUAGUUAGUCGACAGGGAGCAGAAGAAGAAGAGAGCUUGAGAGAAUCACAAACUCAAUCUAAUAAGAUCAACACUUCACCUAUCCCUCUUGGAAGCAAAUAAGGCUUGUUUUCAGACUGGAGACAUGCUCAUAGUCCUAAGUUUUCUUGUUUCAGUUGAGUGAUUUUUCCCCUUGCGGUGAUCAAGUUGUAACCUGAUCUCGUCGUUCUAACAAAUGUAUAACCUAUCAAUACAUACUUUUUUGGCCCUUCUGAGUUUAAAUGAUAAGAGAAUAUUUGAAGAUCACACUCUAUGUGCAAAUUGCAGGUUGUGAGAUGUAUAGAAAGCGAUUUGAGUAUUUCAAAUGUAGAUGCUUUGGAUGUAAUUUUGUGGACUUUAAUGAUAGAGGCUGCAAGAAAAGGAAGAGGAUUUGGUUUCCUUGUUCUUUCUCAGUACUGGGGGCGCUUCACCUACCACGAGGUAACAGAAUCUUCUUAUCGGGCUUUAAGCAGAACUAAUGGAAGGCACCUGGUUCUGGUUAGAGAGAUUUUUUUUACAGCCUUUGGAAUCUUUUCUUUUAUACCAAUGAUGCAUGCAAAUUAGUUUCUGGUUGACUCAGUAGAUGCUAUUGGCAUCAUUAUGGAGCUGAUUGGUGCGAGUAAUCUUAGUCAAGCAAACUCUUAGUCAAUUUUUUUUUUUUUUUUGUUCAUUUGAGUUAAUAUUACAUACAGAUACAGUCACAUAUAUUGAGUAUGGUAGACAAAAUUAGACAUAGAAAAUUCGUGAUUAGUAGUUCAAGUUAAGUCACUAUGUAUAUUUUCUCAAUACCUGCAACUUCACAACUCUGUGUUUCAUCUUAUAUCUUUCCACUGACACAAAUGAGAAGAAAGCAAAACCUGAUGGUACCUUAGCAACUGUAGGCACUGGUGUUCGGUGUGGUUGAUUUACUGGUCCAUUGUUCAGUCACAGAGAUGGGUGAUCGUGGGAAUUUUUUAUUCUCUAUGAGCGAAGCUUCUCCCCAAUCCGGUGGCGAAGGAUGCGGAGUUACUGUCUCUUCUCUGUAGUUGUAGUAUUGACAUUUUUGCUCCCCGUUCUGGAUCUCCUUUAGCUCUUUCACAACCUGUUCCAUUGUAGGUCUCAUUGUACCAUCUUGCUGCAAGCACUGAAAAGCCAAACCUGCCACCAUUGUAGUCAUUUUCCUAACUCCUUCAUUGGUUCCGUAUCCAAGACUCUGAUCAAUCAGCUCGUGUGUCGCGUUGUUCUGUAUCAUGUUUAUAGCUAAGCUUGAUAGGUUGAUCUCACUCUUGGACCUGUUUAUAUCAACAGCAGGCUUCGAGGAUAUCAGCUCGACAAGAACCACUCCGAAGCUGUAUACAUCGCUCUUGUCGGUUAGAUGAUAACAGGUAUGAUACUCAGGAUCCACGUAUCCCGCAGUGCCCUGAGGAGCAGUUGAAACAUGAGUUGCAUCAGUCGGGAACAACCUCGACAGUCCGAAAUCCGCAACUUUGACUCCGUAGUUCCGGUCGAGGAGAAUGUUUGUAGUCUUGACAUCGCGGUGAAUGAUAUCAGAAGCGUGAAGGUAAGCCAAAGCGGUCGCUGUUUCAAUGGCGAUGCUCAUGCGCAUCGACCAUGUUAAAAAGCCUUGGUGUGUUGGGUUUUCAGUUUCACCGAAGAGAUGAUCUGCAACCGUGCCGUUUGGAAUAAACUCGUAGACGAGGAGAAGCUCUCUGCUGCGACGUGAAGUGCAUCCGUAGAGAGAGACUAGGUUCUUGUGAUGGAGACGUGUGAGGAUCUCUAUCUCGUUCAUGAACUGCUCGAGCCUUCUGUAGUUGUGCUCAUAGAGACGCUUCACUGCAACUUCUCGUCCAUCACGCACUUUUCCUGAGAUUAGAGAAGGAAGUAAACAUUGCUUAACAGAGAGAUGUCACUUCCUAUUAAUGUUAGUGCUUUGAUCAAUCUUACCAUAGUAGACAGUGCCAAAGCCUCCAUCUCCUAGUAACCUGUCUUUACUGAAGUUGUCUGUGGCUUCUUGAAGUUCUUUAUAGGAGAAGAUUGGUAUCUUAAAGAAGACAUGACUAAACUCAACGUCAGAGUUCGAGUUGUAUGUUGAGAUGAGGUCUGAACUGGUUUUCCUUCUCCAAUUCCUUUGGAUGAAGAUAAAGAGUGCAACCAAGCUGAUUAUCAAGAUGAGAAAUCCUCCGAUUCCUGGACAAUUGGGGAGGAAGUUGAUUCAAAUUGGAAAGUAUGUGGAGAAAGAUAAAGAAACUAAUUGGGCUAAACAGAACAGCUCUCUUGUUUACCUAAUCCUAGCUUUAACUUCACAUCUUGGUAGUCUUCUACAACAAAGAAGAGGGAAAUUAAAUUAUUGUCAUCUGCAUAUGUUUCAUUCAUCAUUCAUGGUUCAUUGUGCAUACCUUUGCCUCCUCCACGGCAGUGAAACUUGUCUUUGAUCAUCGUACAUUCUCCUCCUCGUCUAUAGCAGUGACGGCAGGCUCGAGUCACGUUUGUACGAAGAGAGAAAGUAGCAUUAAGAAUAAUAGACUGGUUCUUGUUUCUUGAAAUAUUCCAGCUCUCUGGAGUCUUGAUAAUUGAACACCCUGAAUGAUCUGUCAAAUUGGAGUAGUACAAGCUGCUUCCUCCUCCUUUGCAAUUUGCAUAAGUGAAACCAUUCUCCCUACUGUUGUUGCAUUUGUACAAAGUGGUCAAUUCGAGCCAUGGAGAAUCUGGAAGAGAGAAGUUUGACAAGUCAGUACAUGAUCCUGCUUCCAAGCUUUUGUUAAGCCUCGGGUCGGUGAUAGUUAUGGUGUUGGCUUGAGAGACGCUCUUCACUUUGUACCAUUUCCCAUUUUCCUCAAGCUGCAUCUCUGAAAUCUGGUGAUCAGUGCACUUCAGCCUGAACAGACCGCAUCGAGACCGCAUGGUUGUGUUAAAGAAAGGGAACCUGAAGUCGAGGCUUCCACAAGAGAAUGUCUUGGCACAAUCUGUCAUUUUCUUUCUCCUGGCUUCUGCGAUGAGAAAGAAGAGGAAGAAGAAGACCAACACAGAGAUAGUCUUCAUUGGUGAUGUGAUUACAGACUUGUGAUUCUUGAUAUCUAGAUCUACAAAAUAUCAAGACUUAUAUUCCAUUUUCUGAAGAAACUAGAUUAUAUAUUUCUCCUCCUACCCGUUUGUUAUAUGGUCCUUCUUUGAAUGGUAUUACGACAGGAGAGUUGACUUGUGCGGAAAUUCAGACAGAACUGUAGAGGAAGAAGAGCAUGGUUUAUGAGGUUGCAAGAGAAGAAGAUGAAGAUAUGUGGGGCAGCUUUGAAAAAAACUGUGCAAUAGUCUUUGAAGCUUGCUGCUAUAUUGGAAAAAAAGAACGUAUGAGAUUGGUUUUGACCGGAGACUCUGGCGGAAUGGGAAACUUUCAAUUCAAUAGAAAUUUGGGUUUACCUUUUGGUCGAAAUUGCAUGUAUCAGAUUUGACCACACACCACUUAUCUUAAUAUCUUCAUGUCUUGUCAACCUCCUAUCGAGUCUUCCAUUAUUAAAGCGUUAGAAGCACUGAAAGUGAGACUCUAUGGUUUUGUUUGCUCUUUAGAGAUCUUCUGAGUAUGCUUUGCUUUAAUAUUUAUAACCGGUUUAGGAUAUUACAUAAUGCAUUGAAAAAUCAUGGAAAGUGAUAAGAUUAAUUAUAUUUUAAAAAUUGAUAAUGAUGUCUUGCUAGACACCAAAGAAGACGAGAGUCUGAUCAUGAUAUUAUUAAGAUAGAAAUAGCGAGCAACUUGCGGAAAAGAGAAUAUCUUAAAAAAAAGAGAGAUUUGUAUUGAUGAAACACGUUCUAUGUAGAAUAAAGACGACACGAGGGCUACUGCAUAUUCAUGUGUUCGACUAAUUUGAUUCUGUCGAGCUAUAAAUAUAUAAUUAAGAUUAGUCAAAAAAAAUAUAAUUACCCUUUCCGAGAUUCUUAGUGUUUUGAGUUAACUAUAUACUCUCUUUUAAAAAUCACUGACGAUGCAUAUAAGGGGUUAUACGUUCAAUCAUUGAUCAAAAUGAUCAUAAUUACAUUGGCCCUGUUCGUUUGGAGGUCGCUAGCGUCAGCGACCAACCUGAGCGACUAAACGUUGUUCGUUUACCGGUCGCACGUUCAGCGACUGAUCGCAGCGACCAGACGCUAGCGACCCGCGAUUAAAAAUUUUGAUCGCCGAGAAAUUCAGCGUUUGCGACCAAAACCUGCGAUCAGAAAAAAAAAAAACUCAAAAUACAAAAAUACCCUCAAUCUAUCUUCAAAAUUACAAAACAAUACCAUUAAACCUAAAUCCUAAAAUCUCUCUCGCUCUCUCUCUCUCUCUCUCUCUCUCUCUCUCUCUCUCUCUCUCUCUUCACCAUCUCUCACGAUCUCUCAGGCCUCGGCUCUCUCUCUCUCCCUUCACCAUCUCUCACGCCUCUCUCACACCUCUCUUCACCAUCUCUCACGAUCUCUCAUCUCCAUCUCUCACACCUCUCUUCACCAUCUCUCACGAUCUCUCUCCACCAUCUCUCACGCUUCUCUCCACCAUCUCUCACGCCUUAGCUCUCUUAAAGGUCAGUCCCCUCUCUCUCUCUCUCUCUCUCUCUCUCUCUCUCUCUCUCUCUCUCUCUCUCUCUCUCUCUCUCUCUCUCUCUCUUUCUCUCUCUCUUCUGUUAGAAUAAUGGAACCUUUAGAUUAAUUAAGUUGGAUGUUGGGUUUUUUGAUUCUUGAUAUGGGUUACUUUUAGAUUCAAGAUUUUGAUUAUCAAAUCUCUGUUUUUAAUCUGAUUAUCAGACAUGUGUUUUAUGGGUUUGAGUUCCUGUGAAUGUUUUCAGACAUGGGUUUGAGUUCUUUUUGGUCUGUGACGUUUUGUUUAAGUCAAAUUUAUUGUUUAUAGUUUGGUCACUUAGGUCUGUAUUAUCUUUUCAGGUUUGGACAUAAAUCACAACAAGAUAAGACAAGAAGAAUGGCUGAUGACGUAAGUAUUUUAGGCAGUUCUAGUUUCUUAGAUUUUUUGUAAUUGUUUUUUCUGCUAGUUUAGCUUGUUUGUCUAUUGAUGAGACUUGUUAUUUAGAAAUGGACCGAUGAAGAAGUUAGGUAUUUCUUUGCUCUUUAUGCUGAUGAGAAAAAGAAAGGGAACAGACCAAGGAGUGGCAUGAAUCUAGCUGGAAGAGAGUUCAUCGUAAAUAAGUUUGAAGAGAAAUUUGGUAAGAGAUGGAUAUGGGACAGGUUUAAGAACAAGGUUGAUAUUAGUAGAAAAGCAUAUGUCAAGUUUAAGAAGCUUACCCACAAUAGAACCGGGCUUGUCUAUGAUGCUUUGGGAAGGUUGGAGAUGCCGGAUGCUUGGUGGGAUCAACGCAUUGCGGUAAGUAUCUUUCUCUUAGUCUUCAGUGUAUUAGAGUUCUCUUUCUGCAUUUAAAAAAUUUACUCACAUCUAUUGUUUUUGUAAUGAGAUUUAUACUCUUAUGCCUCUUGGAUCUGUCUAUAAUUGAUUUUAGCUGAGAUGAAUUAGUGGUCAUUGACUGUUUAAUAUAUCUUUUGUGAAUAUGCUUGAAUGAUGGAAUAUUUUAACUUUGAUAUGAAGUUCAUAUAUGCUUAUGUGGGUGUGCCGGGUAGAGCUCAUGACACAAAGGUAUUAACUUAUUGUGCGAGGAAUGAGCCUUUUUUUCCACAUCCGCCAAAUGGAAAGUAUUAUUUGGUUGAUGCUGGAUAUCCCACAAGAACAGGGUAUCUUGGUCCGUAUCGUAGAGUUCGAUAUCAUCUCGAUCAGUUCAACAGAGGAGGACCACCAACGAACACUCGAGAGGUGUUCAACCGGAGACAUUCAAGCUUGCGAUCAGUGAUUGAGCGGACAUUUGGAGUGUGGAAAGCAAAAUGGAGGAUUCUUGACCGUAGGCAUCCAAAAUAUGGUUUGAUCAAAUGGAUAAAGCUAGUGACGGCAACGAUGGCUCUACACAACUUCAUACGUGAUUCACAUCGAGAAGAUAAUGAUUUUGUGCAUUGGCAGAGAAGAGAAGAAUAUCAUACUCAUGGUGAUAAUGAUGAAGAAGAAAGAGAUGAAGAGGAAGAUGAAGAUGAAGAUGAAGAUGAAGAUGAAGAAGAAGAAGAAGAUGGUGAUGGUCAUGGUGGACAUAUUCCAUAUGAGCCGACUGGUGAUAGAGCCAUGGAAGGUUUACGUGAUCGUAUUGGUAAUGAGUUGAGUAGAGGAUAUCGAUUACCUUACUAGUUUAUUUGAUUUGAGUUUGUACUGAUUAUUAUUAUAAGUUACUCGUAUGAUCACUUUUUUUUUAUUAUUUAGACUUUUUCAAUAUUCUAAGUUACAAGGAAUAAUAUUCAAGUGUAGACUUUUUAAUUAGAGUUAUAGUUUAUUAAUGUGACAACUCAUAAACAAAAGUGAACUUGUACAAGGAAAAAUAUAAGAAACUGAAACGAUUAAACAUAUUGCAUCCAUGGUGUGAUUUAUUACACUUUACAGUUUUAAUGAUUUAGCCACGUUUUUGACGAAACCUAAGUACACAAGAGCAAAUGUAUGUCAAAAGUAAAUAUUUGAUCGCCAGCGAUACAGAAACGAACAGCAUAGCGACAACCGCUGCGAUCAAUCGCGCGACAUAGAAACGAACAACAUAGCGACAACCGCUGCGAUCAAUCGCGCGACCUUCAAACGAACAACUAUCAGCGACAUCAUGUCGCAGUCGCUGGUCGCUGACUCUGGUCGCUGACGCUGGCGACCACGAAACGAACAGGGCCAAUAAGUGCAUAGAUUGACAGUUCAGCGACUAAUCUUCGAACAUAUUUGCAUAGAGGAAAAAAUAAGUGGUAGAGAGAAAAGAGAGAGAUUCUACAUGUCGGUUUUAUGAUUGGUCGGAAGUCAAUUUUGGGAUGUUGAAUCUUGGAGGCUCCUUUCAUAAAACUCAAGUUGGCCAACUCUUUUUGCCCUUUUGUUACUCUCUGUAAGUACUUGAUCUAAUAGACUUCAAGGCUUCAAUUCUAACCGCUCCGAAAUACGCCUGAGAGCAAAACCAAAACUCUAAUCGCUCCAAAAAUGGUCUUAGAGCAAAACGUAGUAUUUUAUUUUUCUACAUCUGAGUUUAUGAGUUCAUGAAGAGACAUGAAGACAAACUCGUACCAUUCUCCGAACCCAGAUUUUUUUGUUUCAGGGAAAGCUUGUCGGUAGCAUUCACAUCGUUUGAUCUCCUACUGGAUGUGAUCUUUGAUGCAUGUAACUCAACUAGACAAACACGUCAUGAGAAAAAAAAAAUAAUAAUAAUUGCCACUACACCAAAUAUAAACUAGGGACCUAUAAACUAUCCAAUAUCCACCCAAAAGUAUAUAAUACUAAUUGUAUCACUAAUAAGACACUAACUAUAGGUGCUAACGUUUAACAUCCCCCGUAAAUAAAUCCUCAGACAUUGGUUAAAUGACAACUUUGAGAAAUGUUUACAUGUCAAGCCAAGAGCACUACUCAGCCUCUUUUAUUUAAUUGGACGAGCCUUACUAAAAUUAUUAAAAAAUAGCAUUAAUGAACCACUCAAUAUUUUAUUAUAUAUCAUUAAAUUCUAAUACGAAAAGAAAUAACCAUUUAAUUAUUUCCUCUGCUGUUUGGCCAUUUAAUGUAUUAAGAAAACAUAAUUAUUUUUUUUGGAAAUGAAGAUCAGAAAAAUAUGAUGAAGCCGAAGGGAUUCCGGCAAAUUGUAUACAUACUAGGAUAAGACCUGCGCCUUGCGCAGGGUGAGUUUAUUUGUAUAUAUUAUCGAUAGUUUCUUUUAUACAUUUGAUCAUUUUAUUUAUAUAUAUAAUAUUUAUUGUUGUUAUUAUAUAAUUUCUUUCCAAUGAAUCAGAUCAAUUUUUAUUAAAAAUAAUGGAACAAAAGUAUAAUUAAUACAUCAUGAGUUGAUCGGAUUGAACAUUAAACAAAUUAUGACUUAAAACAUUAUUUUUUUCAUCGAACACAUUCUUGAAAAAAGUGAACAGUAUUGUUUUCACAGUUGAAUUAUUUUGACUUUUAUCUUCUAUAUGGUUUUGAAAACUUUCAAAUCAACCAUCGAAUUGAUACAUGUCAUUUUAAUGUUUUUAGUCGUAUACUUACGGAAAACUUACAUUAAUUUAAAAUCGUUUUUAAAAAAUCAAAAUAUAAUAUAUAAGAAAAAAUCUAACAUAUAAAAAAAAUAUAACAUAUAAGGUGUCCUCAUUUUUGUAUUUUAAAUUCGUUUAAAAAAAAUAUAACAUAUAUAAGGUUUCCUCAUUUUUAUAAUUUAAAGUCAUUUUAAGAAAUUCAAAAUAUAACAUAUAAGAAAAAAUCUAAUUUUUUUAUUAUGUGGUUAAUGUGAUUGUUUAUUUUUUUAAUAAUAUAAAAUUAAACAAAAUGAAGAAGGAUGCAAAAAUUGUUAUCAAAUCUUUAUUAUUCAUAAUCAUUAAUUGCCAUAUAUAUGUAAAUAAUAUUAGGUAAUUUAGUAGCAUUUAUUUAGGGAAAGAAUACACACAUCUUAUAUUUUAGGUUAAUAUAAUGUUCUCUAGUGGACAUUAACCAAAUUAUGACAUAAAAACCUUAUUUUUCCCCUCGAACACAUUCUUGAAAAAGUGAACAGUAUUGUUUUCAUAUUUGAAUUAAUUUGACUUUUAUCUUACAUAUGGUUUUGAAAACUUUCAAAUCAACCAGCAAACUGAUACAUGUCAUUUCAAUGUUUUUAGUGGUAUACUUAAGAAAAACUUACUUUUUUGUAAUUUAAAGUCGUUUUAAAAAAUUCAAAAUAUAACAUAUAAGAAAAAUAUAACAUAUAAGAAAAAUAUAACAUAUAAGGUGUCCUCAUUUUUGUAUUUUAAAGUCGUUUUAAAGAAAUAUAUAACAUAUAAGGUUUCUUCAUUUUUGUAAUUUAAAAUCAUUUAAAAAAAUUCAAAAUAUAACAUAUAAGAAAACAUCUAAUUUUUUAAUUAUAUGGUUAAUGUGAUUGUUUAUUUUUUUAAAAAAUAUAAAAUUAAACAAAAAUGAAGAAGGAUGCAAAAAUUGUUAUCAAAUCUUUAUUAUUCAAAAUCAUCAAUUGUCAUAUAUAUGUAAAUCAUAUUAGGUAAUUCGGUAACUUUUAUUUAAGGAAAGAAUACACACUUCUUAUAUUUUAGGUUAAUAUAAUGUUCUCUACUGAACAUUAAACAAAUUAUGACAUAAAAACCUGAUUUUUUUCAUCGAACACAUUUUUGAAAAAAGUUAACAGUAUUGUUUCCACAGUUAAAUUAUUUUGAAUUUUAUCUUGCAUAUGGUUUUGAAAGCUUUCAAAUCAACCAUCGAAUUGAUACAUGUCAUUUUAAUGUUUUUAGUCGUUUAUUUAAGGUAAACUUACAUUUUUGUAAUUUAAAGUCUUUUUAAAAAAAUUUAAAAUAUAACAUAUAAGAAAAUUCUAACAUAUAAGAAAAAUAUAACAUAUAAGGUGUCCUCAUUUUUGUAUUUUAAAGUCAUUUAAAAUAUAUAUAUAUAUAACAUAUAAGGUUUCCUCAUUUUUGUAAUUUAAAGUCAUUUUAAAAAAUUAAAAAUAUAACAUAUAAGAAAAAAUCUAAUUUUUUUAUUAUAUGGUUAAUGUGAUUAUUUAAUUUUUUUUAAUAAUAUAACUUUAAACAAAAAUGAAGAAUGAUGCAAAAAUUGUUAUCAAAUCUUCAUUAUUCAUAAUAAUUAAUUGCCAUUAUUCAUAAUAAUUAAUUGCCAUAUAUAUGUAAAUCAUAUUAGGUAAUUCCGUAGCCUUUAUUUAAGGAAAGAAUACACACUUUCUAUAUUUUAGGUUAAUAUAAUGUUCUCUAGUGUUAUAUAAUUAUAAAAUAAUGUGACACUAUUAGAUUAAACUAUACUUUAUAUUAGAUGCUCUAGAAUUCUUUGAAAUAGAAUUUAGAAGGCAUUUAGAGUGCCACCUAGGAUUUGGGGUUUUUUUUAAUUAAUACAAAAUUAAGGUUCUAAUUUUUCAAAUGCUUCUCAAUUAAUAUAUAGGGGAUUUGUAUAUAUAACUAGGGUCGGCCCGCCCUACGGGCGGGAUAUUAGUUAAUUUGAUAUUCACUAAAUGCUUGAGUUGAAAUUUGUUUUAAGAUUCAAGAAUUUGGUUAUCUGUUAUGUCUUACUUAUUAGUAUACGGUGGUAUAGUUGUUUUUCGAUUAUUCUUGCUUUGGUAUUGUAUCAAAUUAACUAAUUGUCCAACUCAUAAUUAUAGAUGUACAAAUGUGGAUUUGUGAUAAAGUUUGAUGACAAUACUGUUUUUUUUUAAUUCUUAUUCAUAGUGGAGUGUGCAUAUGUCAGAAAGAGGCCUAUAACAACUUUUAUGUUUUUGUGUAUGAAUUUUAAAUAUAUAUUAUUUUGUAUAAUGCAUACUUGCUCUACAACAUUUGCUUGUAGACUAAAAAAAUUGUUUUCUAUAUUUUUAAAAGAGAAAAUAUUUAGUCUAGAAUAUAACAUGGACAUAUGUAUUGACUAUAUAUAGAAGUUGGGUGUUAUUUUAAAAUGACAUAUGUAUAGAGAUUUUUCAACCAUUACUUCACUGGCACAAAACAUUUAUAACUGUAAAUACCUUCUUUUAAAAGCAAAACUAAUAAAAGCGUGUACAACAAAUGUAUUUUGAUAUAUAUUAUAUGCAUCAAGUUAUAAAGGUUGGAAACAUUGCAAAACUGUUUGGAGCAAAGUUUUUAACUUCGCGAUCUUCAUCUUGACGUCAGUUCAGUGUCGGCCCUGGUCACAAGCAGAAGAAGCAUGGGCUUCCAGCUGACACGAUAAUAAGUAUUUUCGCGGCCACAUAUUUAUAAAAAGUGACUUUAGCCUAGUGGUUCUAAGAGAAAUUACCAGUGCUAGAGGUGCUGGGUUCAAUUACCCUUAACUGCAUUUAUUUAUUUUGGCCCUAAAUAUGAAAUGGGACACGUGUCACUCCCAGAACGCACGAAUUGAUGACGUGGCUUCACGGGAGAGAGGCGAACAUUUCUUUAUAUAUAUAGAUGUCACAUAAUAGUUUGAGCAAAAUUUAGUUGCAUAACCCUAUUUUUCCUCUUUUUUUUUGCUAUACCGACAGAGAAGAUCUGAAAGAGAAGGUUAUGUUUUUAGUUUAACCAAUUUGAAAGAGUGAAUUAUAAGUCAGAAUAUGACAACCCAAUAUCAAAAUCUUAACAACACAUGGAUGAUUUAAUGAUAAGCGGAUUCUGGAAAGUUAAAUGAUAUGGGUUCGAAAUAAUCUCACAACUAGGUGAUAACCCGCGUCAUGCGCGGAGUGAAUAAAUUUAAGAGUUUAGUAAUUUGAAGUAAUCUAUAUUAUAAAGGUACACUACAAAAAAUGGUAAAUAUUCAAAAAUAAAAUGUUAGUCAAAAUUGCGCGUUUCACUAACAAAUUAAUAUUUUUUUUUAAACUUGUUUAUAUUUUAGAUUAUUUCUCCUAUAAGUAGUGGAAGAGAGUCAAUAAGAGUGAUAAGAGUAAACAAAAAACUAAUAUAAAUCAAUUAUGAAUUAAAGAUAAAAAGCAACAUAAGCAAUAAUAAUAAAACCCUGCAGAAUCAAAAUAUAAUUUAAAAAAAAAAUUGAGGAAACAUGACUGUUGUGAUUGUUUGAAUGCAGUGUGGUAAAGUAGUAUUGAGAAGGAGAUAAUUGUGAGGAUGUAGCUAUGAGGCCAAGUAUAUAUAUAUGCAAGGUGCCUAGGUCUAGGAUAAACUCGACGCAAUUAAUAGCCACAUUAAAAUCAUUAUUAUUCAAAAUCGAGAUCACAAUAUAUUUGUUGCAAGGUUCCGAAAAUUACACGAUAUGUAUGUUGUAUUUUAGGAAACAAACCUAGUACAUGGAUUCUAAAUUAAUAUUUGAAAGCAAUCAGUGAUUAUGUCACACGUGUCUUUCGAAAUUUGAGUCACUUAGAUUUUUAGUUUCCAUUUUUUUUGUAUGAUUCUACUACUAUGGUUUCCUAAUACCAUAAAAGCAUUUUAUUUGAUACAAAUAUAAACAAAUUAUAGUCAUUUACGCAUUUAGAUUCCUAAUGUGUGAUACAUUGAGGAGAUUGCCAAUUAAAAACCACCAAGUAAUCCGUGAUUUACAGAGGAUUUGAUGUAUUUUAAAUAAAUUUAGCGUAUCAACAGAAUAAUUAAGGGAAUCACACCCAUAUUGCAGGUUUCAACUAUAACUACAAUUAUAAAUUAUAAAUGACAUAAUCAACGUAUGAAGAUCACGUAAAUCAUGUGGGUUGUGAUGGAAGUAAAUCGGGAUUGAGAAUUCAUAUUUGAUGUUUUAGGAAAAUACAUCAAGCGAAUCAAUGUCCAAAUUAUUGUGUUUGAUUUUUUUCAUAUAUUUAAUAUAUUUCUACAUGCAUAAUACACAAAUAGACAUAGUGUAUUAUAUGGUUUUUAAUAUUUCUAUAUUUUUAUAUAUGCGUAAUACACAAAUCGACACAGUCUAUUUUGUCUUAACCCAAAAUUUUAAAUGGAUUCUUAUCAAAUAAAUUAACAUCAAACUUGACUAACUUAAAACCAGUUCAAACGAUCACUUCAAUUUAGAUUAUAGUUUUCAAUAUUAUAUAAAGUAAAGUGAUCGUUUGAUGUUAUCAAGCCAAAUAUAUUUAAUUGUAUUUUCCCCUAAAUAUAUAAAAUAUAAUAUGAUUCGAAGUCUCAGAUCUUUUUGAUUUAAUAAGAUAGAUGUCGAAUGCUACAUGAUUAAUAUAAAUGUAAAUAGACUUUUAAACCUUCGAUGAGUAAAUCAAAUGUUACAUUUGCUAUAUUCCGUGUAAUAAAACAUGGAAAGUAUUAAUGCGCAAACAUAAAUCGUACACAUUUUAUAUUGUAGUGACCAAUGGCAUAUGUUGUAAUAAGUCUAGUUAACCAAGGGUUUUUGAAUAUAGGUUGUGAGAGUGUUUGUGAAGCUGACACGGGAAAUGACACUCUUGUAAAUCACACAUGAACUAAAGGUUAUUUAUUUUUAAUGCUCCUCAAAUAAUAUAUAAGGAAUACUAAACAUGUGUAGCCACGUACAUAUGGAAUCAUGUUUUAAAUUUUGUUUAAUGAGAAAUUCUGUACAUUUACUGUUACUAUCUUUAGGAAUUAGUUUGUGCCCUUCCAUAAAGAAAUACUCCAAAUAAAUCAAAACAAAAAUAUCGAAAAAUUUAUUCUUCACAAAUUGAAAACAGAUCUGAUCCCAUAUGGAAGGGAUCUUAAAUGUUAGAAGGAAAUCUAGCACUCUCCAUAGACUAUAGAAGGACCCUUCCACCGACCAAAACCAGUUUAACCAAUUAUAAUUAAUUAGAAUAUUUAAAUGUUUAUAUCGUCUUUUUUUGUCUAGACAGAUUUUAUUGAUAGAUCGAAGUUCAAAUCGACACAUAGAAUCAUAUGCAAAGCAACAGAAUACAAAUUAUUACAUAAGAAGAAAUAUGCAACAUAUGCUGAAGACGAAUCAUUUGUAGAAGUAAAAAUUGAUGUGGCUUUCUUUUGCAGUAAGCUUUAUAUGCUAACAAAACAUAUGCUAUGUUAUUUUUCUUCUCCAGAACUUGUCUCACUCUAAUACGAUUGGUAUGCCAUUUUAGCAUAUUAUUCUUUUUCCAAAUCGUAUAGAAAAACCCAUUGCAUCUAGGACAUGCUUUGAAACGUCGACACAAUACCAAUUAGUUUGUAUCUGUGUUCUUGGUAAGAAAAUAGAUUUUGUAUAACCUUCCUUGCGACAUCGAUACCUUGACCAUAUAAUCUUAUGUGAAAUCCAUCUAUAUGAUGGUGUAGAUAGUAGUUUGGUUUGAUUCCCUUUUUUUAUAGAACUGUACCAAGGCGGUUUUCGUGGUGGUCUUCUCUUCCAUAAGCAUUGAAGCUCUAGAACGAAAUCACUGUGCCAUAUACGACACUUACAAACAUAGGUGGUAGUAGACUUCCAUCAAUGGAGGCCCACUCACAGAAGAUAAACUCUUCUGGAGGAAGAGAUACCACACAUAAAACACACUAUCCUAUGUCCUUAUCAUUUUCUCCGAACAGGAACCAAUUUUAAUACACAUAAAUAUUAUUACAGUCAACACCAGGAAGAGGAAACGACAAGAGAACAAUAUCGACCAAAGACACAGUUUGGAUGUUUCACCAAACCAGAACAAGAACACCGUAAAUGCACCAUAUCUUCUGGUUUGAAGAUAUAUGAUCAUCAGAUCAUCACAAUCAAUUAUGACUCGGUAAUAGAAGAAACGAACCGGUUUAAACAUGAACCAACAACAGCCAUGUGAAGAAUUCUCCAUAAGAAAUAAGCCUACACAUUCUUCUCUGAAUAAUCUGUGGAAGUUGGUGGUCGGCAUUGAAUAUGAAGCAUCAACAAAACCAACAUGAAAUUGAUGAUGAUCAUAAUUCAAUGAUUUAUUUGCUGUGGAAUGAAGUAACAAUGCACAAGAUACUAAGGGCAUGAUUAUUGGGAGUCCUUGCUUUUGGGUUCUUAAUACACAUAUAUUUGUAUGUAUAUAUUAUAUAUGCGUAUAUAAUUGUGGGUUAAAGAUUUUACGGAAACCCAAACCGAAAGUUCUUUAAUUAAGGAACUUUCGGUUUGGGUUUCCGUAAAGUCUUUAACCCAUAAUUAUAUACGCAUAUAUAUAUAUAUAUAUAUAUAUAUAAAUAUAAAUAUAUGUGUAUUAAGGACUCAAGAGCAAGGACUCCCAAUAAUCAUGCUCUAAGAAGAGUACGACCAACGUAGGAGUCUACGCUGGCCGGUGAAAGUGCGAUGAAAGACGGUAGUUACAGAGAUCACUCAGAAUAUCGAAGGAGAGAGAAAUGGUUUACUAUGAUUUUUACUUUCUUUUCUCUAAACAAUUACAUUGUUUAGAUAAUAAUCUAAGAGGCUGAUUGAUAAAAAAAAAAAAAAAAAUCUAAGAGGCUGAUUGUUUGUGGUUUUUGAAACAGUUUUUGGUUUUUGUUUUUUAAAAAACCAUUUUUUUGCCAAUCAAGAUUUUGAGAAAAUGGAUUCCCUAAAAUAUAGGGAAACCAGAUUUUGUGAAUAACUACCUAUUUUAAAGUAAAAACCAAAAACCAGAUUUUCUUGGUUUUUCAACAUUGUAUGUGGGUUUUGUAUUUCUUUUAUUCUUAUUAAAAUAUUUGUAUAUUUAUGUAUUAAUAUAUUAACAUGUUUAUUAUUUUUAAAGUCAAAAUAAACUAAUCUACAUAUUUUUAUUAAUAAAAUAUAAAUAGUUAAUUUUUUUAUUUAUUGAUUCAGUAAUGUCACAUUUGCUUAAAUAAUUUAAUUAUAAAUAAUAUUUAAAAGAAAUAAUUAGAUAAACAACAAAUAAAAUUUAGAAUCUAGCUAUUACUUUGUAUGUUAUAAUUAUAUAAAUUUUAUGCAUUCUUACCAUUUUAAAAAAGUAUUUUAAUUCUGUUGAUAUAAAUCUAACUACUCAUUGUCUAAGAUUAAAUAUACUUUUAAAUUCCGGAUAUUAAUAUUUAUUUUGAAACUGUAAUUUCAUAAAUUUUAUUCAUUCUUACCAUAUUUUAUAAAAUAUAAUUAAGUUUUUUUUGUAUGUUUAAUUUAGUUAUCUAUUUACCUAUAGAUAUAAAAUUGUGUAGCUAGUUGUUUUUAUUUUAUAACAGUUUAUUUUUGUUUUUUAUUUUAAAAUUUUUUUUUAAUAUAAUUAUUUAUUUUUAGUGAUAAUAGUAAUUUUUUUAAAAAAUUUUGUUUAUUAUUCUUUAUUUUACUUUUUAAAAAAACCAAAAUCUAAAAGAACUAUUCAAGUUUUUCAAAAAAACAAAAGCUACUGCAAAAUCAAGAACCAAAAACUAAAAACAAAAAACCAAAAGCCAAAAACUAAAAACUAAAAUCUAAAAACUAACUAAACAAUCAUCACCUAAGUCUCAUACUCUUUUUGUUUUUCUUUUUAAAUAUCAUUUUAACUUCUUUUUUUGUUAUACAAAAAUUUUUAGUUUAAAGUUCUAAUGCAUAUAACAAUAUGGUUUUUAAUAUUUCUAUAUUUUUAUAUAUGCGUAAUACACAAAUCGACACAGUCUAUUUUGUCUUAACCCAAAAUUUUAAAUGGAUUCUUAUCAAAUAAAUUAACAUCAAACUUGACUAACUUAAAACCAGUUCAAACGAUCACUUCAAUUUAGAUUAUAGUUUUCAAUAUUAUAUAAAGUAAAGUGAUCGUUUGAUGUUAUCAAGCCAAAUAUAUUUAAUUGUAUUUUCCCCUAAAUAUAUAAAAUAUAAUAUGAUUCGAAGUCUCAGAUCUUUUUGAUUUAAUAAGAUAGAUGUCGAAUGCUACAUGAUUAAUAUAAAUGUAAAUAGACUUUUAAACCUUCGAUGAAUAAAUCAAAUGUUACAUUUGCUAUAUUCCGUGUAAUAAAACAUGGAAAGUAUUAAUGCGCAAACAUAAAUCGUACACAUUUUAUAUUGUAGUGACCAAUGGCAUAUGUUGUAAUAAGUCUAGUUAACCAAGGGUUUUUGAAUAUAGGUUGUGAGAGUGUUUGUGAAGCUGACACGGGAAAUGACACUCUUGUAAAUCACACAUGAACUAAAGGUUAUUUAUUUUUAAUGCUCCUCAAAUAAUAUAUAAGGGAUACUAAACAUGUGUAGCCACGUACAUAUGGAAUCAUGUUUUAAAUUUUGUUUAAUGAGAAAUUCUGUAGAUUUACUGUUACUAUCUUUAGGAAUUAGUUUGUGCCCUUCCAUAAAGAAAUACUCCAAAUAAAUCAAAACAAAAAUAUCAAAAAAUUUAUUCUUCACAAAUUGAAAACAGAUCUGAUCCCAUAUGGAAGGGAUCUUAAAUGUUAGAAGGAAAUCUAGCACUCUCCAUAGACUAUAGAAGGACACUUCCACCGACCAAAACCAGUUUAACCAAUUAUAAUUAAUUAGAAUAUUUAAAUGUUUAUAUCGUCUUUUUUUGUCUAGACAGAUUUUAUUGAUAGAUCGAAGUUCAAAUCGACACAUAGAAUCAUAUGCAAAGCAACAGAAUACAAAUUAUUACAUAAGAAGAAAUAUGCAACAUAUGCUGAAGACGAAUCAUUUGUAGAAGUAAAAAUUGAUGUGGCUUUCUUUUGCAGUAAGCUUUAUAUGCUAACAAAACAUAUGCUAUGUUAUUUUUCUUCUCCAGAACUUGUCUCACUCUAAUACGAUUGGUAUGCCAUUUUAGCAUAUUAUUCUUUUUCCAAAUCGUAUAGAAAAACCCAUUGCAUCUAGGACAUGCUUUGAAACGUCGACACAAUACCAAUUAGUUUGUAUCUGUGUUCUUGGUAAGAAAAUAGAUUUUGUAUAACCUUCCUUGCGACAUCGAUACCUUGACCAUAUAAUCUUAUGUGAAAUCCAUCUAUAUGAUGGUGUAGAUAGUAGUUUGGUUUGAUUCCCUUUUUUUAUAGAACUGUACCAAGGCGGUUUUCGUGGUGGUCUUCUCUUCCAUAAGCAUUGAAGCUCUAGAACGAAAUCACUGUGCCAUAUACGACACUUACAAACAUAGGUGGUAGUAGACUUCCAUCAAUGGAGGCCCACUCACAGAAGAUAAACUCUUCUGGAGGAAGAGAUACCACACAUAAAACACACUAUCCUAUGUCCUUAUCAUUUUCUCCGAACAGGAACCAAUUUUAAUACACAUAAAUAUUAUUACAGUCAACACCAGGAAGAGGAAACGACAAGAGAACAAUAUCGACCAAAGACACAGUUUGGAUGUUUCACCAAACCAGAACAAGAACACCGUAAAUGCACCAUAUCUUCUGGUUUGAAGAUAUAUGAUCAUCAGAUCAUCACAAUCAAUUAUGACUCGGUAAUAGAAGAAACGAACCGGUUUAAACAUGAACCAACAACAGCCAUGUGAAGAAUUCUCCAUAAGAAAUAAGCCUACACAUUCUUCUCUGAAUAAUCUGUGGAAGUUGGUGGUCGGCAUUGAAUAUGAAGCAUCAACAAAACCAACAUGAAAUUGAUGAUGAUCAUAAUUCAAUGAUUUAUUUGCUGUGGAAUGAAGUAACAAUGCACAAGAUACUAAGGGCAUGAUUAUUGGGAGUCCUUGCUUUUGGGUUCUUAAUACACAUAUAUUUGUAUGUAUAUAUUAUAUAUGCGUAUAUAAUUGUGGGUUAAAGAUUUUACGGAAACCCAAACCGAAAGUUCUUUAAUUAAGGAACUUUCGGUUUGGGUUUCCGUAAAGUCUUUAACCCAUAAUUAUAUACGCAUAUAUAAUAUAUAUAUAUAUAUAUAUAAAUAUAAAUAUAUGUGUAUUAAGGACUCAAGAGCAAGGACUCCCAAUAAUCAUGCUCUAAGAAGAGUACGACCAACGUAGGAGUCUACGCUGGCCGGUGAAAGUGCGAUGAAAGACGGUAGUUACAGAGAUCACUCAGAAUAUCGAAGGAGAGAGAAAUGGUUUACUAUGAUUUUUACUUUCUUUUCUCUAAACAAUUACAUUGUUUAGAUAAUAAUCUAAGAGGCUGAUUGAUAAAAAAAAAAAAAAAUCUAAGAGGCUGAUUGUUUGUGGUUUUUGAAACAGUUUUUGGUUUUUGUUUUUUAAAAAACCAUUUUUUUGCCAAUCAAGAUUUUGAGAAAAUGGAUUCCCUAAAAUAUAGGGAAACCAGAUUUUGUGAAUAACUACCUAUUUUAAAGUAAAAACCAAAAACCAGAUUUUCUUGGUUUUUCAACAUUGUAUGUGGGUUUUGUAUUUCUUUUAUUCUUAUUAAAAUAUUUGUAUAUUUAUGUAUUAAUAUAUUAACAUGAUUAUUAUUUUUAAAGUCAAAAUAAACUAAUCUACAUAUUUUUAUUAAUAAAAUAUAAAUAGUUAAUUUUUUUAUUUAUUGAUUCAGUAAUGUCACAUUUGCUUAAAUAAUUUAAUUAUAAAUAAUAUUUAAAAGAAAUAAUUAGAUAAACAACAAAUAAAAUUUAGAAUCUAGCUAUUACUUUGUAUGUUAUAAUUAUAUAAAUUUUAUGCAUUCUUACCAUUUUAAAAAAGUAUUUUAAUUCUGUUGAUAUAAAUCUAACUACUCAUUGUCUAAGAUUAAAUAUACUUUUAAAUUCCGGAUAUUAAUAUUUAUUUUGAAACUGUAAUUUCAUAAAUUUUAUUCAUUCUUACCAUAUUUUAUAAAAUAUAAUUAAGUUUUUUUUUGUAUGUUUAAUUUAGUUAUCUAUUUACCUAUAGAUAUAAAAUUGUGUAGCUAGUUGUUUUUAUUUUAUAACAGUUUAUUUUUGUUGUUUAUUUUAAAAAAUUUUUUUAAUAUAAUUAUUUAUUUUUAGUGAUAAUAGUAAUUUUUUUAAAAAAUUUUGUUUAUUAUUCUUUAUUUUACUUUUUUAAAAAACCAAAAUCUAAAAGAACUAUUCAAGUUUUUCAAAAAAACAAAAGCUACUGCAAAAUCAAGAACCAAAAACUAAAAACAAAAAACCAAAAGCCAAAAACUAAAAACUAAAAUCUAAAAACUAACUAAACAAUCAUCACCUAAGUCUCAUACUCUUUUUGUUUUUCUUUUUAAAUGUCAUUUUAACUUCUUUUUUUGUUAUACAAAAAUUUUUAGUUUAAAGUUCUAAUGCAUAUAACAUUUACUUUUACCUUAUUACUAGGUGAUUUUCCCGUGCUCAUGCACGGGUAUAAAUACUUAUAAAAUAAAUAUAUUAUAAUAAUUGAUUGUUAUCUAUUUUUAAUUUUAAAUUAAUUUAUAAUUUGUUUGCAUAAUUUAUAUUAAUAAUAUUAUAUUACUUUAAUUAGAUAUAUGAUUUUAGAUAUGUUAUAUCUAGUCGGUUUUGUUAUUUUUAUAGUUGAUUUAGUUAUCAUUUGGGUAUAUUAGAUUGCAUAUUUUUCUCUAAAUUCAAUUAUAAUAUUUUUUAUUUUAAAUAUACUAAAAUUAUGAUUAAUUUUCUUAUUUGCAUUUACGUUGAUUGUUGUCUUAGAUUUGUAAAUAUAUUUGAGGAAGAUUAUGUAUAACUUAAGAUAUAUUGUGCUUACAAUGAAAUAUAAAAUAAAGUAAAGUGUCUGAUUCUAAAUUACGUAAAUUAAUAUAACGAUAAUAUUCUACAGUCUCAUUCAUAUAUAUAAAUUUUACAAAAGAACUAAAUUAUAACAAUUGAUUAAUAUUUUAUUUUCAUUUGUUGAUAUGUUUUGAGUCAUCCUAUUGUUUACAUUUAUAAAGUAAAUUAUUAUUAUAAAAUUAUAUAUUCUGAUUGUAGUUAAAUCUAUGCUUUUAGAUAUAAGUUGGAUUAGUCGAGUCACUCAUAUUGUGAGUAUAUUGAGUGACAUAUAUUCUUUGAAAUUGAAACUACAGUAUAAUUAUUUUUUAUUAUAAUUUAGUAAAAGCAAAUUAAUUUUAUUUAUCGUUUAAAUAUGAAUGUAGUUUCAUAAUAUUUAUCAAAUUAUGUGUUAUUUGUUUAAAAAAAAAUCAGAAACUAAAGUGAUGAUCAAUUUAUAUGAAGUUACAUACAUAAGUAACUAAUACAUUUUUUGAAUUUGAAAGAAUAAUUUGGAAGCUCGUGUACACAUAUCAAUAUUUUACAAUAAUUAAAUUAUUUUAUAAAUUUUAAAUAAUUUUAUGCCUUAGAUUUAUUACCCGAUAAACUGAGAUUUAUUUUAAAGAAUCUUAAAAUGAGAUUCAGAUUUGCUUUGGUAUUUUAAUUAUAGUCAUAUAAAAUUCCACAAACAUAAAAACAUAUAUUUUAAAAGUAAAUUUAAUAUUAUGAAAACAAUUAAUUUUAAUAAUGAUAAAAUAAAAUAUAUCUAGCUCGUUAUGUUAUUUUAAAUUAUUUUGUAAUUAUUUGAUCAAAAGAUAUUUGUUGUUAAUUCUUUUUAUUUUUUAACAUCUCUUAAAAAAUAAGCAGUUAAAAACAAUUGUGUGAUUGUAUUUGCAAAAUUAUAUUAUAUCAGUAAAAUAUAAUGUAUACAUUUUUUACCGUAAUUUAAAGAUAUUAUAGGCAACUAAAUAUAUGAAAAAUAAAUAAAACAUUUCAGUAAUACUAAUUAUAAACUAUUUUUAGUCAAUUAAACAUAGAUUAGUUUAUGUUACUUAAUUAUUUUAUGUAAUUAUCUAAGAAAAUAGAUAGAUAUAUAAAAAUUAUUUCUAUUACUUUGAAAAUAUAUACUUUUGUAUUGUUUAAAAUUAUGUUUGAAAAGAAAUAAUAUUUCUUUUCCUAAUAUCAAGAUUAUGUGUGUGAAUCUUGUUUUAUGAAAUCACAUUAUAUGCAAAAAUAUAUAUUCAUCUAAGAAAAUAUAGAUAUAAGGAAAUAUUUUAUUACUUCAAAAGUAUAUUUUAUGUUAUUUAAAAAUAUUUUUAAAUGGAAUAUUUCUAUUUUGUGAACUUUCCAUUUUAAUGAAAUAAUAUUAGUAUUAAAUAUAUACAUAUAUUUUCGUUUUUAAUUUUUUAAAAAACUUUAUAAAUGUUUCCUUUUUAUUAUAGAUGUUAUUUGGAAAAUUUGAAAAAGGAAACUAAAUAAAAAAUUUAAUAAUAUUAUUUAAAUCUAAUAUUUUUAAUUCAUUAAGGGUAUCAAUGUAAUCAGCCAUCGUGAGAGUUAACGUGAGCGCGACACAUAAGAAACUGACUUCUCAAAUAAUAUUAUAAAGAUUAAUUACAAAUUGUAUUAGUCUUAUUAAUAAUUUUAUUUAUCUCAAAUACUAUUGUUUAAAUAUGCGUAAUUAAUAAGAACAUAAAUGUAAUUCAAUCAUUUUUUAAUUUAUGUGAAAAAAUUUAAACUGAUAUUUUUUUUAAAAAAAAAGGAGGGAGUAUUAAAUAUUUUAGGCAUUAGGUGUUGAGUUAUUACCCGUUUAACACCUAACUAGGGUUUGUCCUGUUUUAAAUAGAGUAGUAAAGCCGAUACCAACCAGAUUUCGAGUUAGAGUGAAAACUCAUCAUCAACAUGGGCGUAAGCAAGAUGAAACUUAGCUGGUCGGAGCUUUGUCCUGAUUUGCUGCGAUGUGUUUAUGAACGUCUCAGUUUCACGGAUCUAAUUCGAGCUAAAUCAGUUUGUUCGUCGUGGCACUCAGCUUCGAGAGGCUUCCUCCCUAAACGCAAUCAGAAUCCAUGGCUGGUUCUCUUCCCGAGCAAUGGCAGCCACGAUAGCAAUGGUACUUGCUUGUUCUUCGUUCCGGAGGAUAAAGACAAAGUCUACAAAACCAGAGAUCUUGGUGUUGACUUUGCUCGGAGUCGUUGUCUUGCUACUUACGGUAGCUGGCUCUUGAUGAUGGACAACCUGUGGAAUCUCAACGUUCUGAAUCCCUUAACCGGUGAGAGGAUUGACUUACCUGCACUUACAGAGCCUGUAGUGCCUGAAAGAUUUAGACCAAUGUUGAAAUCUAGUUUAGCUUGUCUCUGGAUUGACAAGAAAACCAAAGAUUACCUAGUUGUCUGGACGAUGGAGCACUUCCUGGUCUUUACCAAGAGAGGGAUUAACACGUGGCGAAGGUUUUCUUCUAACUACGUGGGAGGGACCACGGGGUAUGUACAAAUGGUCUACGAUCACAAGGCUCAAAAGCUCUACGCCCAUCGUCUUUGUUAUGGUGACAUCAAGAUCUGGUGUUUCUGUGGAGAUGAUGAGCCGCAAGAAGUUUUUGAAGCCGAGUCUGCUUGCCUUACUGGCUUCAGUUAUCGCGAUUUCCUCCCUAAUAGGUGGCGAACAAAUGGUUUUGACUUUGAAAAAGAAGCAGGUUUAUUCACGGCUGAGUAUGUUAACGGCUGGAUAAACAUUGCACUCACGGUAUCGGGACAAGUCCUCAAGGUAUCUACUGUAGUGCAACGCUCCAAGAGAUGGCUUUUUCGCAUUCACCAGAUAUCUCAUGUGACCAAAAAGUGGAAAGAAAUUGAAUCUUUGGGAGAGAAAGCAUUGAUAUUAGACAUGGGUAUCACUGUUGUCGCCAAAGACAUCCCAGGGAUCAAAAGAAACUCGAUCUAUUUCAGUGGCGUUGGUGAUGGCAUAGAGGACCAGGACAACAUUUUUGUCUUUGAUCUAGCCACCCAAAACAUCCAACGUCUGCCACAGUGUGUUUUCUCUCCCAUUCACUUCUCUGAUGCUCGAUGGUUCUUUCCCGGUUUAAGAAAUUAAUCUUCUUGGUAAAAAACCUUUUCCUCUACGUACUCAUCCUCCCUUGUUUUAUUUUAUACAAGAUUUGGUCUCCUGAUUUUUUUUGGUUAAUGUUAAUCGAAAACAGUAAGAACUUUUAAGGAGGAGAGUUUGAGAAGGAGUUUUGCAUGGCAAAAGAAUACUAUGAAGAAAUAAGAACAUACUAGAUUUUGACCCGCACUUUGAAAGCGUGGAUUUAUUUGUUUUUCAUUUAUUAAUCGAAAGCUUAUUUACAAAUUACCAUUAUUUUUGCUUCGAACCACAACAAUUGAGUUUUUAGGUUUUUAUCAUUUGUUUUUUUUCCUCUUCAAAAUAUAGUAUUUGUUCGAAAUAUGGUAGUUGUUCUAUAAUAAUGUUUGAUUUUUAAGAUUUGUUUUUAUAUUUGACCUAGAUUCAUGGUUGAACCUAUAGACCCGAUACUUUGUAUAUAAUCCGGUUCAGAUUUAAUGAAAAAAUCGUUAAAUUAAAAUUCUGAUAUAACCCGGUAAAAACCCAAAAACUCACUACUAGCUUGCGAUCUGAUACCAUUGAUCCGAUUACAAAAUUCUGAUAGUACUUUUUUAAAAAAUUGAUUAAAUUACUCAUAUAUUUUUUAAUAUUACAUAAAUUAGUGAUUCCUUAGAAUUUGAUAAAAAUUUAUUAUGCUAUCCAAAUAAAAAAUGAUAAUAUAGAAAACCUUAUUGAUAUGAAAAUAUUAGUUUAUUUUCGUUAUUAAUAACCUAUUAUAAGUUUGUGUUUUUAUUUUAGAUUUAAAAAUUGAUUUUAAGAUAGUUUUUAAAAUAUUCUAGAAUACUCGUAAUUGUCAUAUCAAUAUUAUGUAUAAAAUGACAUUAUACAUAGAAAAAUGAUAUUCAAAUACGUAUAUGAUAUAUGGUGUAGGAUAUAUGACUUUGGUUUGUAUUGAAAAUCUGUAUAAUAUUCAAAUGAUAUAUUUUGAAUAUUGAUACGUAUAUUUAAGAAAAUAAUAUUUUCACGUUUCUUAAUUUAUUUAUAGUUCAUAAUAUAUUUAUACUUAUAUUAAAUAUAAAGUUAGUAUAUCUUUUAAAUAUAUAUAUAUAUAUAUAAGCCCAUUAUUUAUAGAUCCAUUUAAGUGUAUCUGUAGGCCCAAAACCAAAAGACUUAAAUGCCAUUAAUGAAUUUUAUUAAUCAUUUGUAAAAAUAAGGGUAUUUUUGAGAAAAUUGUAAUUUUCAUUAAGGGUAUAAUUUGGGAAUGAUCCUCUUUUAAUGGUACUAGGAUCGUGUCCGCGCUACGCGCGGAUAUUGGAUGAAGUUAAAAUUUGUAUAUGAUUAUAGUUGUGGCUGUUUCUGGUUGUUGUUAAAAUAGAUUUAAAGUAAUUAUAAGAAUGAAUAUAUGACACUAAGUUUUUUAAGAUUGAUUGUUCAUUUUUUUAUGCGAAUAUAGUUGGAAGUCAAUCAAUAGAGAUGUAAAAGUAGAGGGGAGUUGAUAUUUUUGGUUGUGUAAAGUGGUUUUCUGUAGUAAUGGAAAUUAAAUUAACGUGUUGAAAAUUAAAAAUAUGUAAAAGAACUUCGUAAUUGAGAUAUUGUUUAGCAUUAUGGUGUUUUGAAUUUGAACAUAAUCUUUUAAAAGUGUGUUUAGGUCUUUCAUUAAUAAACUAAUUAGAAAUUUUAUGAAUUACAUGGAAAAAAGGCCCGUUGAAAAAAACUUAUGAACGAAAAACCAGAUAAAUUGAUCGAGAAUUUAAUACUAAGGUUUUGUUGUGUUACUUUCAAAGUAUAACCUACCAGAUCAAACUAUCUCUACCCUUAAUUUUGCACUUAAUAGUUAAGAUGUUCUGUCCGAAUUUUAGACAAAUGAUUUCUUGGAUUCCAAAGAGGGGUGAUUGGGUUCGUAUGUGUUCGAGAAUUCUAUAAACGCACAGUAAAGUUGUAAUUUUGAUUUACCUCCAGCAGGUGGAGGAUCAUUGUGGUUUGAUUUGACCACCAUGUUGAGGAAAACGACCCUUUGACGAAAGAAAUAAUUAGAAAAUGAGUCAGCGAAAGAGAGAGAUCUUGAAAUGUGGAAAUCCACUGAUUGAGUAACUUACACGUAAUAGUUGUAUCCGCCUUUCUUCUCGUUGCAAAUUUCUGAGUGGAAGAUGAUGUGAAUGUUAUGUGGAGCUGAGGUUGUUAACCGGUUUGUAUCAAAUAUGCAAUGUUACUGAAUUUAUUCGUAUAUUUUGUUGAUUUGUAUUGAUGAGACAAAAGAUUUUUUUGAACUUUCAGUGAUUGCCGCCGGUGAUUGUGGCAGGAGAUGUGCUACUUGCCUUUCUGAUAUUAUUGUCUACCGAGAAGAACAUUUAGGUAUUAUAAUCUAUUGAAGAUUUUUAUAUUUAAUGUGAUACGUUUAAAAUAUGAAAAUUUUGUGUGAAUUAAAAUAAUUAGUUACAGUCAUCAAAUUGAAGCGAGAGAAAAAAAACAAACAAUCUGACAAUAAGAGUUCAUAAUUGUCUUUGUUCAUUACUCUUUGUCUCUGUUUUAAGAAGAAAAGUUACAAAACAACAUAAUAGAUUUUGAAUUGCAUAACCAAGAUUCUGGUGCAAGAACAAACCACUAUAUUUUUUAAACAGACUUGAUAGCUGUCUUUAAUUUUUUUUUUUUUAGAAAUUUAAUUUUUAAAUAAAAAUUAGGAGCUAUAUUAGUCUACAUUUUGAUCCGUGCUUCAAAAGCACGAAUUUUUCGGUUAAUACAAAUGUGAUACGAAUAGUAUUUUUGAUUAUGAUUUAUAUUAUUAAGUUAUUAUAUAAAUUUUUUUUUUAAAAUAAUAUAUAUAAUUUGUCAAUUCUUUUAUUUUAAAUUUUGUGUGUACAUUCUUAUCUCACAACAUCAUCUUUAUAUUUUUAUGCAUUAUAUAAAAGUUAAAUUUGUUGGCAUAUGUUAGACUAAUUUAAAAAUAUAUAUUUGCAGGGGUUACAAAAUAUAUAGAAUAUAAAUGUAGUUUCUAAAUGUAAUUAGAUUUCUUUAUGUUGGACAUGUUCCUAACUUGAUAGUAUUGACUUGAAUUAGUAAAACAAAUAGAGAUUUUUAUAUAGAAGCUUAACAUGGUUCAUUUGCACGUUAUAAAUGAGUCCAAGACAUAUUUAUGUACACUUAUGUGCAUGCAGUAUCAUAAUAUUCCAAGACAUAUUGCCAUAAGUCAGGCCUCGAUAGUUUUUUUCUUCUAGCUUUACGUGUGAACACGACAUAUCAGCCCCUGAGUCACCUGGAUGGGCUGAAGAAAUGCAUUGUAUUGGAUGAUGUGAAAGUACAUGCUAAUUUACUGCAACACACUCAAUUUCAUUCACACAACAUAAAUUCUAACUACGAUUUAAAAAUGCUACUAUUUUCGCACCACCUUGUUUCCGACUGUUUUGUUAUGAUCCAUUUCUGCAAAUGGAUAAACUUUAUUGGAUUAAUUAAGAAUUACCGCUGCAACUGAAAAUUUUGUCUUGAUCUCCAUCGCUGAUUUGGAUGUCUUCACUUGGGAGCGUUGCUGCUUUGAGCUCCUCCAACUGAUCUAAGAUCAAACGUCUUUAUUUUAUUGAAGCUAUCAAUCAUCUUUGGAGGCGUUAAGCAACCAAAGGUAGAACAGUUGAGUCUAUGUUUUCGUACGUUUAUUUUUUUUUUGGAAGAAGAGCCACCACCAUCACCACCACCUGCUUCACACUCCGCUACAUCUUCGUUAUCAGCUUUUGAUCCUUCAUCAGUCGCGUUCGAAACAUAGGAUGCCUUUGUCUUCUUCUUCAUCUAGUGCAUAUCAACACGUGCCUCCUCCUUUAUUUUGCUGCUUCCUGCUUCUUUCAUCGCCUUGUCUUCCACCCACAGAGGCUUCGUGGAAGCUUCAGCAUCAGCGGUUGGUGCUUUGGAGAGGUCAUUGAAGAAAUUCUGUGGAGGAGGUUCAGAACUCUGCUCUGCUGCUGGUCUCUGAGAAGUUGUUGGAUGAAGAAAGUUCUUAAAGUCAUCAAUCACUUUAGCGCUUCUAUCACCUCCUCUUUCUAGAUUGUGAUUCUCAGAGGAGGUUCCAGCAUUGUUACCUUUACCUUUCCCUCCACCACAUGAGAGACCCAAGCUGAGCUCAAGCCCAUUAUCAUCAUCCAUUUUUUUUGUUUCACACUAUCCUAAACAGCUCAACAGAUCGUUACAACAUCCCCUGUCAUCUGAGAAAAAUCAUUAGUCACAAAAAAGGAACCCAAUCAUCACUUUCCCUUUUUAAAAAUUUAUAACCCAAAAAAGGAAACAUACAAAAAGGUGUAGACUUUUCGAUCUGUUUACGGACAAAAAAACUCUGAAGACUCUGGUAAUGAUUAAUAGCACUACAAUAAGCAGAAGAUCUGUCAGGUAAUGAUGUUCGGUAAUAUUAUCAUAAACCUCUUGAAUCACUCCAAAGUACCAGACUUUGGAGUUUGGAAUCAUCAUAGAUUAGUAUCCAGAACCCUUACUACAGAGCUGGAGAGCCAAGUCAGCUUAACUUAGAGCCAUUUCAAUCACAAAGAAACUCAGAAAUCUUAAAUUGAGUCAGAGAGUGAACAAAAGUAAAACCUGAAACAAUGACGAUCAGAAGAAAAGAAAAAACCCUAGCAGCUUCGCGGCGUCGCUUUGUGUCUACGUUUCCAUACGUCUAUGUGCCAUUGCUUUUUUCUCCAUCUUCUAACGAUUAUGAUGUGGAGAGUCUGUAGGGAUCUUGAAUGGAGGAUUUAUGGGAGCACAUUGAAGUACCAGCACUCACAUCCGAGGCGUUAUGCGGGAGGAGCUGGGGGAGAGGAAGAGAAUCAAUGAAGGGAUGAGACGGCGAUUAGGGUUAGGUGGAGAAGGAGCCAUAUGUUUAGAACACGGGAUUGUGCGACAUCACUGUCAAGAGAAACUCGGGAUUGGGCUGCAAGAUGGGUCAAAUGGGCUCUGAAGGUCACUAAUUUUUUUUAAUUUCAAGCCCAGUCCAAAAUGACCUGGCACUUUGAUUGGUCAUGAUUAUUUUGACCAUGUGGAUAGCCUUAGGAAGCUCAAAUUUAGCUUCUUUUAUAUAGUGGGAUUGAUAAUAAAAUUAAAUGGGAUUCCAAAAAUCCAGUUAAAAACAGAUCGAUAAAUAUGUUUGCAUAGCCAUUAAAUGAUAAUCUUUCCAUGGCUAGCGGCAGAGCCGCCCUGAAAUUUAAGAGGACAUAGGCUACUUAUCAAAGAUUUGAACUAUUUUUUUUUUACAAAGUUGGAAGCCUAAAUUUUUUUUUUUUUUGAGAAUUAUGCUUAUAUCACUUUCUUCAAAGAUUUUGGAGACAUAAUGCCAAUGUUUCAUUCAAUUUUGGCGGUUACCCUGAAAGUCAUGUUUGAUUCAAUUAUAACUUUUCUUUCAUUGGUUUUAACGAUCUUGCACAUGUUUUGAAAAGAAUUACAUUAAAUGACUCGCUUUAUAAAGUUUAUUAUUUGGAUCAAAUUUGAUCUAAAGCAACUACAUCGUCAAAAUGGUAUGUAAUCUGGAUCUCCACAGUCUUAACAAUAGAGUGUGUUUCUAGAGAAGUUGAGAUUCUGCAUUCGGAAGCCACAUACAGACUCCAGCAGCUUCAAGCUCAAAACUUAUGCAGAAGGAAAGGAGAACUCAAAAAUAAGAAUUGGUUUGCCACAAAAUAUGGGAAAUAAUAUACUUGAUGCAAAACCCACCUCAUGCAAGCUUGGUUUAUCAAGAAAUAUAAAAUAAGUUUCUUGAGAUCUUAGCUAUACUCAGAAACAAAACGCACCUCACGCAAGCCUAGUUUUGAAGAGCUUAAGUUCACAUUUAUAUAUUCCAUAGUUUCUUGUUUGCAUCAAGAAACAUAGUCUCAUUGCAUAUGUUAUUGACUCUCUUCAACAAGUAACUGAACCAUUUCUUUGAAAAUCGUAAAGUCUCUUCAAAAGCUGAGAGAGUAGGCGUGCCUUCCAAACUUACUUGGUUUAGAGCAGCUUGAAAUCCCAUGACUGUCUUCUAGAGUUUCAGGAACCGUUGCCGUGGGUAAACAAAAAAGAGGUUUAGAUGGAAUCUGGACAGUCUCUAGAUUCCCCUCUAACAUCUCAAUGACUUUGAUCAUCGGUGUAAGGUCAGAUGGAUUGGUCUGAAUACACCAUAGACCAACCAAAAGCAUUUUCUUGGCAAUUCUCUCUUCUUCUUUGGUUAUCUGAUCUCCAAAAAUUCUCAUGACUUCUCCCCUCCCAAAAUCCUUAUAAAUCCAAUCUGGAAAGUACAUUGAACUAUUGUUGGAUCCAAAAUUUUCUAUAUUCUUUGCUCCAAUCAUCUCAAGGAUCACCAUACCAUAACUAUACACAUAUGACUUAUGCGAAACUCCUCCAAAAUUAUUCGAGAACAGUUCAGGGGCAAUGUAUCCUACCGUCUUUCUAGCGUCUAGCAUUGACAUGACGCUCUCUUUAUUUUUUGCAGAGCUUAGCAAGACCGAAAUUAGAAAAUCUUGGGACAAAGAUCCUUGUCCAUGAGUAUGUUUUGCGGCUUUAUAUCGAUAUGCACAAUCCUUGAUACACAACGGUUGUGUAAAUACUCUAGGCCACGAGAGACACCUAACGCAAUGUCAUAUAGCCUUUCCCAUUCUAUCUUGGUUGACAUAUUCUCGGAGAUAAACUUGUCUAGGGAUCCAUUAGGCAUGAACUCAUAUACUAUAGCUCUUUUGUUCCCUUCAUAACAGAACCCAAGCAGAGAGACAAUAUUUACAUGAGAUGUUCUACUCAUGCUAGCUACUUCGUUGAUGAACUCUUCUCCGGUUCCCUUUCCUUUACAUGAGACAAUAUUUGCACAUGUUCUACGCCUUCAUCUGGUAACUUGCCUUUGUAUACAUUUCCAAAUCCUCCUUUCCCGAGAACAUGUGCAAAUGAGCUUGUCAUCUUCUUCACUUUUGCUAACUAUAUCGUUUAAACAUAACUACUGCUUCAACGUUAUCGGCACUCCAAUCACUCUUUCUAGCAUUUUUUCCUAUUACUAGUAUCAAGACCACCACGAUAAUGAUCAUUACAGUUAAAACAGAAGAGACUCCUGCAACAAGAUAAGAAGAAUCGAAAUUUAAGGUUCAAGAGUUCCAUGUAGGUCGGUACCACUUGACCACUAUGUCAUGGAAAAAGAUGAAACUAAAGGAGCAAAAUAAAACAUAUGUUCUUUUACCUAAUCCUAGCCUUAACUUCUGGUAGUUAUUUGGUUCUGCAACAAAGAAACUCAAUUGUGAAUUUUCGUUUUCAAAGGGGGAAAGCUUUUGAUGAAGGAGGGUCACGGCUGGAAGAAGAUUAUGAGUUUGUUGAUUGUUGCUGAAGCAGAACACACCUCACAAGGUUAGUUGGUUUCUUGGUCUGGGUCUACUGUGUUCACAUGCAUUGAUUUGACAUAAGGGAUAUAAGAAAUAUAUAUUCACACACACUGAUUAGUGUGUACUAGAAAGAAUUGUAUUCUACUUGAGGACUACUUCUAUGCCUAAUAUAGAAUGAGUCUCAUCUGUUCUGCAUGCCUGUCUUGAGUGGGACUUGCUGCCCUAUAUGAAAUCAAAUGGGACUUUUUCUCUUAAAUUUCUGAAAACUAUCCUUUCUGAAUUUAAAUAAUUGAUUUUUUGUGCAAAAUGGACCCAUUAAUUAGACAUCUAACUAGGCAAAUAAGUUUUCUUGGAGCUUUUUUUCCUCGCCACUUUUUCUUUUAAGAUGUGCAUUUUACCAGUCAUUGUUGCUAUUCCCAGAGUCUGCAUUUUCUGAAAUCUGUAUUUUGGAAAAUGGCAGAAUGCCCAUUUGACAUUCUAAUAUUUUUGUGGGAGGGUUCAAUUCAAAAUCAUUGCAUGUAUUAGAUUGUACUCUGUUGAUACACUAUAUUUCAGUAGGUUGAAAUAUCAAAUUGUCCACGAGAAUAAAAUUCUUCUUACUUUAAUAGACUUGCAAACAUUUCCUCUAGUCAAAUCUUAAAACAAAAUUAUUUAGGAACUAAAUUAAAGCCGUUGACGGAGUUAAUACUUUUGAACACUUUCAAUCGUUCCAUCUAGUCAAUAUCCGAAAAAGCAACAAGUUAACUAUAGUUUCCGACGAGUUUCGAGUAUAUAGUAACUCUAUUAUGGUAUUCAAUAUGUUUAUAUGUGUAUCUAAGAUCUUUUUGUGAAUGCAAACAAAGUCUCAUAUUAGAAGUUUAGACAAAUAAUGUUUAGUAUAUAAAACGAUGUCCACCAACUCUGAUUAGUACGAGAUUUUUGGGAAAGAGCCCAAUAACAAAGCCAUGCGGUCUUACUUCUUAAGUCCAAAGUGGACAAUAUCGUACUAAUCGGCUGAUAUGGGCUCGAGAAAACCCAACAGAUCUGAAUUUUGCAACAUGAUAAUUUGUUAGAUUUGUUUCCUUUGGUUAGGAUUAGGUAUGAUCAUUUAUAUGUGGUUCUGAUUCUUUAAAGAUAUGUAACAGAGGCCGAUGAAACAAUUAUUUUGAUUCCGUGGCGACGGAUUUUGCUUCUGCAACAAAUUCUUGAUUUUGCGUUGGUGUAUAAUGAUUCUUCUUUCUCGAUCUAACAAUAACUUAUUUAUUAUCAUGAUAUUAUAAUUUUCUAUGCGGUUUAGAAAACAAUAGCCAUUGGUUUUAGAAGGCUUAGGCCCUAGGCGCCGCCGCCUAGAUCGGUUUUUAGAACACUGGUUUAGAUCAUAUUUCUAGGCUCUUUGUUUUUUUUUUCAGUUUUUCCUUAUGCAUAGAUAUGGAAGAAGGCUUUGAUGCAUUUUCUUCUCUAUUAAACCCUUUGCUUGGUUCUGAUGGGUGUUUGGUGUUUGUUAGCUCUUUUUUGGUCUUUAUCUGAUGGAUACCAAGGGGUAACUAUGCUUAUGUAUGAGUAGUUACCAGUUGUGUGCUGCUUACAGUCAGAUAAAUACACACACAUGUUGCAAAUAUAUCUGUUUCUGAAACCUUUUUUAUGGGCUAAUCGAUGUUUUUUUUGUCCAUGCAGAGCCUUAGCAAUAAGAAGCAAACAAAAAUAUGGUCGAGACGCGAGCUCAGCAUCGAAGGCGAGUGACAUCACAGACAUGGGGUAAGGUAGAAGGUGCCGAAGAUGUGUUUCAUGACAUCUUUUCUCGACUGUCAGUAAGGUCUAUCCGUUCAUUCAAAACGGUUAACAGAUACUGGCAUGCCUCAAUUAGCAACAAACAUUUUGCUACAAAACAGCUAGCUCAGUCGAGAAAGAAGCCCUCAUACAUAGCUUGUCCUAGAGCAUACAAGGCUAUGAAGUUGUACUUGUUGAAGCCAGGGAAGUUCAACUAUCGACACCAUGCUACAGUUGAUCCUCCGGGAAGAAGCGCCGAUCACAACAUGCACAUGAUAGCAUCGUUCAAUGGAUUAGUAUGCUGCAUCAACCAACUCUCUGAUGAAAAUGAAGAUCAUCAGAUAUGGAUUUGCAAUCCCUCUACUGAAGAGACUCUGCUUCUUCCUCAAGGCAGACCAUCUGUUUGGACUGAACCAAGUAUUGGAGUUGCAUAUGGUCCUGACAUUAGCGAGUACAAAAUUUUCCGCAUAUUCUGUGUGGGCAAGAGAAACGCUGGAAAAGGGGAUUAUCUCUACGAAUGUGAGGUGUAUUCAUCUAGCAGUGGUGCGUGGAGGGGCAUCGGCCCUGUGCUUCAUCUUCCAAUGUAUGUUUGCUUCAGUCCACACAGAUCCGCUCAUGUCUUUGCAGGAGGGAAGAUCUACUGGCUGGUUUCUCUUGAAGAUCCUGCAGGUAUAAUGCUCUCUGUGGAUAUGGAGGAGAACUUCGAAGUUAUGGAGCUGCCUUAAUAUUCAACAGACCUGCGUUACGAAGACAGGAUAACAGCUGCUACGUAUCUGAUAAACCUGGGAGGAUCUCUGUCACUGGUAGUUCUACAUGUGGGUUACUUUGACGUAUGGGAGUGGAAAGAAGCUAGUUGGGUACUUGUAAUCGAAGAUUAUUUGCCAUUCAUGGACUUUUGUGAUAUUGUAUUAUUCAUGACCUCGUCAGAGAAGGAGAUCCUGUUUGUGACUGACUCGCACUUGUGGACUUAUCAUUUGGAUACUAGAAAGUGGAAAAAAAGGGGCAGGCCUCCUACUCGAUUUACGAAUCCUGCUAUCUUCCCCUUCACCGAAAGCCUUCUUCCAUGUAAGCUCUCUGUCUUUAAAUACUAUAUGUAACGAUUUAAAUGUUUCAUUCUUGGUUUCUGAUACAAUGUGAUAUGUUUUUUCUUGAGGCAGGCAAUGGAGGGGUGAGGCUAGAAGAAAGGUGAAGAAGAGUACUUAUCAUCUCUGGCUUGUUGGUGGUGCUUUGAUUUAUCUUGCAGAGGCUGUGUGUUUCUCACUGGAUAGAUACUCUUUUUAUUUUUCCGUUCUAAAACUUUUCAUUUCGUUUAAUGUUUCUGGUGAGAAGCUGACUAUUAGUGUUGUUGUGGCACUCUGUUUCCAUUUGUUUCUUACUUAAGAUUCUGAAAUGUGCUUUCUUAUUACUCAGAAUAACAUCCAGUAUUAUCAACCUGUUACGGUUUUCUAAAUUCAUUUUUUUUUUGCUAAGUUGACUGAUUACAAUCACUUGCAAAACCAUAUCUAUUUGACUGACUUCCUGGAGCUUUCGUUCAUAUGUUUUCAUGAUGGUUCACUUAAAUGUAUAUCGAUUCAACGGUUGUUCAUAUUCAACGACACAUCUUCUCAUGCCGAUUUACUUGACAAAUCUUUUCCUGUCAAAAUUGAAUGUGUAAUGACGGAAAUGGUUUGAUCUUUCCUCAAACCUUGCGGAUUCUAAUUUGGACCUUUCAUUUAGAUGAUAUCAUGAUGGUUCGUUUGGACCUUUCAACAAUCUUUAUCGUCUUUAACAGUUCAGGGGCAAUGUAUCCUACCGUAUUUCUAGCGUCUAGCAUUGACAUGACGCUCUCUUUAUUUUUUGCAGAGCUUAGCAAGACCGAAAUUAGAAAAUCUUGGGACAAAGAUCCUUGUCCAUGAGUAUGUUUUGCGGCUUUAUAUCGAUAUGCACAAUCCUUGAUACACAACGGUUGUGUAAAUACUCUAGGCCACGAGAGACACCUAACGCAAUGUCAUAUAGCCUUUCCCAUUCUAUCUUGGUUGACAUAUUCUCGGAGAUAAACUUGUCUAGGGAUCCAUUAGGCAUGAACUCAUAUACUAUAGCUCUUUUGUUCCCUUCAUAACAGAACCCAAGCAGAGAGACAAUAUUUACAUGAGAUGUUCUACUCAUGCUAGCUACUUCGUUGAUGAACUCUUCUCCGGUUCCCUUUCCUUUACAUGAGACAAUAUUUGCACUCCCCUGACGCAGCUAUACGUGUUUUUGAUCAUUCUACAUUCUCCGCCUGGAUUGUGACAGCGGAUGCAGCCUGGAGGCAGGUGUAUAUGAAGAGAGAAAGUAGCAUUAAGAAUAGACUGGUUCUUGUUUCUUAGAAUCACCUAGCUCUCUGGUGUCUUGAUAGCUGAACACCCAGAAAUAUCUCCCAGAUUAGAGUAAUACAAGUGCUUCUUCUUCCUUUGCAAUUCGGAUAAGUGAAACCAUUCUUCCUCCUACUGUUGUUGGACUUGUACAAAGUAGUCAAGUCGAGCCAUGGAGAAUCUGGAAGAUAAAAGCUUAUCGAGUCACUGCAUGAUCCUGUUUCCAAGCUUUGCUUGAGCCUAGGGUCGGUGACAGUUAUGGUGUUGGCUUGAGAGACGCUCUUGAGUCUAUACCAUUGUGACAUUGUCCGUUUUCCUCAAACUGUAUUUUUUGGAAUCUCUUGAGCACUGCAAUUCAUCAAGAACAGACCGCAUCGAGACUGCAUGUCUGUGUUAAAGAAAGGGAACCUGAAGUCGAGGCUUCCACAGGAGAACGUUCUGACACAGUGUGUCAAGUUCUUGCUCCUGGCUUUUGGCAUGAGAAAGAAGAGGAAGAAGAAGACCAACACAGAGACAGUCUUCAUUGGUGUUGUGAUUACAGACUUGUGUUUCUUGAUAUUUCUAUCUACAACUAGGAUAAGACCUGCGCAAGAGUUUAUUUGUAUAUAUUAUCGAUAGUUUCUUUUAUACAUUUGAUCAUUUUAUUUAUAUAUAUAAAAUAUUUGUUGUUGUUAUUAUAUAAUUUCUUUCCAAUGAAUCGGAUCAAUUUUUAUUAAAAAUAAUGGAACAAAAGUAUAAUUAAUACAUCAUGGGUUGAUCGGAUUGGACAUUAAACAAAUUAUGACAUAAAAACCUUAUUUUUUCCAUCGAACACAUUCUUGAAAAAAGUGAACAGUAUUGUUUUCACAGUUGAAUUAUUUUGACUUUUAUCUUCUAUAUGGUUUUGAAAACUUUCAAAUCAAGUGAUACAUGUCAUUUUAAUGUUUUUAGUCGUAUACUUACGGAAAACUUACAUUAAUUUAAAGUCGUUUUAAAAAAAUCAAAAUAUAACAUAUAAGAAAAAAUCUAACAUAUAAGAAAAAUAUAACAUAUAAGGUGUCCUCAUUUUUGUAUUUUAAAUUCGUUUAAAAAAAUAUAACAUAUAAGGUUUCCUCAUUUUUAUAAUUUAAAGUCAUUUUAAAAAAUUCAAAAUAUAACGUAUAAGAAAAAAUAUAAUUUUUUUAUUAUAUGAUUAAUGUGAUUGUUUAUUUUUUUUAAUAAUAUAAAAUUAAACAAAAUGAAGAAGGAUGCAAAAAUUGUUAUCAAAUCUUUAUUAUUCAUAAUCAUUAAUUGCCAUAUAUAUGUAAAUAAUAUUAGGUAAUUUAGUAGCAUUUAUUUAGGGAAAGAAUACACACAUCUUAUAUUUUAGGUUAAUAUAAUGUUCUCUAGUGGACAUUAAACAAAUUAUGACAUAAAAACUUUAUUUUUCUCCUCGAACACAUUCUUGAAAAAGUGAACAGUAUUGUUUUCAUAUUUGAAUUAUUUUAACUUUUAUCGUACAUAUGGUUUUGAAAACUUUCAAAUCAACCAGCAAACUGAUACAUGUCAUUUCAAUGUUUUUAGUGGUAUACUUAAGAAAAACUUACUUUUUUUGUAAUUUAAAGUCGUUUUAAAAAAUUCAAAAUAUAACAUAUAAGAAAAAUAUAACAUAUAAGAAAAAUAUAACAUAUAAGGUGUCCUCAUUUUUGUAUUUUAAAGUCGUUUUAAAGAAAUAUAUAACUUAUAAGGUUUCUUCAUUUUUGUAAUUUAAAAUCAUUUAAAAAAAUUCAAAAUAUAACAUAUAAGAAAACAUCUAAUUUUUUAAUUAUAUGGUUAAUGUGAUUGUUUAUUUUUUUUUUAAAUAUAAAAUUAAACAAAAAUGAAGAAUGAUGCAAAAAUUGUUAUCAAAUAUUUAUUAUUCAAAAUCAUCAAUUGUCAUAUAUAUGUAAAUCAUAAUAGGUAAUUCGGUAACUUUUAUUUAAGGAAAGAAUACACACUUCUUAUAUUUUAGGUUAAUAUAAUAUUCUCUACUGAACAUUAAACAAAUUAUGACAUAAAAACCUUAUUUUUUUCAUCGAACACAUUUCUGAAAAAAGUUAACAGUAUUGUUUCCACAGUUAAAUUAUUUUGAAUUUUAUCUUGCAUAUGGUUUUGAAAGCUUUCAAAUCAACCAUCGAAUUGAUACAUGUCAUUUUAAUGUUUUUAGUCGUUUAUUUAAGGUAAACUUACAUUUUUGUAAUUUAAAGUCUUUUUAAAAAAAUUCAAAAUAUAACAUAUAAGAAAAUUCUAACAUAUAAGAAAAAUAUAACAUAUAAGGUGUCCUCAUUUUUGUAUUUUAAAGUCAUUUAAAAAAUAUAUAUAUAUAACAUAUAAGGUUUCCUCAUUUUUGUAAUUUAAAAUCAUUUAAAAAAAUUAAAAAUAUAACAUGUAAGAAAAAAAUCUAAUUUUUUUAUUAUAUGGUUAAUGUGAUUGUUUAAUUUUUUUUAAUAAUAUAACUUUAAACAAAAAUGAAGAAUGAUGCAAAAAGUGUUAUCAAAUCUUCAUUAUUCAUAAUAAUUAAUUGCCAUAUAUAUGUAAAUCAUAUUAGGUAAUUCCGUAGCUUUUAUUUAAGGAAAGAAUACACACUUCCUAUAUUUUAGUUAAUAUAAUGUUCUCUAGUGUUAUAUAAUUAUAAAAUAAUGUGACACCAUUAGAUUAAACUAUACUUUAUAUUAGAUGCUCUAGAAUUUUUUGAAAUAGAAUUUAGAAGGCAUUUAGAAUGCCACCUAGGAUUUGGAGUUUUUUUUAAUUAAUACAAAAUUAAGGUUCUAAUUUUUUAAAUGUUUCUCAAUUAAUAUAUAGGGGAUAUAUCAAGACUUUUAUUAUGCCUAACACAUUCUAGUGGCUUACGUUAGCAAGCCAUGUACAUACUUGGGGUAUAGUUGAAACUUAUGUUAGCCAUCAGACUUGUAUAUUAGUUUUUUUUUUUGUUUGUCAACUAUGCUUUUCAUAAAAGCUUUAAGGGCUUUUAAGCCCAAUCACAAUCAGUUCAACCAUCCAAAUAAGAGUUCAACUCAGACACUGCCCCACUAAAAGAUAAGAUCUACACGUGUUUAUCAAGAAAAUAAAUUAAAAAUAUGCUUGACACGUGUUUGUCGAAGGUGCAGGACGAUUCUGGAAACAGAGGAAGCAUCGACGGUGUCGCCGGAAUCUUUGCCGGAUCGAAAACCGUGAACUUUAAUCUCUGAUUAGUUGAACUGGUUGACCGCUCCGCCUUUCCAGAUCGCCGCUGAUCUUCUUCAGGUUCCUCAUCGUUGCGCAAGUGUUAAGUCCAGUGAAAGCUUCUAGGAGAUAAACACAAGAGUCUUGCCAGAAUAUUUCAUGAGGAGAAACUCCGGCUUAUCUGAAUCUGCAUCUUCUCUCCUUCGCAAAAUCAAACAUCUCAAUCUUUGGAUACUCCGCUAUGUUUCAUUUAUGCGAAGAUUGAUUCCUUGCUGUAUAAUUGAUCAAGCAUAACUCACAAAAAACCCUCCAAAGACAAACGGAAUAAUCAAUAGGACAGGAAAGGAAAAACGGAUUUAAAACAAAAAAAUUAACAUAACAAAAGGUCCCCUAGGGAAAUUCAGAUCCGCUAACGGAAAACAAGAGUCGCCAAGCGAAGAUAGAUGUAAUAUGAUACACAAACAUAUGUUACAGAGGCAAAAAAACAAAAUGGGUGGUGACCGGCGGCGAGGUGCUCACCGGCCACCGGAGGACAGCUUUGUUUAAUGUGUUUCUAGAGAGAAGUUGGAGAAAAUAACAAGAGAGAGAAGUGUAGGAGGGUGGUUUUAAAAUAUUUUACUCAUUAUUCAAAUUCUCAUUAGGGAAUUUGCGACUUGUAUAUUAGUAUCCCUUAUAUAUUAAAGAAGAAGCAUUGUAAUAAAUGCAUUCACACUAUAAUAGACACGUGGCAGCCUCACGAUGAUUUGAUAAUAAAUAUGUUAAUGCGUUCAUACUAUAUUUAUAAAUGUGUUCACACUAUAUAUUUUAUAUUUUUAAUAUAAAACUCAUAUGCAUGAUUCCAAUAAAACUUUAGAUUUUUUCGUUUCGAAUCAAAACAAAUAACGAAUCAAAAUCUAAACUAUAUAUAUAUUAUUUUUAUUGUUUACGGAUGAAGUCAGGCAAAAUAUUUCUAAAUUUUGAUUCCAUUCGUUAUCCGUUUUGAUUUGAACCAAAAAAUAUGGAUAUCUGUAACUCUACGAAGCAAAUCAGUUACUAAAAUAUAAUUAAAAAAAAAACAAAUCACAAAUUCCAAUAUUUUUAGGUAUGGAUAUCAAAUUCGUACAAAAUUAUAUAUAUAUAUAUAUAUUAUAGUUUAUAUAAGUUUACAAUAUUUUAUGAAUUAAAUUUAUUAUAAUAGGUAUUAAAGUUUAGAAAGUUAAAUAAUAUUUUAUUUUGUAAUAAAAUGUUAUUAUUAAAUUUUUCAAUUAUUUUAUAAAUUUUAUUUUAUUUACAGAUCAAAUAGGAUAUUCUUUAAAAUUCUAAAUCAUUUCGGUUAUCAGAGUCACUGACUAUCUAGGUGGCUAAAGAUUGAAUCAACUUGAAUGCCUCCAAAUACCCAGAUAUUUGAUCUGUGCCCACCUCUAUUUACGGAUACAAUUGAUUUUUCUUUAUAUGAAAACAAUUCACUAAUGUCAAGGCCUUUUUAAUUUUUAAUUAAUUUUAAUUUUAUCUUUCAUGUAUUAUUUAGAACAAAAAUGUCAUUUAAUAUUAAUUAACAAUAUCUUUAUAUAUUUGUCAUUUAUUCUUAUAUACUUUUACAUACACAUACAUGUGCACAUUAAUGUGAGCACCUUAUAAGUAUUUACCACCACUGAAGUAUCUAUUUUUUUUUGGAAGUUGAAAUAUUUUUUUUCUUAAUGCUUCUUUCACUACCGACCAAAUUGUAGUGAAAUGAUUUAUCUUAAUAAUUUUCUUUUCUUUUUCUUGAACUAUUAUCCGCUUACAAACUAUGAUAUAAAACCAUUGGUUCGACAUGACGAUUAUCUUAAAUUUAUAACAUGAAAAUAAACAAAUAAUAGUAAUUUUUGGUUUUUACCAAAAAAAACUAAAAAAUCAAACAUUCUAACAGAACAAACCAAAAUAAAUAUUAAUUUAAAAUAAUGGUUAUAUUUUAGGAGAUUAAAAACCAAAAAAUAACUUAAAACCGAACCGAUAUCCAGAUUAAACAAAUUUAGUGUGUUUUUAUUAAAAAUAACAAAACUAAUAAUCAUAUUCCGCGCAAGGCGCGGAUUAUUACCUAGUAUACAUGAAAAGACUUGAACCAAAGGCGAUUUUAUUUAAUUACAAAUGAUUUUAAGACUUUUGAGUAAAAUUCAAAUUCAGUGACUAUGAAUCUAGGCAGUUAUAAUUUAGAUCAAUCAUUAAUUAAAAUGAAUAGAUUACUUAAUAUGUGCAAAGAUUUUAAUAUCAACUAAUAAUCUAUGAACUAACUUGCAUACCAUUGGAGUAAAAGAUAAGUGAUGGAGAGAAAAGAGAUUCUAAAUGAAAUAGUACGAAAAAAAAAAUCUUUUUUCCUUUUCUCCCUAGUAAAGGUGAUUUUCUGUAUUUUUGUGACCCACUUUAAUUUCCUUAAUUAUCUCUUUUGAAACAUCUCCGGUUUGAAUCGUAAUCAAUUACGCGACCCUUGGCUUCGAUUCUUCUUUUGGAAACUCAAUUUUCAGUUGCCUUUUCCUUUCUCUAGUAUCUUCUCAAUCUUCACAAUUUUUCUUUUUCCUGAAAAUAAUUCCUUCUUUCAAUUUCAAUCUCUCCAAGUAUUUCCUUUUCUAAUGAUUUUACAGAUGAUUGUAGCGGAAUUUUGCGUGAUUAAAAGCUGUUACUCAUCAAUUAUUGAAGAUUUGCUGCCUCAAAAUUUGCCUCUACGUCGUCUCUUCAUUGCUUUCGGCGACUGUAACUUUCUUAAUAUGGUUGAUAUUCUGCAAAAAGCUAUCGGUGCAAUGUCUUUGGAAGAAGAGGAACCGCUGGUGCUUCCCGAUAGUCUGCAGUUUAGGGUUUUCGAUGAGAACGCUACAAGCCUAUUGGGGCGUCUCCUGAACCCGGAUUGUUAGUCUAUGUGUCGUAUGAUUGAGUACAUGCCAGCGGCGUGGCGAAUGGAGGGCAGAGUUCGGGGAAUCGCAUUCCAGUUCGUGUUUCAACGUGAGGAAGAUCUGGAAACUGUUCUCAAGGACAGACCAUGGUCCUAAAACCAUUGGGCUAUGGCGAUGGAAAAGUGGACAGAGCAUCCCCUGGAGGACUUCUUACAGAAUAUGCUGAUCUGGAUUCGUAUCAGGCACAUCCCGGUGAAUUAUUUCACCACCAAGACGAUGUUCAAGUUAGCUGAAUAAUUUGGGAAAGUAGAAGAAAUUGCAUACGACCCCAAAAUCUCUCACGCCAAAGAAUAUAUAAGGGCGCUAAUCUGCUUCAAUGUUGCUAACCCUUUGAAGGCUUCUCGCAAGUUGAGUACUCCGGGGGAGAUAGUGAACAUUGAAUAUGAGUACGAGAAAAUCGAUAAGAGAUGCGUUCACUGUCUUCGACUGAAGCAUGAAAAGGUGAGGUGUCCUUUGUUGAGAAGAGGUAGCUCUUCUGGCCCGAAGAUAGCUCCUGCUCAGUCCUCGGAAAUAAGACAAAAUGUUGAAGAUCCUGAGAGGCUUCAGAAUCGUAGGAACCCUUGGGAAGGCCCUCCUGGAUUUCCUCCCCUUUUCCCGGAACUGUCCAAACAGGACAACAUCAUGGCUCUUCAGUAUAUCUCUCACGCUGAUGAAACAGAGAGGAUGGCCAGAAUCCAGAGAGUGAGGCAAGGUAUUGAAGAUAAUAGGAACACAACUUCAGUCUGGAUGAUGAGGGUAACAGGAGAUGUGGACAAAGGAAAAGUUCAUGUCUUCAAUUAUCUUGAGCCUCGAACUCGGAGCCGUCUUGAUAUUCAGUUGGAAGGUGGAGAGCAAUCUGGUUCUCAUAAAGAGCAACUUGUAGAUAAAAAGGCUGAGUCGUCCUAUACUCAUGUUUCAAUAGCUUCUGCUCCUGGUCGGGUCUCAACGGGUUUUCAUCUAGGCCCUUCCUCGGAGGGACGAGUCUCCGAAAAUCAGAACCAUGGAAAAUCGCAGAGGAGAUGGCCCGAAAAGCAAGAUGUCAGGAAAAACUUCCACUUUACCAUCUCACCAAGAACAUCGAGCAUCUUCUGCUUCUCAAGGAAACAUGAAGAGGAAGUCAUCUCUUCCACUAUUGGCUACGGACAACAAAACUACAAAAACUUUGAACCCUACAGUGGUUUCCGUAUUGAAGCCGCUGCCUCCCCAAUGAGUGUUAUGUGCUGGAACUAUCAAGGAGUAGGAAGCGACGAGACAGUUCAACAUCUCAGGGGACUUCGUAGGAGUUUCUACCCGGAUUUUAUUUUUCUAAUGGAAACGAAGGAAAAGGAUGGUUAUAUGGUGGGGGUUCAAAACAUUUUAGGGUAUGAUAAAAUGAUUUCGGUGGAGCCUCUAGGUUUGAGUGGAGGCUUGGCUUUGAUGUGAAAGUCUAACUAUGAGGUGGUUGUGCUAAGCUGUGACAAAAGAAUUAUUGAUGUGAAGGUUACUUUGGGCUCGGUCUCCUUCUUUCUAACACGCAGAUCUUAACCCCAUGAAUAGGAUAUCCCGUUUGAAGUCUGCCCUGGAGCGUGAAAUAUCUAAAGUCUUCCCUUCUUUUCAGGUGAUGGGGAAGUUGAAGAAGGAACUAGCUUUAGCUUACAAAGAUGAGAAAACCUUCUGAAGGCAUAAAUGUAGGGAAAAAUGGCUGCGUUCGGGUGAUAGAAAUACUAAAUUCUUCCAUAACUGCGUGAAGGGGAAGAGGCAUCAAAACAGAAUCUUGAUGCUGCUGGAUGAACUGGGUAGGGAACACUUCUCAGAAGGUUCAAAAGGUGACAUCGCUGUGAACUACUUCAGAGAGCUUUUCAUGAGCUCUAAUCCUCACGACUUGGAGUCCUUGUUCUCUGGUUUCCAGCCACGAAUGACUACGGCAAUGAAUACCUUAUUGAUAGCGCCUGUCUCAGAAGAUGAAGUCAAGAGAACAGCCUUCUGUGUCAAAGGCAGUAGUGCUCCAGGAGAAGAUGGGCUCACAGGGGUCUUCUACCAGCGUUUCUGGAAUAUUGUUGGACCCUCAUUAACAUCAGAGAUUUAGAGAUUCUUUGUUAGAGCUAUUCUCUCGUACGGCUGGAACCACACACAGCUCAGCCUGAUUCCAAAGAUUCCUAACCCAAUCAGGAUGUCUGAUAUGCGACCUAUCAGUUUGUGCUCAGUACAAUAUAAGAUUAUUUCGAAGAUCCUCUGCAACAGACUGAAACUCAUCCUUCUGGAGAUCAUCUCAGAGACACAGGGAGCUUUUGUGGAGGGAAGGCUUAUCUCUGAUAAUAUUUUGAUAGCUCAUGAGUUGGUUCAUGGACUUAAGGUGAAUGAUCGAGUCUCUGAUGGGUUUAUGGCGGUAAAGACAUGUCCAAGACAUAUGAUCGAGUUGAAUGGAAUUUCUUGAAGAUUCUAAUGGAAAAGAUGGGUUUUGAUCAUGUGUGGAUUAAAUGGAUAAUGGCGUGUGUGGGCUCUGUUUCCUUCUCAAUCCUCAUGAAUGGGAACAAACAUGGUUUUAUCAAGCCAGAAAGAAGGAUAAGGCAGGGUGAUCCCCUAUCCUUAUUCCUCUUUAUUUUAUGUGCAGAAGCCUUGGUGAGCUGUCUGAAUGAGGCAGAGAGUGCUGGUAGGCUACAUGGGAUCAAACUGGCUGGUUCUGGUCCGGCUGUUCAUCAUUUGUUAUUCGCAGAUGAUAGUUUAUUAAUGUGCAUAGCAUCAACUUUGGAACCAGCUGAGCUCAUGUCCUGUCUCAGCCGUUAUAGUAAAGCCUCAAGACAGAUUAUCAACCCGGCUAAGUCCUCUGUAAUCUUUGGUGUGAAGGUACCAGAAGACAUCAAAAAUGAAGUGAAGCAGGUGCUUGGAAUUGAUGCAGAAGGAGGGGAGGGUUUUUAUCUUGGUCUUCUUGAAUGUCUAAGUGGCUCCAAACGGAAACUUCUCAGCUUUAUAAGAGAAAAAUUACAAGGAAGACUUCAUGGAUGGUUCUCUAAAUCUCUUUCCCAGGGCGGCAAGGAGAUUCUCCUCAACUCUGUGGGUCUAGCUUUACCGGUAUUUACAAUGUCGUGCUUUAAACUCCAUAAAGAUGUAUGUGUGAAACUCACGAGGUGCUAUGGUUAAGUUUUGGUGGAGCAGUGGAAACAAUCGCAGAAAUAUUUCAUGGGUGGCGUGGAAGAAACUUGGUAAACCUAAGGAAGAAGGUGGUUUGGGCUUCCAUGAUCUUGAGUUGUUUAACCAGGCCCUCUUAGGCAAACAAGCGUGGUGUAUCUGGGAUAAACCGAACUCCCUCCUGGCGCAGGUUCUGAAACAUCGCUAUUUUGCUACGUCUGAGUUUUUAGAGUUUGGAGUUGGCACAUGUCCUUCAUAUGGUUGGCGGAGCAUAUUGCAUGGUCGGGAACUUCUCAAGAAAGGUCUCCAGCAAGUCAUUGGGAAUGGACUAUCAACUAACGUUUGGUCAGAUAACUUGCUCUUGGAAGAUAUUCCUCGACCUCCUAGAUACCAACAGGAUGCUCUCGUAGAUCUUACUAUGGAGGUUAGAGAGCUCAUUGAUGUCCCCUCUCACUCCUGGAAUAGAGACCAUGUACGUCAGUUCAUUCAUGAAGAUGAUGUUGAAUUGGUGUUACAAACCAAGUUUUCCUUAAAAAAAUGACCACUCUAUGGUGUGGGCUCUCUCAGCUAAUGCAAGCUACAACACUCGAAGUGGCUACAAACUGUUGGAAACUCUUCAAGAUAGACAGGCUAAUCAGACCUCGCAACUUCCUCCGCUCGAAAGACAGCUCUGGAAAAACCUCUGGAAAACUAAAGCUCCCCCAAAACUGAAACAUUUUAUGUGGAGGGCCUUAUCAAAAGCACUCUCAGUACGUCAACGUCUCAGCACUCGGGGCAUAGCAUUGAAUAUGACAUGUACGAGAUGUGGUAUGCACGAGGAGAGUAUAUGUCAUGUUCUUUUCCAUUGUAAAUCAUCUCGAGAAACUUGGCAGCGAUCAGGCCUUCCUCUUCCUUCUGGGGGUUUCUCUCGCAGUUUGGUUUUCCUCAACUUUAUCAUUUAAUAGUAGAGAGCCGGAAACAUAACACUUUUGUGGAGACUAGAAGAAGGUUUAUAUGGAUCCACUGGCAGAUUUGGAAAGCUAAGAAUGCUUUCUGUUUUGAGAACACGAGGGCUGAGGCAGAGGUGAUUUUCACUAAGGCAGAAGAAGAUGCCUCUAGUUGGUUCCAUGCUAAGACUGAGCAGGCUGGUGAUCUGAGUGGCCCUUGAGGAGCACCUGUUGCGGUGGAAAAGUGGAGAUCUCCCCCCUGCAACAUGGUAAAAUGAAAUGUGGGUGCUUCAUGGGAUGGAGAUGCAAUGAUCAGUGGAGCUUCUUGGAUUACUCGAGACUCUCAAGGUCAACCGGUAUCUCACAGUAGACGUUCGUACUCAGGGGUAAGAUCGUUACUAGAAGCUGAGCUUUUGGCACUGUUCUGGACUGUUGAUUCGAUGAAGCACCUCCAGUUGAAUAGGGUGAUCCUGGAGGUCUCCUCUAAAGAAGUGUAUGAGCUAAUCACCAACUCUAUAAGGAUGCCUAGGUACAGGCAGGUGCUUAACAACAUACGUGAUAUCUUGUAUAAUGCAGGUAACUACCAUAUCAUAUGUGUUCAUCAUACUUUAAAUAGGGUUUCUUCUGAAAUUGCAACAAGUAUGAUAAGAGAUCUUCGCCUUCAAUCCUAUGUGGCGUCCGGAGGUCCUAGUUGGCUGAUUUCUCUCAUCUCUUCGGAGGCUGUAACAUCCGGUUAGGACCAGUGGACUUAACUCCUCUUGUGGUCGGGCCGUUUGCCUUGCAGCAGGCUCCUUCUUGGAGUUAUUAUAUUUCUAUGUUUUACCCAUUGUUUUGAGUUUUCUUUAAGCUCACCUAUUGGUGUUUACUCAGUUCUGUUAUUGUUUUUUGCUACUUGACCUUUUGGUCAAACAAUAUGGGUGCAUCCCUUUGAAUGAUUAUUUGACAAAAAAAAAUGGAAUAGUACUUGCCAUAUGUGAUACUGAAUGAAAUAGUACUACAUGGAAUAGUAGUACAUCAUAUGUGAUGUUGACGCACCCACUAGUCGGUUUAGAAUUGGUCGGAAGUCAAUUUUGUGAUACUGAAUUUGGAGGGUCUUUAAAAAAAAAACUCAACUCAGGUCCCGCACCAAUGGAAGUCUUCAAUACUUAGAGUCGAUCCAGUUUAGUUUUAAUUUGAUUAAAGAAUUCGGACAUUGUGAAUGAUCGAAGCAAUAGAAUUACAAACUGUCAAAUAUAUAGUAGCAAUUUACAAAUUCCAGUUUUACAUAGUAUCUGUAUGUUAUCAGUUUCAUAUACAACAUAUAUAGAAAGUUAAAUGCUUACUAAAAUUCUAUGUAUGGCAUAAUUCUAACUUUUUCUUUGAGAACAACAUAAUUCUAACUUUACAAGGCAUGGAACUAAAUGUUGUGGAAAAAGUGGGUGUAGAUCAAAGCAUUAGAGAGAAAAUCAUAUGAACUAAGUUAAGAUCCGCGCUUUGCGUGAGAUAAAUAUUAUAUAAAUUAGUUUUACGUAUUAUAUGUUCUUUUACAUAUUAUUAAAUAAUACAUAUAUAUAUAUUGAUAAUUAAAAACUCAGUAAAUAUUAUGUAUAUGAUUAAAUUGGUGCAAACACAUAAAUAAAUUUUAAUAAUUCAAACAAACACUUUUUCUAUUUUAUAUGAUAUAAAAUUAAGUUUUAAUGAUAAUAACAUAGAUAUAUAGCACAUUUUUAAUAUUGAUAUCUGUUAAAUAAUAUUAUAUACUCAUAUUAUUUUUUGAUCAUUUGUAUUUUCUGUAACAAAAUUUUUGAACCACCGAUAACAAUUUUUGUUUUGUGGGAUGUUUAAUAGUUUUAGUCAUUUAUAAUUUUAAAAACAUUAUGAAAAGUUUUAAAACUAAAUAUUAAGUUGUCAAUAUUUGUUCAAAAUUUUUAUCAAACAAAAAAUCAAAGCAAAUUUCAAAAUUAAAAUACAUAUGUAUUUCUAUAUGGUACAUAAUUUAUUUUAAACAAUAUUAAUAUAUUAAUAUUUAUUAAAUGAGAAAAAUAUAAAUGAUGAAAAAUUUAUUAUGAGAUUUUUGACAACUUUAGUCAUUUAUAUUUGAAAAUUCAAAAUAUAACAUAUACAGAAAAAUCUAAAAUUUUACUAUAUAGUUAAUGUGGUUGUUUAAUUUAUUUUAAUAUGUUAAAUUUAAAAAAUGAUAGAGAAUAGACUAUUUUUUAUCAAAUCUUUAUUAUUCAAAAUUAUUAAUUGUCAUAUAUACUUUAGCCACAUUUGAUAAUUUCGUUAUUUUUAUUUAAAGAAACAUUGAAGAACAUUAAUAAUCAAUUUAUGAUUAGUUUAAUAAAACUUAUUAUAUAUUUAGAUGGACCAACAUAUUGUUCUAAGGAUUCUAAGAAUGAUUGUGGUGAUGACACGUGGCUAUAAAAAAUGUUAUAAUGCUUCUCUUUUAAUAUAAAGGGGACGGUAAUGAGAAAUAAACAUAUAGUUAACUUGAAAGCCUCUUUUUUUUUGGACAACCACUUGAAAGCCUUUUAAAGAAAAAAAAAACAUAAAACUUGAAAACACGAUAAGAGAAAAAAUAUGCGGUGUAUCCUUCUAUCUGCAUAACAAUUUCGUGUGACGUUUCUCUUAGUGCUAGUGACGUUUCUCUUAGUGCAAUUGGCAAUUUGGCACAAUCAUCUGAUUUUUCAACAUUCAGUCAAUGUUGGCUCACCAUCGUUUGAAUAAAAUUGAAACUAUGAUUAUGUUCAUUUUUUUUUUAUGUUCAUUUUUUCCGGGAGAAAUUUUUUCCAAUCCGAAAAGAGUUUAUAAAUAUUUGUGCUAGAUUAAAUUAUGACUGAUUUUUCCGCUAUCAUAUGCAACCACAGCUUUUGCGGUUGAUAUCGACUGUUGGCGUUUUCUAACAAUUACUCAAACUAUUUUAGACCACUUCAAACCGUUCUAAACCUCUUAAAUUCAAAAGCUGAUUCCAGUUUGCGGUUGUGAGAGGGUACAUUUUUUUUCUUUUUUUACAAAACUAAAAAUAUUCAAUAAAAAAAUUAAAUUAGAAUUGUGAAAAUACUAAAAUAUAUAUGUUAUAUUUUAAUUAUUAUUAUAAAAUUUUAAAAUAAAAAUAUUUUCUAUAAUUUUUAAAAAUUUAACAUUAAAAUUUCUAAAUAUAAUUUUAAUGUUUAUUAUAAUAUUAUAAUUUUUGACAUUUUUAUAAUUUUAUAAAAUAUAAAUAUGGUUAAUUUAUUAUUUAACUCCAGCUGCAUUUGAUAGUUGACCAGUCAUAAGUAUCCCAUAAACGCACAAAUUUCUAACUGCAUACCAGACGAUAAUCGAUCGACACACCUUCUGUGUUGUCGAUCGACAGUGAAGCGCGCAAAGCCCAGAUUUGGUUCCAGUCGACUUUAAGCCCAAGUCCCAUAAGAAUUACCAGAUUACUCUUGACGAGUUUAACCUAAUAUUUAUGUGCUUUGUCAAUGUUUUAGGCAACACACGUUUUCUACACUUUCAUACUUUCAUACAACAAAAUAUUUAGAGUCUUAGGUUUGAAGAUAAGAUCCAAGAACUCCUUCAGAGAUUUAUGAAUAAAACUCCAAAGUUUUCUACUCUUAUAUAUAUUUAUGCAGUUUUUUUAUGAAUUGCGAGGGAUAAAUGGUGAUAUAUGUUGUGCACGAUGUGGCGCUGAUGAGGAAUCAAUUAACUAUGUAUUUUUUGAUUGUCCUCCAGUAUUACAGGUUUGGGUGCUAUCCAAGAUACCAUCAAAUCCAGCUAUUUUUCCAACAAGAUCUCUUUUUACAAAUAUGGAUCAUCUUUUUUGAAGAGUUUCUCCGCAGCUAGACGAUCAUCAGUUUGCAUGGAUUCUAUGGUAUAUCUGGAAAGGAAGGAAUAAUAAAGUUUUUAGUAACCUUGAUAUGGAUCUUAGGGAUACGAUUAAAUUGGCAGAAACAGAGUCCACACUAUGGGCUGAAGCGCAUAUAGUGAAGGAACAGAGAGCAGGGCCACAUGCAGAGGGUUCGGCAUUACCGUUAAUCCAAGGAAGAUGGUGCUACACUGAUGGUUCCUGGAAAGAGGAUAGUGGUUUCUCCGGCCAGAGGUGGUUUAGUACUUUAGAAGGUUUUGAGGGGAUUGAUGGGGGCAAGGAAUGUUCGGGCUAGUCUAUCUCCUCUACAUGCGGAGAUGGAAGCAUUACAUUGGGCAAUGGAGUGUAUGAGGAACUUACGACAAUUUCAGGUUACAUUUGCAACGGAUUGUUCUCAAUUGGUGAAGAUGGUUUCGGAACCAGAAGAAUGACCAGCUUUUGCAAGUUAUUUAGAUGAUGUUAAAGUCCUGAAAGAAAGUUUUACCCGAUCAGAGAUUGUCCAUGUGCCAAGAACGUAAAAUACAAAGGCGGAUAGCCUAGCACGUAGUGUCAGGAAGCAGCCAUCUUUCGCCGUUCACAUGGAUAGACAUGUCCCAGCAGGGGCGAAUCCAGGAUACAUUUUUAAUGGGUGCAUAAAAAUAAUAAAAUAUAUUAUAUGUGUAUAUGUAUGUAGAAAACUGUGACCGUGGGUGCAUCGAACUUCUGACCUUGAUAAUUAGUGGGUGCAUUCCUUACCAGCUGGGCUAAUUUAGUUAUAAUAUUUAUGUUUAACAUGAAAGUUUUAAAAUAAUUAUGGGUGCACUUGCACACACAAGCAACAACGUAGCUUCGCCCCUGUGUCCCAGUCUGGUUCACAGAGUCUGUAUGAAUCUGUUUAUACUGAUGACAAAAAAAAAAAAAAACUUAGCUAUGUCUAAGUAGUUAUCUUUGACAAGAUGUUAUAAAAGAUAAAUAUAGUUUACGUUUGUUUUAUAUAAAAUUGAAUAAACCAAAAACUGAUAGUAUAUAAACCGAACCAAACCAAGAGAAAUAUGAUUUUAAUAUGGUUGUAAACCAAAAUAUCAAAAAAACCAAAUCGAGAUUAUACCAAUAUUUAAUAAACCAAAAACCGGCAUUAUAUAAACAUAACCAAAGUAAAAUAGAUAUCAGUUUAAUAUGGUAUUUAGUUUUUAUAAACCAAAUUAUCAUAAAACUGAACCGAGACCAAACUAAAAUAUGGACUGAAUAAUCCUAUUAUGUAUGCCUCACUCUAUGUAAAGCAUGAGUCUCAUCCAAGUUAUUAAAAGUAAUCAAAAAACUUUUAGACGGGCAUUUCUCAGUUUUCUUAAGUAAACAAAUUAGAUUAAGUUGCUUAAAAAAACAAAUUAGAUUAAGUUGCUUAAAAAAACAAUAAACAAUAGGGUGCACGUGACCCUGUACCGCCCCAGGAAUGUAGGUGACUUUUAGAAACCAAGAAUCAGCAAUUUACGAACGGAUUUUCUAGUUAGAAAUUCUCACACUAAAAUCGUAUUUUCUCUUAUGUAAACAUCUCGGUAACUAGAUUGGUUGAAUAUUAUAAAUUUGUAAAUUAUAUUCUUGUUACGUGAAAAAACAGUUUAUAAAAUGCUUGUAUUAUAUAUGAUGACUCCUAACAAUAUAUAAUUUUGAUCUCUUUCAACUGCUAGUGAAACGGAUAUUUAAAUCAGACGUUUCUGUUUUAAAAAUCUAAACCGCUUUAUCUAACCAUUAAUAUCUAAACCUGCCAGUUACCAAAAAAAAAAAUCUAAACCUGCUCCAAUAAUUUGUUGGUUUUGAAGUCUUUCACUUGCCACCAAAGCUUCCAAUAUACUAUUAUUGCAUCAGUCAAUUAUGGAGACAACAACAAGAAGUAAUCAAUUUUAUAAACAGUUUUAUUUUAUUCAUAAGAUUUUGCACUAUGUUAUCGUGAAAAGCACCGUUACUAAUUUCUCCACCGGCCAUUAGAAUAAAUGCGCUAAUUGGAAACAUUUAUGUAUUCACAUCAUCUUGGUCGUGUGCCGUGCCGUGUGCGUUAGAGAGAGAGAAAGGCCCGCCCCCACUUAUGACCUGUAGCUUAUGACUUGCCCCUUCGUAUACACAAUCUCAUCUCUUCCCCUCCAAACUACAAUUUUGUCCCUUUCUCAUGAACGUUUUUGGUCUAUUUCUGGUCCAAGUGGGAUUUCCACUAUUUUUUGAAGUAGAAAUCGAACAAUUUUUUUCUGCUUUUUCUUUCGCAUCUCAUUAGAAAGCAACAUGAUUUUUUUUUUUAAAAGCAUAAAAAUUAAAAAUUAAAAAAAUAGAAGAAUUGGUACGUGCGGGAGUUUCAGUUUCCUCUAGGAGGCAUUUUGAUUUUUUGACACAUUAAAAAUAAAAUUAACGAAAAAUUCCUUCUUAUUAUUCUGGUGAGCCACUAUCAAAGAUAUUUGUAGCAAAAAGUAAUGGAGGACACGUAGGGCCUAAGGAACAGACAGAUGGUGUGUGGUUAAGAAACUGAGUCUCUCUCUCUCUCUCCUCCAUGUCCUAACACCAUGUCUCAAUACACAUUCUCUUCAAUACUCAUUUUUUUCUUCUAAGUUCUGAGCCAUCCUUUAUAUAUGUCAUCUCUCUCUAUCUUCAUUCUUACAUGCAUUGAGAAUUUACAUGAAGAGGGAGAGAAAGAAACAGAAACUUGAGGUCAAGGAGGAGAGGAAAAUGGAGGUGGCGGUGGUAGUGGAGCAAGUUGAUGCGUUGGCUGCAGCAGCGAUGGUAGCUGCGGCUGCGGCCGUUGAGGAGGAGGAACUGUGGGGAAUGAGGCUCACGGAAGGAGACGUUGUGGUCGACGAGCUGAUGACAUGGAGCACCGUGUUGCCCUCAUGUUGGAACGUGGAGUUUGUUGAGAAAAAUUAUGGAGUAUUGUUCGAAGAUGUUGUCUGGGAGGAUGAUCUUUGGAAUCUGAACACUUCCACUUAGCUCCCUCCUCCUUUAGAUAACAUAAGACAAGAUUGAAGUCGUGAGAUUCAAGGUUUUUUCAAUCGAUUCGGUUGUUCGGUUUAAGUUUAUAUGAACCAUAUAUUGUAUUUGUUUUGGUAUGGUUUUUUUGAGUUUUUGAUCAUGUUUUUACUAAAAGAAAAUAUCCUUAAUUCGAGGACUUUUUAUCAUAGAAAAUCAAGUUUGUUUUGGGUUUUGGUUUUUUCUUGGUUUAGUAUUAAGUUUUUUUGGUUGGGGGGGGGUUUUAAGAACAGGAACAAAGUUAAAAAAAGAACAUACAUUAUGUGCCCUAUUAAGGAGUAGUUUUGUAACUGAUAUCUCAUGAUUUUCAUGAGUUUUAGAUUUAUAUUUUAGCUUAUUAUGAUUAUUUUAGGUUGCAUUUAGGUCUUUAUGUUGCAUUUGCAUACUCAUUUGCAUAUCAUAGGGGUUGGAAUGCACAUUUAGAAGUUUUGGGCAACAUUGGAAAGUUAUUGUUGCAAGUCAAAUACUUUUGAGUCAAAAAUGAAAGAAGGCGAGAAUCCAGGGACCGAAGUUGCAAAUGCAGAAAUUCGGUGGGGUUAAAUUGCACAAUCAAAAGUUAAGGGGCUAAAGUAAGGAUGUUUCUGCAAUUUACAAAGUUGUGGGCUCUUUUGUAACAAAUCCAAAGUUCGAGGACCUGCUGUGCAAAAUGGAAGAAACCACCACUGGAGAAGAUCGAGAGCUUCCUCUUCGCCGGACCUGAGUUUGAUUCAGCUCACCGGAGGUCGCAGAGAGGAGAUAAGCACGGAGACGGCUUGACCUUGAGAUUCAGAAGCUGAAGAGAUCCCGUAGUGGAAAGCUUGGCGGAGGAGAGACGACGAUUGAAGCUUGAUGGCUGCGACGGCGAGAAGCACUCCGGAGCUUCAGGACGUGCUGUCACGGCUCGAGCUGAGACCACGACGGUGAUUCUGAGCACAGCCACGGAAUGAUGACGACGACGGCACGUCGAGAUGUCGAGAAGAAGAAAUGAGGAACUCCACGCGGGUUGAGCAACUCGGGAAGCUGUACCCGCUCGCACCGGAAGAGACGUCAACACCAGUCUCACGCGGGGAAGGACGACGCGGGGAGCUGUACCCGCUCGCAUGAACUGAAGGCGUGGCGACGGCUUAACGCGGGGAAGCUUACGCGGGUGGAGCGACGAUCCCUACCCCGCGCCGAGACUUAUCUUUAAUCGAAUUUUAAUGUUUUUUUAGACUUUUUAAUGGGAACCAUUAGGUUUACCAAAGACAUAUAAAUACUCUUGUAAUCCUAAAGUUAGGAUCUAUCUUAUUUUCUAUCUAAUCACAAAGAACUUUGAGUUUAAAGAUCUAAUUUUGAUCAUUAUCUUUUGUGAUUGCUUAGAUUAUAUUGAUCACUAAUCAUGAUUAACACCAAAUCAUCAUUGAUUCUUGGGUUUAUCAUGAUAAUUAGUGAGUACUCAUCUUUGGAUUCAUGGGUUAGGGAGAUUAAGGGUGAUUAAGCUAGAUCUAAGGUGUUUUAGUAUAGAUCCAUCUUGUUCCUUGCUAGUAGAGUGAUUUUAAUGCCAUUUUAGAGUUGACCUCUCUAAAGUUGAGCUUUAGGCAUUUCAUACCCGGAAGGUGUUUGAUGAAAUGCCUGAACCAACUCUCCUAAGCUUUUAACAUUCUUUACCAAAGAGAUUUGUUGUUAAAGGUGUUAAGAUGACUAGUAGACUUGAGAUUAAUGAUUACUUAGAUAACAUUCAACCAAAGGAAUUUGAUGCUUGAGUUAUCUAGGUAAAUGAGCAUUCAUCUAGGGAUAGAGUUUGCUUAGGAUUAUGUCUAGGUCUAAGGUAGAUAUAGAUUGGUUGAAAGUUGACACCUUUAGGUUGAAUCUUGAUCACCCAAGAUCAAUUCCCAUAGCCCAUGAGUUCUCCCAUCUUAUAAGGUAGAAAUCUAGUUUAAAAACAUCUCAAAAACUGGUAGCACUUAGAUUAAGCAUGGUCUUGCAUUCUCUUUGCAUCAUAAUCACUUAGAACUGGUUUGACAUCCUUUAUACUACAACAUUUGAUUAGGAGCCUUGAAACUCCUAACAUCAGUAACCUUGAUUUUAGUGGUAGAAUUUAGUGGUUUAAGAGACGGUUCAUCUAGAGUCGUGGGGUGAACUCGUCUCACGUGGUGAAAAAUACAACGCCGAUUUAGAUUAGAUAGCGUAUGAUCUUUCUAAGUGUUCAUGGGUGUUACUAAAUCUCGAUGUUGUAUGUGGGGUCUAAAUCUGCAUUGAGGUUAAAAAUCUUUGUAAUCACAAUUUGGUUAAUGAAAGUUGUAGUUGAGCCCAAAAAAAAAACAAACUCAAAAACGGCUCGCCAAAAAUGUAAAUAAUUAGAGUAAAUAUUUAAUAUAAAUUAUAUUUAAAAAUAAAUAUAUUAGUUAAAUUAUGUACGUAUUAUUGUAUUUGAAGACUAAAUCUAUCAUGUUGUCUUGAUAAGCAGUUUUGAUUUAUUUAUUUUUUUAUGGUGACAUCUUAUCAUUUUUGGUAAUUUCUGGAUUUGGAUGAAUCUAAAGAAUCUAGUGAGGAAAGAAACUAACUUGUAAUUAUAGAUUAAGUAAAUAUAUAUGAGUAAUUUUUUUCUGAAAUACACAUUAUUUUAAAAAUAAAAACUUUUACAUUUUCAAUACAUUGUUUAUUGGUAAAAUACAAACUUUAAAAAAGAAAUUGUUUUUUUCGAGAUGCUAUUGGUUAAAAACUUUGGGAUAUAGUUUAUUACAAAUUAAUAUAUCAAUAUUCAUUUUUUGAGAUAAAUAGAAAAUAUCUUUUUGUUUCAAAUAUUUUUGUUAAAAAAAAGUUUUUGAUGUGAAAAAUGUAUUUGGUCACGACUUACCCAAACCGUUACAUAAUAGUAAAAAUAGCUUUUGGUGUGAAAAUGUUUUACGCAUGAAUAAAUAACAUUAACAUCUUUUUUUUUUCAACAAAGGAAACUAAACUAAACAGGUUCCGGUCGCGAAAGCCAUCUCGGUAGAACUGAAUCAACAUAAACCUUAGUAGAAGGCAGGUCUCUAGCACCUCGUGCUAGUUUGUCUGCCAUUGUGUUUUGUGCCCUUGGAAUAUGUUGAAUGAAGAAGUUGGAGAAGUAAUCCUUACAUCGUAGAAACUCUUCCAUGUGAGUAGUGAAUGCCGGCCAUUCUGUUGGUGUAGACACCAUCUUCACCAAUUGUGAGCAGUCAGUUGCAAACACCACCUCUGAGAUAUGUAGGGUCUUCAUGCACUCCAUCGCCCAUAUCAAAACUUCACAUUCUGCAGGUAAAGGUGAUAGACUCCUGCGAAUAGACAUUGCACCCAUCAUAGUAUCAGUGGAUCUUUCGUUUCUGUAAAACCAUCCUUGUCCUGUGAAGGAAUCUUGUUCUCUCCAUGCACCAUCAACACAACAUCGAUCUAUCCCAUGUAAAAUAGGGGUUCCAACAUGGGAAGACUCCCUUAAUGUAGCUUCUUUAGUCUGGGAUUCGGCCCAUAACACCUCUUCAAUUUCCGCAGUGCGGAGAAUAUAAGGAGGAUCCCUAACUUUGUUAUUAAAAAAUUUAUCAUUACGAUUCUUCCAGAUAUACCAUAAGAUCCAUGGGAAAUAACUCAAAUCUGGUUCUUUUGGAAGGCGCCAAAAUAAAUAAUCCAUAUUGGUAAAAAGAGAUUGGGUGGGAAAAACCCCUAGAAGGGAAGGAAUGUUAGAUAACGCCCAUGUUUGUAGUGCCAGAGGACAUUCAAAAAGCACAUGGUUAACGGAUUCUUCCUCUGCGCCACAUAUAUGACACUGUAAAUCACACUUAAUCCCCCGAGAGCGAAGGUUCUUUGUAACUGGCAAAGUGCCAGAAAGUAUUUGCCAGACAAAAUGUCUUAAUUUAGGUGAACACUUGAGUUUCCACGAAUGAGCUAACAAUGGUUUAGUGUUAGGCCCCCAUUCACAGGCUUGAAAACCUGAUUCCGGGAAUGAUAUCUCAGUUCGAUACCCUGAUUUAACAGUAUACCUGCCAUGAUCCGUAAACUGCCAGCUAUAUGAAUCUGCCUUAGGGUACCGACUAAUAGCUAAACCCUGAAUAAUCCUCACAUCAUCCUUGUGGAUAUAUGCAUUGAGCAAAUUCAAGUUCCAAGAAAGAUCAAAUGGAUUGAUUAAAUCCUCCACCUUAAGAAGUGGAUUCAGGUAUUGAUUUUGAAGUUUUGGGGUUGCUGACCUCGGGCGAUGAGCAGGAAUCCAGGGAUCAUUCCAUACAGAAAUGCUUGAACUUGUACCCACUCUUUUGAUUAGCCCUUUAUUAACCAGAGAUCUAGCUGAAGUAAUACUUCUCCAUCCAUAAGAGGGAGAAUAUGAGCGUAUCGGAUCCAUUGGAUCUGAUGUCCUAUAAUAUCUUCCUUUAAAAACCUUCGCAAAAAGGGAUUUAGGUUUAUCAAUAAGCCUCCAUAGUUGUUUUGCUAAUAAAGCAGUAUUAAAAUUCUGAAUAUCUCUGAAACCAAUACCCCCUCAUUUUUGUCUUUGCACAUCUUAUCCCAUGAAAACCAAUGCAAACCUUUUUUAUUUCCACUCCCGCCCCACCAAAAAUGAGCGACCACACUCGUUAAUUUCUUGGUAACCGUUUUGGGUAAACGAAAGCAAGACAUCACGUGAGUUGGCAUUGGAGAUGCCACUGACUUGAUUAAAACUUCCUUUCCCCCUUUUGUAACAAAACGUAUCGUCCAAUUAUUUACCUUAUUGUUAACCCUUUCGUGAAGAUAUCCAAAAAUUUGUGUUUUUGAUCCACCCAGACUCUCCGGAAUCCCCAAAUACGUCCCCAUACCUCCUAAUUUGGUAAUACCCAGGACCUGUUGGAUUUCCAGUCGCACUAGUUCUGGCACCUUAUGUCCAAACUGGAGUGAUGACUUCUCAAAAUUAAUUUUCUGCCCCGAUGUUCUUUCAUAGUCUUUCAGAAUCUGUAAUACGACCCCACAUUCUUGCCUAUUAGCUUUGCAGAAAAAUAAACUAUCAUCAGCAAAGAGUAAAUGAGAAACUGCAGGACUACCCCGCGCAAUUUUUAAACCUGUUAACAACUUAUCCUCUUCUCUCUUUCUAAUUUUCGAAAUUAGCGCCUCAGUACACAAAAUAAAUAAAUAAGGCGAUAAAGGAUCCCCUUGACGUAACCCUCUAUUUGGAACAGUAUGUCCUUUUGGCUGACCAUUAAUUAAAAUUUUAUAUUGUACCGAAGCAACACAAGACAUAAUUCUGGAUACCCAUUGUUGUGCAAAACCUAGCUUUAACAACAUCGCCUCAAUAAAGGACCAUUCAACCCUAUCAUAGGCCUUACUCAUAUCCGUCUUUAUAGCCACAAAUUUGUCCUUACAUGCCUUAUUUGUUCUUAGACCAUGAAACAUUUCCUGAGCAAUCAAAAUGUUAUCUGAAAUCAAUCUCCCAGAAACAAAAGCAGACUGCGUUUCCGAGAUAAUGUUCGGUAAUAGUCUUUUCAGACGUUGGCACAUUACCUUUGAAAUAAUUUUGUAACCCACAUUACACAAACUAAUAGGUCGGAGUUCCAUCAUUCUAGCUGGCCUUACUGUCUUUGGAAUAAGACAGAUAUUAGUCACAUUCAAUCCCUCAUCCAGAAAACCUGUCCUAAAGAAUUCAUUCACCAUGUCAGUAAUAUCAGCUUUAAUAAUCGACCAUGAUUGCUGAAAAAAUAAGGCUGUCAUUCCAUCUGGUCCUGGAGCCUUUUUCGGAUGCAUCAAAAACAAAGCUGAUCGCACUUCCUCCUAAGUUGCCCAGGAAGUAAGAAAACUAUUCUGAUCAUCAGAUAUCAAUGUUGGUACCGCUUCCAAGAAAUCUUCACUAUCCGAAGGCGAAGAUGUUGAAAAAAGAUCAUUAAAAUAAUCUAUCGCCACCCCCUCCACUUCUGCCUCCGAUGUAACCCAAUUACCGUCACCAUUAUAUAGCCCCACAAUUUUCUUUUGUAUCUGUCGCUGCUUUGUAAGAGCAUGAUAAAAUUUUGUAUUCCGAUCUCCUUUUGCAUGCCACAUCGUCCUACUUUUUUGUUCCCAAAACCAUUCUUCAUCCCUAUAUGCUUCUUUUAGUUUUCUGGAGACCUCUAGCACCUCCUCAUAGGUUUUAGUGUUAUCACACUGAAUUUCCUCCAAAGCCUUCUGUAGGGUAUUUAUUUUUUCCUUUUCAUAUGGGGGAUUAUUUUUCCUCCAGACUGAAAUUUCAUGUCUACAAUUGGUAAUCUUCUCAACAAUCCCUGAACUAUGUCUGUGAUCCCUUGACUUCCAUCCCCUCGAUAUAGUCUCCAUGAAACCUUCCUCUCCAAUCCACCUCUUAUCAAAACGAAAUUGUCUCCUUGUCUUAAUUCGUUUUUCAUCCAAAUUUGUGACAAUGGGUCUGUGAUCCGAUCCCACCAUUCUCAAAUAUUCUACAUAUGCAGAAGGAAAAAGAGAAUGCCAUUCCGCAUUUCCCAAUGCACGAUCCAAUCUACACCGGAAAGUUUGCCCUUGUCUCUUACCACUCCAAGACAAUGUAUUUCCCAAAGCCGGGAACUCCAACAGACCACAAUUUGCAAUCAUAUUAUUGAAUUGUACAAAUGUGGAAGCAUGCCGUAACGCACCCCCUUCUCUCUCAUGGUUACCCGUAAUUUCAUUUAAAUCUCCAAUUAUAAACCAUGGCUCCUUCCUAGUAAUACCAAUUCGUGUGAGACGUUCCCAGACAUGAUCCCUCCUAUCUUGAACCGGGUCCCCAUAUACAAAAGAAAUAAAAAAAUAUUGUUUUCCCUUUAUAACUUGUUUCAAUAUCUAUAAUUCUAUUGCUUGAAAAGAUUAUGGUCACUGGGAAAUCAUGGCUAUGAUAAAGAGCCAGUCCACCACUCCCACCAAUCGGGUCCACAGUAUGCAAAAAUUUAUAUCCAAAAUGAAAUUGAAAAUUCUGAACAAAGGUGAACUGUUGUUUGGUUUCUGAAAGAAAGAGAAACGCCGGUUUAUGUUUGUGCCAAAUAUCCCUCAAAUAACUAAUCGUAUAAUUACUUCCCAUCCCACGACAAUUCCAACUUAAUAUUUUCAUGACCCGUUGAAUUCAACUACGAGAGCUUUUCCUUAUUGGCAGAAUACAUAACUCUCAAACUUGAGAUAAAAACCUUUAUACCACACUUCAAACUUAAUGUUAACCAAAUAUAUCUCAAUAAUUCUGAUGCCACUUUAGAAAUCAUCCUUAACACCGUAUUCUUUAGGUUACCAAACACAUAAACAAUAGAGCAAAAAAAACAAUUCCGUUCAAAGAAAACUCCCAGUGACCCAAUACACCAAAUAUCAUUACAAUCAACCUCACAGAUUCCGUGGCUCGCUACAAAUAAUACAUCCCACUCCAACCAAAUCAGUAACAAGAUCCUUUCACUCUUAUAACCCAUCUCAAAACCACCACCGGCCCCAGAGCUUAUGGACCUACACCGCAUAUCCCUGACCACGAAGAAGCUCGCCCAUAAAACACCAGACUUGAAGACCAGGACCUCUCCCUCCACUACCUGUGAUAGUGGAUCCAUGGAUCCAUACCAGCCAGCACUAGACCAGAAAUAACCCAUAAAAUCCAACCUUUUAUGAAAGGCAAAACGCCAACUCCACAAUAACCCAUAUACCAAGCUUCUAUAAACACCAACUCCACUGCAAACCAUAAAUGCAUUUUCCAAUCCCAAUUUAGAAACCUUCAACCCAGUCCACAUACCAUAAUAACGGCAACCAGACCUAUCAGCAACCAGCUCUAACCCCCAAACCGAGCUUCUACUGAUCUCCAUAAAGCUCCCACAGCUUGACCAAUCCUCAAGCCAAAAUCCAGCCCAAUUGAGCCACCAACUCCACUGAAACAACAUCCAAGUAUGUAAAGAUAUAAACUUAGAUGAGAAAGCUUGACUAGCAAACCCCAAAAUCCUAGUGAGCAAAUAUGUAAGAAUGAGACAUAACUACCCGUGUAACUCACACUCAACAAAAACACCUUAUUUAGGCAAAGCAACACAUCCCUACGGUUAAAAAAACCAGCAUUUUUAUUCCAUCUCCCUGAUAUACUCAGAGACAACUCGAAUCGAAAAACCAUAAACAUAAAGACCAUAGACUUUUUAAAUAAAGCCCUAAACUUAUGCAUAAAUUAUAAAGAAAACAACCACGACGGAAACUCUAGUCCUGAUCCGGUUUAGGCUUAGCAGAAGCCUUCUUCUGUGGAGCUGUGCCCUUCUCCCCCACCUUACUGAGGUGCUUUGCCAUCACCUUCUUCCUUGGAGAUGCAAAGCACUGGACCGCCCUCUUCUUCGCAUUCCCGCCCAUCCCUUCAGCAUUACUCUUCCCAUUCUUGUUCUUCUGACCCUGACGUCCUUUCUCCCCUGCAAGGAAAUUCACAUUUUCCUCCAUUUGAACAUCUUCCCCAAAAGCAUUAACAUCCUCCACUGUCAUCUCCGUAUCUGUAGCCUUCAUCUCGUCCCCCACUUUUCCUUCCAACUCUUCCUCCUCUCCAUCCUCGAACAUCUCAUACUCCAAACUCCCAUCUUCACCGCCCAGACCAGCUACCAUCUCCGAAGAACCCCCCUCCACUUCAAGACCAGCCUCGUCCUCCUUCCUCUCCUCCUUUUCCUCACCACCACUAAAGUCUCCGACCUUCUCCAUUUUCUUUGUAUCAACAACAGCAGGGCCCACUCCAAUAGGAUCUCUUGUUUGAAGCUCUGAGACCGCCAUCACUUCCUUCUGCCCACUAGCACCAUCUGUUUGUAUCUCUCCAACCAUAUUCUGAUGUACCUCCCCUGAAGCCUUCUCCUCAAACUGAAGAGCCCUACGUGCCUUAGACCCUGGCGUUUCUUUAUUUCCACCACUUGUGAAAGCAUCAAGCAUUAACUUUUGAUUUUCCUCCAGAUGGGCCCCAACGUCCAGAUUACCCAAACCCUUAACUCCAUGCGUAGCCAUAACAUAGCUAUCCUGAAGCUCUCUAGGAGGAAGGUAAUCCGCCUGUCUGACAAAUCGUGAUGGUGCUCUCCCUUGCUCUCUGUACCUUCUUCCUGGACCUCCUUUCGCCAAAGUAGCGUGUUUCCCUCCAUCAUAAGCUAUCCCUUUUCCUUUGUAAUCAUGUUUUCCCCCUGACUGAUGAUUUUGUCGCCUUGCAUCACCCUCAGGAACAUUUCCUUUAGGAUGAGACUCCACUGCCCCCCUGUAGCUCAGAGCCUUAUCUCCCUGAUCUGGCUUAUCCGAUGGGCCCUCAUCAUCUUCCUCAGAUACAGUUUUUGUAGUGGGACACUUUGAUUGAUCAUGCCUCAAGCUCGAGCAUAUCCGACAGAAGCCAUGGAGCCGUUCAUACCUCAAUGCAAUCACCGCCUCUUCCCCACUGUGAAACUCAACGGUCAUGGAGAACACUAACGGCUUGAACGCAUCCAAGACCACCCGAACUUUCCCUUCAUUGAUGUCUAUAUCAGCAGGGAAAUAUUUAGUAUGUAAAAGAGAAGAAGGGAAAUAUUUCAAAACAUUUAUUGUCUAACACGUACUUAUGUCAGAGAUAUCUUCCUUGAUCGGCUUGUUUAUUAAUAAAGCUGAAACUGAUCAGUUUAAAAAAAAAAAAAAGAAGCUGAAAUUGAUUUAAUCAACAUAAGCCAUAAAUAAUCGACUGCAUAAGGAAAAUGCUUUUACAAAUUUCGUACAUUUUUACAAAAUAGCUAUAUCAUGCAUGUAGACAUUGACACAUUUACCCAGAGCCGAAGAAUCAAACUGAAUUUCAUAAAUAUUUGCACACAUCGUACGUUUUUGAAAAAAAAAAAUCUAGACCAAAUCGGAACCGAAUGAAUACUCAAAUGUUGAAACAUAGUUUAUGUAUCUAAAAUAACUAAUUUCUUUAGUUUAACAAUAACCAGUUAUCCUAACAAUCUACUUUUAAACCGAAUUCUCCAAAAAGUCAAAUUAUCCAAAUGUCUUUUUAUCCAAAAUAGUUCAAAUUAUCUAAAUUAUCCAAUGCUAUCUGAAAAUUCUGAACUACACAAUAACUUUUUUGGAAAAAUCUAUUUUAUCCACAGAAAGUAUCUAAAUUAACAAAAUUACUGUUGCGCGGGUAUUUAUUUCCACUACAUAAACAUUUUUUUUUGCAACAUUUGUGAUAUAUAUAUUAUAAUAUUAAAAUAUUUAACGUAUUAAAUUAUUAAAUUUUUUAGAAUAUAAUAAUAAGUCAUAUAUCAAAAUAUGGUAAUAAUUUAUACAUCAUUGUUAAAAUAAAUAUAUUCAGAUAUGAUUUUCUAAAUUUGUAAAGAUGAUUUAUUCUAUUUUUAUAAUUAUACAAUUUUUAUUACUAAUUUUUCUAAAACGUUCUAUAUUUUUUUAAACAAAAUUUAAUCGUAAUAUCAUUAGUUUCUUUUAUAAUAUCUAAGUUUUUUAUAAAUAUUGUUUAGUUUUAUUUUUGAUAAUUAUACAAUUGUAUAUCAUUUUAUUAGUUUUAUAAAGGUUGAUAUAAUAUAUUUAACCACAAUAAAUAGAUAAAAUUUUAUCGAAGAUUAUUAUUUUUUAAGAUAUAACUAUAGAUAUUCUUAAAUAUAUUUUAAAAUAAGCAAAAUUAUUUUUAAUUUUAAUAAUAAUGUUUAAUUAAAUAAGAUUUCUAUUAAAAUAUUGGUAAAAUAAUAAAAUAUACAAUAUUAAUAAAUUUUAUUUUUAACUUUAUUUAAAUUUAAAAAAUAUAAGAAACACCUAGUUAAAAUAUUCGACAAUAGACAAAUAUUGAGAAUCAUUUUGAAGAAAUAACUAAUCAGAGUUGUUCAAUGCACCCCAAGUCAAAAUAGAGAGGCUAGUUACUCAAUAAGUAGGACUUAAUUCAAGAAGCUUAAUAUUGUAUUGUAGGUGUUGGGUUGGAUGGGAUAUUAUUUGGUGGUCGGAUGAGAGGGUAUAUAUGUUGGGUCUGAGCUAUGAAAUGACCAAGUACACAGCAAAACCAAACUUAUAACUAUAAACAAAAUCAAGGAUUUAUUCCACUUAUCAUAGGUUAGACCGUUAGAGUUCGAACUACGACGGCCGUAUCAAGACUCAACAGCACGACGUAGUUUCCUCACCUCCUUAUUCUUGAAAAGAAGUAAAAACAAUGAAAUAUUUCACCAUGUCUUCUUGAUUUUCCAGUCAAACGAAAUAGAAGCAAAGCAAACUCACUCGUAUUUCUGUGAGGAAGACCGAUCAAUACUCUUUUGUCCUAGCAAAGAUUAUACUACAGAGAAAGUAAAAAAGCAAUGCGACCUGGUCAUUUCAAGAAGUUAAAUCUACAAAUUUUAGUAAAAAAGAAGAAGUUAAAUCUGCAAAAGUAUGAAGCAGGAAAGUUUUAAAAGGGAAAGUACAGCCUUUUGUGCAGUUAUCAAUCUGAUGUGUUGUUUCAGUGGUUCUGCGGAAUCUAAUGCACGUAAGGAAAAUGUCGCACAGCUCUCUUCGAUAUUAUCUGUGGUUUCCCCAACCUGAGAAACUGAAUUAUUGUGGUCAUGUGGGUCAGCACACUGAAUCGCUGAGAACCCUGGCUUUUUAGUAUCUAAAGUUUUAAGAUCGAAUGAAUUGUUUUUCAAUCCUCAUUACCAAGAAAUAGAACACAAAAAUACAUUCUGGUACAAUCCCAUAUGAGACUAACAAUAUUCACAAGAGAAAGUUCUUUAAAGAUCUCUAGUGAAACUACAGUGGUCAAGAACAUUGAGAAGAGAUAGUGCAAUGGAUGAAUAAAAGUACCGUAGUCCCGGCAUGUUUAUCCAAAACGACAUAAGAAGAGUCAGUCACAGAAAUAAUCCGCGACUUCCAGUCAAUUUCAUAACACCCGAUACAAUCCAUCAUGUGUGCAGUGAAUAUUAUCACCAAAGCUUUCCAAUUUCUAAACAGUUUUCUAACAGUGUACCUUGGGGAACGUUUUGGUUGAACGUGCACACGCAAGUAAGUUCCAGCUUCAACAUACUGAUUAGCAUGAGAGAUACAAAACGUUUUCUGAGCUUCGCUAACAAUUUUUCUUUUGAUAGAAGAUCUCUUACGCAGUACUGAAGGAGAGGUUACUUCUUUAAAGAGUUUAACUUGCUAAGGAGUCGCAGUGGGUGGAGGUUUAGGGCAUACAAGAGCGUAAAGACAGCUCCAAAUCGAUAUAUAUUAGGUGAUUCAUCAGUUAAAAUGUUUUCAUAAACGGAGCCGGCUUUAUAGGAAAAAGUUCUUAUAAUAGUCGAUAACAAGGUUGUGACUUCUCUUUUAAUAUAUAAGAUAUUAAAAACGGAACUGAAAUUAAUUAGACCUGAAACUUUCUCUAAAUCAGCCGAUUUCCAAUUUUAUUGUUCGAAACGAAUUGAAAACCUAAAUAACCAAUGAUAAACAAAAUUGAAAUUCAUAAAUAACCAAAAAAACAUAAAUAUAUAAAAAAAUUGAAAACUGAACCCAAAAUCAUAAUGCCCAGAGCUACUUGUAUCUUCAAAAUUGAACACAAAAAAGAGAACAUCAUACUUAAGAAAAGUUUCAGUCCACCUUUUUAGAAAAUAUGGAAUGUUUUUCUUAAUGAGAAUUACAAUUUUUAUUCAAAUUUUGUUAUCUUCGGUUGGUAGUCCUUUUUUCUGUUUCCGUUCUUUUUGUAAAUGUCCCGACCGGAGAUGCACAAGUACAAAUCUACGUUUCGUGAAAACGGAAGCAUGUACGUGGAAACAUAAGCGGGUACGUGGAAGCGGAAGCGUAUAGAAGCGCAGAAGCGAGAUUUUUUAAAAAAUUCGGAAGCGGGUACGUGUUGGAAGCGUAUCCAUAUAUAUAUACAUAUAUAAGAAUUUGUUUAAAAUCUAGAACUAAAAAUUAUAUGAUUUAAAUUUAAAAUAAAGCAUUUAUUCAUUUAUAAUAAUUUUGAAAUGAUUUCAUAUUAAGACUGUGAAAAUACAUAUAAAUACACAUAAAUUAUUAUAUUAAUUAUUUAUAAUACUUUAUAAUUAGUUGACAUGAUAUAUUUGAAUAUAUGAUUUAUCUUUAAUAAGGACUUCAAUGCAUAAAUAUAAUUUACAGUAUUAAUUUUAAUAUUUGUAUAUUUCUAUUCUCUCUAUUCAAUACUAUUAUAUUUGGAUUUCAUAUAAAUUAAAAACUAUAAUUUUAUAUUUUUAUUGAUAUAAGACAUUGUAUUUCUUUGUAAGAACGGAAGUGUGAUUCCAAAACGGAAUCGUAAGCUUCCAACGUGUUUUUAAAGAGAAAAUUUUAGAAGCGUUUUGGAAGCGAAAUUCCGUAAGCUUCCACAAGGUUCUGAUUUUGAUUCCGGUUUCGAAGCGAGAAUCGGACAUCCGAUGAAGCUUCCGUGCAACGUAGGUACAAAUAGCUUACAAGUACAAAAAGAUUUCACUGUCUAAAUUUUUUUAAACAGAAAUAUUUUAUUUUCCUUCAGACUUCAAGAUAUUUAGCUACAGUCUGAACAUCUUUACCCCCUCUUCUGCUUCAUAGAGCGUCCACCUUAGCGAAUUUUUUUUUUCCGAAAGAUGAAAUGUGGCAUUACAAUAAAAAAAUAAUUAGUCUAUAUACAAUAUAAGAAAAAUAGAUAAUAAUUAAAUAUACAAUAUAAGAAAUAUAAAUACUACAUUUAACAUCUAUCGUAAUAUUACUAUUUAAUAUAAAAACAAAAAAUUAGAAUUAGUAAAUAUACAAAAGAAGAUUAAAUAAAUGCUAAGUAAAUAUACAAGAUACUAAAAACGGAACAUUUAUGUCUGAUUGAGUUUUCAAAGCAAAAACGCAACCAUACAUAUUCAUGUUUUAUGGAAUAGAUUGACAUGUUAUUAGGGUGUACACAUCAGCGAAAAAACUUCUUCCAAAAGAUGCCACAUGACAUUAUUAUUUUUUUGGUAAGUGUCUAUAAUGUAAUAUUAACAUUUCAUAUAAAAAGGUAAAUAAAUAAAUUCGAAAAUUAGAAUAUGAAAAUAUACAAUAUAAGAAAAUGUACAAUAUUACAUUUUUUACAUUUAGUUUUACAAAAAAGUUAAAUAAAUAAACUUGAAAAUUAAAAUAAGAAAAUAUACAAUAUAAGAAAUGGUAAUAUUAAGUUAAAUAAAUAAAAUACAAAAUUAGAAUAAGAAAAUAUACAAUAUAAGAAAAUAUUAAAAAUAUAAACGUAUUUUUAAUAUAUGAAAUAGAGAUUGCUUAUUUUUGGCUUAUUUCGGUCAAAAUUAUUAUUUUCGGUCAUAUGAUUUAAUGAGUCACGUGACUUCUUUUGAAAAAAAAUAUUAGUAUCUUAACAUGGACAGUCUUCUUUAUAAAAUUAAAUAUAAAAAAUGUAAUAUUAUUAUUUUCUUAUAUUGUAUAUUUUUUAUUCUAAUUCUGGAUUUUAUUUAUUUAACUUAAUAUUAUCAUUUCUUAUUCAAAUCAUAAUCGCAUGGCAUAGAAAAUCGACACUGCAAGCUCCACGUACUCGCGGCCUGACAGAAGUGGAUAUAAUCAAAUAAAAAUCUGUGAUUCUGAGAUGUUCCAACGCGAAGAACCCCUACAAAGUUAGUGGAGUCAUUGUGUUUAUUUUGCUAGUCUUCUUUGAUGAGGGGCAAUGGUGUGAGUUCGCUGUUGCUGGGUGGAUGGUUUUAUAGCCAUGUUUUUUAGAAGGAAAUAAACAGUCUCUUCAUAUAAAAAUGUAAUAUCAUUAGUGGAGAUUUGGAAAUAAUAAAAAUGUAAAACUAUACAUUAUUUCAGAUACUAUAUUUAAUGUAAUAUUAUCAUUUCUUAUAUUGUAUAUUUAUUUAUUCUAUUUUUUAUUAUUUUUUCUGAUAAUCUAUAUUUACUUAUUUUAAUUUUUUUGUUAAUUGUUUUUGUUAAAUAUGAAACAGUAAUAUUACAUUGUGGAGAUGAUUUAUUUUUUGGCUUAUUCCAGUCAAAUUCAAAAUUAGUAGGGAUUUGGAAAUAAUAAAAAUAUAAACAUAUUUUUUAUAUAUAAAAUAGUGAUUGCUUAUAUUUGGUUUAUUCCGGUCAAAAUUAUUAUUUCGGUCACAUGAUUUAAUAAGCCACGUGAUUUCUUUUGGAAAAAAGAUUUGUAUCCUAGCAUGGACGCUCCUCUUUGUAAAAUUAAAUAUAAAAAAUCUAAAGGCUUACAAAAAGGUUAAAUAAAUAAAUUUGAAAAUUAAAAUAAGAAUAUAUAUAAUAUAAGAAAUGAUAAUAUUAAGUUAAAUAAAUAAAAUAAAAAAUUAGAAUAAGAAAAUAUACAUUUUAGGUGUAGAUCCCGGUUCGUCUCGCUCCGUCCGGUUCUUAUUGCUGGUGAUCUGAAGUGUAUUGGGUCCUGUGCUUCAGGUUUAUAGUUGUUCAAUCGUUGAUCUCGUUUGGUCCUCCGUGAAUUCAGUAGCAGUGAUGGUCAAAAGGGUUUCAAAUUUGGGUAAAACACUGUUUUUUACUUUGAUUUCCUGUGACCAUAUAUACAUUUCGAUUCUAGGUUUUUUAAACUAGUUUUGUUUGACACAGUUAUCACCUCAAAUUGAGAAUCUUUUGAUUCCUGGUGAUUUAUUCUCUUCGAAACAAUUCGUCUUGCUUGCCUCAGUUCUGGUAUUCACAUGUGCAACAUUGUGAGUCUUUUGGCCGUUUCGUAUUAUUUUCCAUAUAAGUUAAAGAAUCUGUUUAGGUUAACAAUGCAAAAUGGUUGCAAGAAUCGGAUUUUAUAAUUUUCUGCUUGUUCAAUUUUUUUCGUAGUUUUGCAUUUUAUUAUCUAACUGGUUUCCUAAAAAAAAAGAAAAAACUGGUUACGUAAGUCCUUCCCUCUCCAAUGCUUAUGGAAAAGUCGAUAGCUAAGUAAGAAUGAACUAGAAUAACAUGUUAAGGAGUGUGUUACUACCCCCUCAUACAGCAUAGCGUUGAAUGGUGAGCUCCAAGGGUUUUUCUCGAGGAAAAAGGGUUUGAGGCAAGGUGAUCCCAUAUCAUCCUUACUAUUUGUGAUCGCCAUGGAUAUUCUUUCAAAAAUGCUCGAUAAAGGAGCAAUAGAAGGGAGAUUUGGUAUCCAUCCAGAGUGUGAGGCUCCUCUGAUCACCCAUCUGAGCUUCGCGGAUGACUUGUUGAUCUUCUUUGAUGGUACUGCGGAAUCAUUGACAGGGAUUCUGCAAAUUCUAGAGGAGUUCAGACAAAUAUCAGGCUUGAAAAUCAACAGACAGAAAUCAGAGCUGCUGAUUGACGGGGGUAGCAGUAGUAGAUGUCGUGAUUUGGCUACAGCAAUGGGGAUUGCUCAAGGAGCUCUACCGCUGCGUUAUCUGGGGGUUCCGCUAUCUCCAAAAAAAAUGACACGUUCAGACUUUCAGCCUCUUAUAGAUAAAAUUGCUGCUCGUUUCUCCUCAUGGACAGUCAAGCAUCUGUCCUUCGCAGGCAGGUUUCAGCUAAUUGAUGUUAGGAGUUUUCAAGGCUCCUAAGACAAAUGUUGUAGUAUAAAUGAUUGUCGAACCAGUUCUGAGGGAUAUCAAAGCACUGAGAAUGCAAGUACUCACUUAAUCUAAGUGCAACCAAUGAUUUAGAAGGGUUUUAAACUAUGACUAAAACUAGAAAGCAAUAACAGAAUGAUACUUUCUUGACUAAAGGAAAAGAGAACUCAUGGGUAUAGGGAUUAGACCUUGGGUGAUCAAGUAUCGAACUAAGGAUGGCAGAUGAUCAAUCAAACUAUCAACCUUAAGCCUAGACACAAUUCUAAGCAAGCUCUAUGUCUAGAUGAAUGCUCAUUUGCUAACAUAUCUCAAACAUCAAAUGUCUUUGGUUGAAUAAUAUGAAAGCAAUCAUUACUAACAAGUCUAUUAGCUAUCUUAGUACCUUUAACAACAAAUGUCUUUGGCAAAGUAUACUAAAAGCCUAGGAGAGUUGUCUCGGGCAUUUCAUCGAACACCUUUCGGGUGAGAAAUGCCUAAGGAUCAACAACUGAGUGGCCAACUCAGAAGAUGCAUUAUGAUUACUCUACUAGCAAGGAAAUAUGAAUGAUCUACACUAAAACAUCCUAGCUCUAACCUAAUCACCCUUAAUCUCCCUAACCCAUGAAUUCAAAAGGUGAUUACUCACUAAUCUCCAUGAUUCCUCUUAAACCCAUAUUGGAUUUCAGAUUAAUCAUGUAAAGAAAUAGAUAAGAAAUCAACAAGAACACAAGAACAUAACAAUCAAAAUCCAAGAGAUGAACUUCUCAAGAGAGUUCUUGUGUCUUUCUCAAUAGAUCAAAAGAUAAAAGAUAAUCUGCCACUGGUGGCUACAAAAGAUGUUUAAAACACAGGUUUUUCCAAGUGCAAAACGUCCAAAAUAAAUUGCAAAAAGGUCCUUAAGAAAUCAUGAUUUUCGGCAGCAAAAUAACGCGGAGCGACUUGCAGGUGUCGCUCCGGGAAGUCGCUCCAGGGCCGAUUUUUGGUGUGUCCGGGCGAGAGGUCGCGAGCGACUUUGGUGUGUCGCUCCAACGGGUCGCUCUGGAUCGGGAGCGACCUUGGUAGGUCGCUCUGAGAGGUCGCUCCAGGCUUCGCUUCGUGUCGUCUCGCCAUAGAGACGCGAGCGACCUCGGGGUGUCGCUUUGGGAGGUCGCUCCGAGAAGGGUGUGAGAUGCGAGCGACCUCGGUGCGUCGCUCUGGGCAAGUCGCUCUAGCUUCCUACGGGAUGAAUAUGGCGAGCGACUUCACGGGGUCGCUCUAGCUAGGUCGCUCUGAGAGGUGCUUUGGAGCGACCUCAUGACGUCGCUGCGGAACCUCGCUCCCAUGCUCUGCUCGUCCAAUGAUCACCUGUUUCACGUCCUUUAAGCUCCAAAUGCAUCCAAAUGUCCCCAAGAACUCCAUGUGGCACUCCAACACCUAAUGAGGACAAUGAAUGCAAAAUGCAACCUAGACAUGGCUAAAUCCUAAUCUAUAUGAUGAAAAUGCUAAUGGAUGAAUGGAUAAAACAAUGCAAAUAUGCAAGAUAUCAACUCCCCCAAACUUGUUCUUUUACUUGUCCACAAGUGAACUUUCUAGAACUCAUAGGGAGAGAGGUUGAAGGUGGGAGCACAUAGCCAAAAGAAACACAACUAGCACACUCUCUUAUUACACUCUAGCUUCUCUAGGCCUAUCUUAACUCUUUUUGUUCUUACACUCAUCAUCAAGCAUCCACACAUUCAAAUCAACCAACUCUCACAUUCAUUAAGCACAAAACAUCAGGUGAAUUCUUGCAAAUGGUCAGUUGGUCCAAGUCAUUUGGUUGGGUAAGGGAAGGCUUUUAUUCAAGUGAUUCAAGAGGUUCAAAACAUAUGAUCUUUAAGGUGGUUUACUCUCAAAACAAGUAGCCUUGACAUUGCACAUAAUAUAUCUAAGAAAGGGACCAACUCAUGCAUACAAUGCUCAAUCUCCAUUGUUCUACCCUUUUCCCAAACAUACAAAUCACACAAUCAUUUCCCAAUGUCAAACCCUACUCACAUCUCUCACCAAAAGAUCCUAAGAACUUUAACUCCUUCUCUUUGAAAUCUACAAGGGAUUUUUCACAACCUCAAAACAUUUCUUAGCUCCUAACAACUUUGCUAGCCCCCUUUUUCUUUUCUUUUUCUUUUUUUUUUUUUCGAUUUCUUUUUUUUUUAUAUAUAUUUUUUUUUUUUUUAGGUUGGGGGCCAAGACUUUUCAAAACUAGAGCUAGAGGUUCUCUACUUAUCCCAGAAAAUCGAUUCACUUAAGCACAAAGAGUCUAUCCUUUUUAUUUUUCAUUUCUCCCAAAUCAUGAUCACAACACUCACCCUCCCACCUAUAGCUAGACAAAAGAGUGUCCAAUCUAGCAAAAAUGAAGAUCAAGCAUUGUCGUUCCCGAUACUCUCAACAUUAUGCGCAUGUAAGACUUUCCGAAGAAGGCCUCACUCAUCAAACAAUGAAAGCUUAAAAGGAAGGAAAGGUUUUGGGAGUGGUUACCACUAGAGUUUGUCAAAAAGAUUGGCAUAAAAGAUGUGACAACUCCAGUGUGUAUAGCCAUGACUCAGUACACAAGGGACCCUAAGCAAGAAGCAUUAAGUUCAUUCAUUUCUAAUAAGGUUGUAGUUGGCUUCAAAGACUGAGUUUCAGCAAUCAACAAGUUUCAGGAAGAGUUUUCAAGGCUCGAAACAUACAAGUCUUUUUGAGAGGUGCAAAAGCUAGUCAAGUGCAACGUAGUGUUCUUUACAAGGCAUUCAAAUCAUUGCUCCCAAUGCAAGUGAAUGCAACCUAUAUGCUCUAGACUCUCCUAAAAAUGCAAAUGAUGCAAACUAAAUGAUUGAUUUUUUUUUUUUAUCUAUGCAAAUAGGUAUGCCAUGCAUGACUCAAUGAAACAACAUCAAAGCAAACAUGAUCAAAUACUUGGUACCUCCCCCAAACUUGAGUGACACAGUCUCUGUGUCGUCAAGUAGAGAGAGAGAUACCGAAAAGAAGACUAAUAUGCAAAAAUGAAAUGGUAUAUACAAGGGAGUGUGGUGGGUUACCUUCUAUAGGGAAUGAGUAGAGGGAGAUGCUCCCUCCUCGUCGUCCUCAGGUGGUAACUCUUCAAGGUGCUCAUCAGCAGGGGUGUCCAUCUCUUCAAUGUAGAAGGCUUGCCCGAACACAGUUGGUUUCCUCAUUUUCCUCUUGAUGUCAAAGUGGAGGAUGUUCUCUUUACCCAAAUGGAGAUCAAUCGUGCCUUCCUUCACAUUAACAAUAGCUCCUGCUGUAGCUAAGAAUGGCCUUCCUAGAAUCAAUGGAUCUUGAGCCUCCUCACCCAUCUCAAGCACCACAAAAUCUGUAGGUAUCUCAUACCUUCCAAUCUUCACAGGGAGGUCCUCUAAGAUGCCCACAGGGUACUUCACUGAACGAUCAGCUAACACCAGAGAGAGUCUACACUUCUUGUACUGAGUGAAUCCAAGCUUCUUUGCAACAGACAAAGGCAUCAAGCUGACACUAGCUCCCAAAUCGCAGAGACUUUUCUCAAAUACCAUAGGUCCAAGAGCACAAGGUAGUGUGAAGCUUCCUGGAUCCUCUAAUUUCUCUGGAACAUCAAGCCUCUGGAUGAUGGCAUUGCACUCAUGGGUAAGAUUCAUCAUGCUUUCCAUCUCCUUCUUCUUUGCAGCUACAACAUCUUUCAGGAAAUUGUUGUAUUGAGGAAUCAACAUGAAAGCAUCGAUGAUGGGCAUUGCAACCUGAGCUUCACUCAUUUGCUUCUCAAACAGAGCUUUGUAUUUCUCUAGCAGCUGCUUCUUGAAUCUACCAGGGAAUGGAAGUUUGGGUUCAUAGGGAGGAGGAACAAAAGAACUUUCACUUGCUGGAGUAACAACUUCACCAUCCUUUACUGUCUUCUUCUCCUCUCCAACCUUUCCUUUACCUUUGGCUUCCACUAUCUUCUCCAAGAUCUCGUCAUUGAUCUUCUCAUCAACAAUCACCACUUCAUCAUCUAUGUUGAUGGCAACCCCCUCACCUAAUUUCUCAGCAUCCUUGGUGAGGGUUCUAGGAGGUAACUGCUUACCGCUCCUAAGGGUGAUAGCUUUGGCCUCCUUGGGAUUUUGGUCAGACUUUCCAGGUAGAGAUCCUUGCUGGCGAUUCUGGUGAGUGUUCAUGGAAGCAAAUUGAUUCUCUAAAUUCCUGACUGUAGAAGCAAGGUGUGGAAUUUGUUGUUGAGCUCAUUGUAGCUCCCAUCAAUCUUGGAAUGAAGGUUCUUCAACUCAUAACCAACUUGCUUCUCACUUCUAGUCUGAGACUCCAAGAUUUGCUUCAGUAAGGUAUCAGUGCUGCUCUCUUGAGGAGCAGAGGAACCAGACGAGGGGUUUUGCUGAGGCUGAUAGCUGCCUUGCUGGUUGUUUCUUGGCGGAUAGCCACUCUGCUGGUUGUUGGAAUAGGACUUCUGUUGGUAGUUGUUGUACUGAAAGUUGGGUUCUUUCUUGUACCAGCUACCAUUGUUGUUGAUGAAACACAGCUCUUCCUGACCUUCCAAACCCUCAACUUCAUGGACAAUAGCUGGUGUCUCUUGGCUUGGGUUGCCGACAAAGUGCAGCUGCUCUUGGGUAGCUUUAUCAGCAAGGAGGAUGUCUAUCUUAUCCUGUAGAGCUUUCAACUCCUUCCUCGUUUGCUUAUCCUCAGUUCUACUGCUUCUGUCGUGGUCUCCACUGUAGACUGCAUCACUCUUUACCAUGUUGUCAACCAGUUCUUCUGCAUCCUCCUCAGUUCUCCCCAAGAAGAACCCAUUGCUAGCUGUAUCCAGUCUGGCUCUGUACUUAGGAAGAGCACCACGGUAGAAUGUGCUUAGCAAGCUCUCCUUAGAAAAGCCAUGGUGUGGGCAUUGAGCUUGGUAGCCCUUGAAUCUCUCCCAGGCUUCACUGAAGCCUUCCAAGUUCUUCUGUUGAAAGCUGGAAAUCUCGUUUCUCAGCUUAGCAGUUCUUGAAGUAGAGAAGAACUUCUCCAAGAAUGCUUUCUUGCAGUCAUCCCAAGUAGUGAUGGAGUCACUGGGUAGAGACUUCUCCCACUGACGUGCCUUAUCCCCCAAAGAGAAAGGGAAUAGCUUGAGCUUUAAGGCAUCUUCGGACACACCAUUGGUUUUUGACAACCCACAGUAGCUGUCGAACCUGUCCAAGUGAUCAAAUGGAUCCUCUAGAGCCAAGCCAUGAUACUUGUUGUUCUCGAUCACGUUGAGGAGUCCUGAUUUGAUCUCAAAGUUGUUGGCUGCCACAGCGGGUGCUCGGAUUCCCAAUCUAUGACCAUGAAUGUUGGGGCGGUCGUAAGUGCCAAUGGGUCGAGCUGCUCGCUGUUGGUUUUGAGGUAUGUCUCCCAUAUCAGUACUCAAUCUCUGCAAGUGAGCCUGUUGCUCUUCUUCUCUUCUAUUUCUAGCACACUCUCUCUCUAAAGCUCUGAUGUCUGCAGCUAUUGGAACUAGGUUUGAUGGACCCCUGCUCCUCAAGUUCAUACACCUGUAGAUUAAAGGGAGGUGAAGAAAGAGAAUCAGUAACAAAAGAAAAUAAAAAUGACUUAGUCUCAAGCAAGUGACUAAAUCUCAAUGUUCAAAUCUACUCAGAAUUUGGCAACGGCGCCAAUUUGAUGUUAGGAGUUUUCAAGGCUCCUAAGACAAAUGUUGUAGUAUAAAUGAUUGUCGAACCAGUUCUGAGGGAUAUCAAAGCACUGAGAAUGCAAGUACUCACUUAAUCUAAGUGCAACCAAUGAUUUAGAAGGGUUUUAAACUAUGACUAAAACUAGAAAGCAAUAACAGAAUGAUACUUUCUUGACUAAAGGAAAAGAGAACUCAUGGGUAUAGGGAUUAGACCUUGGGUGAUCAAGUAUCGAACUAAGGAUGGCAGAUGAUCAAUCAAACUAUCAACCUUAAGCCUAGACACAAUUCUAAGCAAGCUCUAUGUCUAGAUGAAUGCUCAUUUGCUAACAUAUCUCAAACAUCAAAUGUCUUUGGUUGAAUAAUAUGAAAGCAAUCAUUACUAACAAGUCUAUUAGCUAUCUUAGUACCUUUAACAACAAAUGUCUUUGGCAAAGUAUACUAAAAGCCUAGGAGAGUUGUCUCGGGCAUUUCAUCGAACACCUUUCGGGUGAGAAAUGCCUAAGGAUCAACAACUGAGUGGCCAACUCAGAAGAUGCAUUAUGAUUACUCUACUAGCAAGGAAAUAUGAAUGAUCUACACUAAAACAUCCUAGCUCUAACCUAAUCACCCUUAAUCUCCCUAACCCAUGAAUUCAAAAGGUGAUUACUCACUAAUCUCCAUGAUUCCUCUUAAACCCAUAUUGGAUUUCAGAUUAAUCAUGUAAAGAAAUAGAUAAGAAAUCAACAAGAACACAAGAACAUAACAAUCAAAAUCCAAGAGAUGAACUUCUCAAGAGAGUUCUUGUGUCUUUCUCAAUAGAUCAAAAGAUAAAAGAUAAUCUGCCACUGGUGGCUACAAAAGAUGUUUAAAACAUAGGUUUUUCCAAGUGCAAAACGUCCAAAAUAAAUUGCAAAAAGGUCCUUAAGAAAUCAUGAUUUUCGGCAGCAAAAUAACGCGGAGCGACUUGCAGGUGUCGCUCCGGGAAGUCGCUCCAGGGCCGAUUUUUGGUGUGUCCGGGCGAGAGGUCGCGAGCGACUUUGGUGUGUCGCUCCAACGGGUCGCUCUGGAUCGGGAGCGACCUUGGUAGGUCGCUCUGAGAGGUCGCUCCAGGCUUCGCUUCGUGUCGUCUCGCCAUAGAGACGCGAGCGACCUCGGGGUGUCGCUUUGGGAGGUCGCUCCGAGAAGGGUGUGAGAUGCGAGCGACCUCGGUGCGUCGCUCUGGGCAAGUCGCUCUAGCUUCCUACGGGAUGAAUAUGGCGAGCGACUUCACGGGGUCGCUCUAGCUAGGUCGCUCUGAGAGGUGCUUUGGAGCGACCUCAUGACGUCGCUGCGGAACCUCGCUCCCAUACUCUGCUCGUCCAAUGAUCACCUGUUUCACGUCCUUUAAGCUCCAAAUGCAUCCAAAUGUCCCCAAGAACUCCAUGUGGCACUCCAACACCUAAUGAGGACAAUGAAUGCAAAAUGCAACCUAGACAUGGAUAAAUCCUAAUCUAUAUGAUGAAAAUGCUAAUGGAUGAAUGGAUAAAACAAUGCAAAUAUGCAAGAUAUCACUAAUCCAGGCAGUGAUUUACUCCACUAUCUCCUUCUGGGCUUCAAUGUUUAUAAUCCCUGCGGAGUGUGUGGCCAUUUUAGAGCGAAUGUGCGGGGCCUUUCUUUGGAAUGGCGCUCCAAAUUCAGCUAGAGGAGCUAAGAUAUCAUGGGACUCUGUAUGUACUCCUAAAGAAGCUGGUGGUCUAGGCUUAAGGCGCUUAGCAGAUUGGAAUAGAGUUCUUGGUUUAAAACUGAUUUGGCUAAUCUUUACAGCCGGAGGUUCCUUGUGGGUGUCGUGGGUGCGAAGGAACUUGAUUGGUAGAGAGAAUUUUUGGGUUUUAAAUCCUACUACUAGGAGGAGGGGAAGUUGGAUAUGGAAAGCAAUUUGUAAUCUUCGACCCAUGGCAAGGCCAAUGGUGUGGUGUGAGCUGGGCUCUGGCAUUACUGCCAGUUUCUGGCAUGAUAAUUGGACUCCCCAUGGUCCUCUGAUUGAGCUGAUUGGAGAUCGAGGUCCACAAGUGACUGGGUUACCUAUCGAUGCAGCAGUAGCGGAUGCUUUGACUGAUGAUGGGUGGUGGCUAGACAGAAGUAGAAGUAGAAGCCCCACCAUUACCUUGUUGAAGGCUUGCUUGCCCAAUGCACAAGGGAUUAUUGAUUCAGAAGAAGAUGAUACUUUUCUCUGGUAUCCGGAGCCUGGCCGUGGUAGUGGGAACUUCUCUACUAGCGCGACUUGGAGAGCCCUUCAUCACAAUCCUUUAGAGGUGUGCUGGCAUAAGGUGGUGUGGUUCGCAGGUCGAGUACCUAAACAUGCCUUUAUUACAUGGAUUGCAGCUAGAGACAGAAUGGUUACAAGAGAUAAACUAAUUCGGUGGGGAUUGAGAGUUCCAGCGAGCUGUGUCCUAUGCCCCUCUCAUGAGGAAUCUCGAAAUCACCUGUUUUUUUAUUGUACCUUCAGCAGUCAGGUUUGGACGUUUUUCACUUCUCGCUUACACCUCUCACCCCCACAGGGGUUCGAGGCAAUUCUGAGAUGGCUUAAUGCUCCCUCUAGAGAUCCUAGUAUUACGUUGAUCGUGAGACUUAUCUUCCAAGCCGUCUUAUACUUGGUCUGGAAAGAGAGAAAUAGUAGAGUUCAUGGAGGUGUGGAGAAACCUCAUAGUGCGAUUGUAGCUGAAGUCCAGCAGAUCAUCAGGUUCAGACUAGAUCCUUUGGCUCGUCGACAGGUACUAGCGUCAGGGCAGUCGUCAGUGCUUGCAGUUUGGUUCUCCUUCUUCGAUGGGUGAUGCUGGUUUUGUUACUCGAGGAGUGUCUUGGUGGUAAGUUUGUUGAGUGGCUGUAGAGCUGCUCUUUUUUCUUAGCUUUAUGUUCGGUUUCUUUGUAAUAAGUUUUUUUAUUAAUAAAUGGAAAUUUAAAAAAAAAAAAAAAAAAAAAAGAAUAACAUGUUUAUUUAUUUUAAUAUCGCCACAUCGAGUUUGAUCAUCUAUUGUGCAUUUAAGAUAUAUUUCCUAAGUAUAUGAGAUUUUGUAAAAUAUAUAGGAUGAACUGCAGGUAGAAAUGCAUAAUAAAUCUCUUAAAUAUUUGUCUAUUGUUCAGAUAUAUUCUGAUGAUGAGACGGUUCUUGAAGCUGCUUCUCGUGAAGUAAUGGAAGAAACAAGACGGGAGUUAAAGGAAUAACACGAGUAUGUUUUCUGUGCCAGCAUAGAUACUUAAUCACAAGUAGAGAAAGUUCUUGUAUAGAUUAGAUUGGAUUAUCUUUUAGUGUUUGACUGUUUUAUACAAAAUCAAUUGAGUUAGGAAAUUUAGAUUGGAUUGUCUUUUGAUGUCCUCCUAUUGUUUAUGUAAUGCAUAUUUUGAACUACUUGAUUCCACUGUUUUUAAUUAACAAACUUUAAUUAUAAUUGUUUUUCAUUUACAAUUAAUUAUUUGUUUAUAAAUUCAAAUAUAAAUUUUAAUUUUAAUUUUUGUAAAAUAAAAUAAUAAAUAUCAUUGCAGUCCCAAAGUAGUUGCUAAUAUUUGCAACGACUGUGUAACUCCAAAUACCAAUGUAGCUGCAUAUGAGUCGCACUUUUUUGCCACUACUUUAUCACUAAUGAACUAAAAAACCCAACUACGUUGUCGUAUCAUAUGGAAAUUGUAACAAUUUAUGAGUUCCAAUGUAGUUAUACAUUACUCACAAAAUUAGCUACUUAUUGUGAAGUCUCACAGUAGUGCUAAUUGGCAACCAAUUUGCGACGAACUUUUUUUUACUUCAACCCGUAGUUGCAAAAAGGUAACAAAAGUCAUAUUUGUGACUAUUUUGUCACUAUAUAUGUAGUGGCAAAAUGAAUGUUUUUUUGUAGUGUAUAUAGCUUUAAAAUAUCUUUUUAUUAGUAUAGAUUUUCCGUAUACAGGAUCAUCUGACCCAAAAUGAUAAGAAUUAUACCCGGGACUAAUCAUGGUUUGGUUCUUAAAAACCGAGCCAAAUCGUUCUACGACCUUAUCUUUGUUCCGUUUAGAUUUUCCUAUGGCUAAACAAUUAACAAUAACAAAAAAAUCUUUAUAUAUAAAGAAGGGUUUCCUUCACUCAUAGGGAGUCCACGUCAGCUGCCACCUAGGAAAGUUACCUCAUGUCCAUGCGACACGUGUCCGAUAGAUGAAACUCACCGUUUCAUUUAAACGGUUUGAUGGGCUUCAGCUUUGAUGGGCUUCAGCAAGGCAUCUCGCGACUCCUCAUGUCAUCUCUGUGGCGGCUCCGCGAUUGCCUCCCUCCGUUGCCGAGACCAAGCUUCCUUCGCAACCGUAAGCCACGUUAUCUCCUAGCUCUCAAAGUCGUCGAUCUCACUUCCAAUUGCAGAAGAUCUCAAGCCGCGGCAGCCAAUCUCACUUCUAUUUUCGUCUGAAGGGUUGAUGGUUGACCGUCUCCGACUCUUCACUUCGUCGUCACCAUUUCGACUCUCUAUAAUUCGUCGUUACCGCGACCCACUUUGAUUAAUCAAUUAUCUUCUUUACUCCUUUCGUCUCCUUUUAUAUCAGAAUUAUGCUUUAUGGUUUGAAUCCAGUGGUUUAUUAUUUUUAUUUUUGUUUGUAAUUGUUUUCAGGAACCACUCAUUCCAGCCAGAAACAUCCGGAUACUCUGUUCACGUAGCUAUGUUCACAAGAAGUUGCUUAGCAGAGGAUGAUACUCUGAUCACGCAGCUAUUCGUAAAACGGUAUCUAUCUCUUCUUGGCCGACUACAAAUAAUAUUUUUUUGGCUGUUUCAUUCAAUUGUUUUUGUCUGGUAAUUAGGAGAUAGUGAAAUUGAGGAGACAAUCAGAGAGAUGGAAGCAACAGAGAUGGAAGCAACGAUGAAAUGAAAUAAUUUGAGCAAGUAAGUGUAAAACUGGAAAGCCUAUUAUCCUAAGCACUUUGCUAUUGACAAAAUCUGUUAUAUAUAAUAUAUAUAAUGAUUAGAAGGAUGCCGAGAAACAGCUGUGAAAUCGUUGCUGAGUGGACGACCAUAAUGCAAGAAGCUAUAUAACUUAAAGGAAACAAAAAAAUGUUUUACAUUUUUUUUAGGAUAAAUGGUCAUCCGUUUGAUGCAGAAAUGUUCUACUUGAGGCAUGUAUGCACAAAGUGACAGAAGAGUCAGAAAAACGUGGAGCAGUUUGGUCUGAAAAGUGGCCAGAGUAGAGAUUGUUCAUCAGUGGGUUGAAGACACAUAUGGAAAUCAGCACAAGAGGAUUUCACAGCAGACAUGAUUGUUGAAAAACUAUUGUUUCAGUCAUACUUCAAGGGUGAAGGAAUUGAUUGGUGGUAUGUGAGAAACGUUAUGGAUUGAGAGCUAUAUAUGGAGGGUAAGCACUGAAAAAAAUCUUUCACCAAUACAAAAUUGGCUCCAUGUAUCUGUUACGAAAUGAUAUAUCUCUCUUUCUGGCUUUCAGUUUUAUUGCUGCAUUGAAGGAUCUGAGACAGUGAGACUCUGUGUGAUUAAUGUACUUUCCUCAAACUUACGACCUUCAUGAUGAUUCAUCAAUUCUCUGCACUGAAGAAGAGGUAUGUAUAUAUACAGCACUCUCACAUAUAUGCAUCUCUAUUGCCUUUUUUAUAUUUAUGAAUGCAAAAUCUGAUGUGUAAACAAAACCUUUAGGUGCAGCUUGGUGUCUGUAAUAGUUGAAGUGGACCGAAUUCUUAGACCACAAGGAACAUUUAUAGUAAAUGAUGGCAUGGAAAAGAUAGGAGAAAUUGAGAAGAUGAUGGAAUCACUGAAAUGGAAUGUAAGAAUGACACAUUCCAGAUAUGGAGAAGGAGUGAUCUCUGUUCAGAAGUCAUGGUGGCGUCCUACAGAGGUCGAGACCAUUACAUCGGCCAUAGAAAGUGAAAGAGAAUUGGUUUAAUAUAGUUUAAUGAGAAUGUUUCUUUUAUGAUCACGUUGAUUGUUUACAUUGUAUUAGGCCAAUAUGUGUAUCCUUUUUUACAUUGACGAAAUUGUAUACAAGACAUUGUCCCUAUAAUGUAAGCUUUUUAUAAGUUUUUAAUUUGGUCCUAAACACCCGUGGAAUAUUUAUACUACUGCAGCAAACUUAUAUAGACUGUCUAUUUGAACUAUAGGUUUAUGAUGAACUCAUGUUAAUUACAUCACCAAAAAACUCUCAAUAGAAAAAUAAACUAGAGCAAAAAGAAUUAUUAAAUUAAAAAAAUUGUAACAAAUUUAAAAUAUAACUUAUUAAAUUCAAUAAGCAAAUAUAGUAAAAUUGUUACUAUAAGAAAUAACUUAUAAAAUAAAUUCAAUGUAAAUUCUUAUACCAAAAAUUAAUCAAUAAAUCUUAUAUUAAAAAUUAUAAUUAGUUAUUCAGAUAACAUGGUUUUGUUUGGUGUCCAAAUAUAAUAGCAUAUAAAAAAUUCAAAUAAAUAUCUAUAUUAUUAAGUAGUAACAAUUGAUAUUAGGUUUUCAUGCUACCUACCUUAAAAUAAUUUUUUUGUUAUAGGAAAAUAACAAAACAAUUUUACAAAAAAUUAUAUAUCAAAAAUAAAUUCUAUUGUAUAUAACUUAUAGAAAAAUGAUAAAAUAAAUAGUGAAAGUUGUUAUAAAAAUAGUGAAAUUAAUGUCACAUAUAAUUGAAAAUGAAUUAAAUAUUUUUAAAAUUACAUGAAAGUGGUUUUAAGGGUAACAUAAGUAUUGUGAACACAAAAUGUAGGGUUAGUUUAUUUAAUUAAAUUUGAAUUUUUUACAAAACAAUAAAAUAAAAAUAUCAACCAUAAUUUAAUACAAAAAUGAAACUAAUAUAUAUACUUGCAUAGUCCAACAGAAGACAUAAUGUAAAGUACCUAUAACUAAAUAAGUAACAGAAAUAAAAUUACAUAACUUAUACUAAAACCAACAGAUUAAUAUAUAUAUAUAUAUAUAUAUAUAUAUAUAUAAUAAAUAUAGACACUUUUUCAUCGAUAAUCACAACAAUUACAUUAGAAAAUUUAUUCACCUAACGAAACUAACUUUGUGUCUUUUACAGUAAACGAGUUCAACAAAAAAGAAUGAUAAAUUUUUUCAAGAAAAUUAUAAAAUAACAUUUCAUACAUUAAUUAGAAUAAAAUAAUUUAAACUAAAAACAAAUGUUAAGCAAAAUCUAAUAGAGAAACUUCCCGCAAGUGGAAGAUGAUGAGUCCAUGUAAAUAUUACAUAACCAUUAUUAAAAUAGGAGAUCUCCAUUAUACAAAUGUACUAUUUGUAUUGACAAUUGAUAAAAUUAGAGAGAUGGAGAUGCUCUUAAUACGAAACAAUUUGGUUUUGGUUCGUACUCUAUUAUAUGUUCGCUUCAGUUUCAAAUGUAUUUUGUUAAAAAAAUUGUAGAAUCAGUGAAGUUAUUGCUUUAGUCGAUAAUGUUUGGCAAUAAAAUUAUUAAAAUGAUAACAUGGAGAUUCAUUAUAUAUAUCAACACAUAAAAAUAAACAAUAUAUAUAGUAGAAAGUCUAUAAAUUAAUACUCGGCAAAUGAAUAGACACAAUAAUUAAAAAAAUUUAGUUAUUUUCAAUUGGACAUAUGUAAAAUAUAACUGAAUUCGAUAAAAUAAUAAUAACAUAACUUUUAUAUAUAUAAAUUUUAUAUAAACAUAAACAAAUCAUCUUUUAAAAAAUGAAUUAAUCUUUCUUUCUGUUUAAAGAAUUUCACUAUUAUGAUGUUUUUAUUGAAUUACAAAAAAAAUACAUUUAUAUACUAUCAUCAAAUUCAACACACAUUAUAUAUCAAAUAACUUAAAUAAGUAGAUAAAAUUUAACUAACAUAUAGUAUCAUAUAGUUAUUUUUUUUGGAAGACAAAAAUAACUAUUGUAAACAAACAAAAUAUAUCUUAUCACAUAUCAAUAUCUCACCUAAAACUUCCUGAAAGACAAAAAUCAUUAUCAUACACAUUUCUUGCAAAUGCAAAUCUAAAAUACAAAUCACAAAAUCAUACAAAUAAUAAUAACCUAGAUCACAAGUAAAACAUAUCCCGCCCGUAGGGCGGACCGACCCUAGUAGGUUAUAUAAUGUUCAUGUCGAAAAUAGAGCUUUUGUUUUCUUCCCAUGGCUACUUGACUAUAUCUGGAAAGCAUAAAACGACAAGCUUUCUACUUAAUGGUGUUGAAAUCCCUUCUUAACACGUUAGCUCUGCUAAGGGGUGAAAUUGCGGGCAAGAACAAAAUAGAUUGUUCAUAUUAGAGUAUGAUUAAUAGAGAAUUUUUAGGAUGGAGUUCUUAGAAUAUAAUUAAUGGAAGGUUCUUAGGUUGGAGUUCUAAACGGAAUAUAAGAAUCUGUCUCUUAAUUUUUAAUUAAAAAGCUAAGAACUGGUUCUUAAAUAUGGAUUCUUAUAUUUCACUAAAAAUCCACCCUAAAAACUUCCAUUAAUCAUGCUCUUAGCGAACAUCCUAUACAUAAAUAGUCAUUCUGGUUUACUAGCUCGUAGUGCGCAUCUUAAAGAUGGCGUCCUUUGUCAGUUGUAAGUAGGUCAUAUUUGUAAGCACCACCAUGCCAAUCAUCGACACUGCACCGGCUACCAAUUAACCAAGAUUUGUCAAGAUGAAUUCCCGUUUUAUUACUUAAAUUGCUAAUACCUUGCUUCCACGAAUUCUAACAACCACAGCCGUAUUCACCACGUUUAAAUCAAUAAAAAUCUUUUUAAAUCCAUUCUGUGAUAUUAUUUAUUUCAGCUGGUGGAGCUUUUUUCAAGAUGCAUAAAUUUACAUGUUUCACACCCUUUCGUAUUUGUUCUACAAAUUAAACCUCUCAUUACUUUCAUUAGUUACUCUAUUUCUGGACUGAAAUUAACCAGCAAAAAUUCUCCUAAAAUGUCCCAAGAUAGAUUAACUCCAGCCAUGUCUGUAACAUAUCUCACUUAUUGUAAACAAAAUUUGGUUCAAUCAUAAUUAUACAUUUUGCUAUUUUAUAUGUCUUUGACCUGUGAGAAUCUAUAUAUCACUAACCGUUUUUACAUCAUACUCCCUGUUCCAAAGGAAGCGAGGUUUAUACUCAAGCCGUUCCUUUUUUAGGAGCCAAGUGAACAACGUCUAAUUACCAAAAUUCAUUGACCAUUUUCUUCUUCCAAAUGAAAUAACAAGUAAUUAGGAGUAAGGGGUUGUAGCUUUAGUAGGGCUUGAACUUGACAAUAAAACCAUUAUGAGCUGUAUAUUUUAACCAUUAAACGAUAAGCUCUUGUCCGAAUUUUUAUAUGCAAGACCGUGCUUGAUUUGCUAAGAAAGGGCAUUUUAAUUAUAUAUAUAUAUAUAUAUAUAUAUAUAUAUAUAACAUUAUAGGCAUCCAACCCCCAAAGAUGUUAUUCGUUGGAUUCGAAUAUUCUUAAAAAUGGUGUUCAAGAAGACUGCCACCCAUUACAGUGAAAAACGUUAGUUGUGGAGCUCUGCAAGAACGGAUGAUUAUGGUCUUAUGGACACUCUAAAUUUGAUCAUACAUUUCUUGUUUUUAGUUAAUAUUUUUAUAUCAGACAUGCCCAUGUGACCAUUUGACUCCUUGAGCAGACAUACCUGUUUGUAAGGAAUAUAACAUCUGUUUGACUCCGAUUUAACGAAGUUUAUUACCACAUACUAAUUUGUUAUGUAUUUUAACCUCUUCGAUAACACGAUCAUAUCGAUUAAACAGCUUUCGUUUACACUUUGUGGAUAAUUAAAUGACAUAAUAGAAUAUGCUUCGCGUGAUUAUAAUAAACAUUGCUCGUUCGCCUCCACCGAUCUCGUCUUUAGUUUUGACCACACCGACACACUGAAACGUAGGAAUUAAACUUCUUUUUGUUUUCUCUGUUCCUCUAUUGUUGUACAUUGUCCUCUUUACAUCUCUGUCGGGUAGCUAGAAAUAUCAAUUUUUCUGCCUAAUAAAUUUCAUCCAUUUAAUUCCCAACGGUACAAAGUUUGCACCCAUCUUGGGAAUGCAACUCAUGAUUAUGAUCUUUUCAAUGCAUACAUUUGUCGUCGGACCACUACUCCAUUAUUAUAUAAAUAAUUAUACAUUAUAACAUUUGGAUCAUAUUCUUAACUAAGCGAGGAAUAAACAGAGGAUAUAUCCAAGGGACAAGCAUGUGACAAUAUACCCAACUUAGUAAAUCCAAAACAUAAUUUGAGAAAAAUCUUAUAUGUAUACGUACUGCCUACCUAAAACAGGUUGGUUAUUUAUAUAAACUUUCCGUUUUGUAACUACAGACACCGUAUAUAGGUAUUUCGUUUGAAUGUAGUUCUAUAAAACAGCUAUUUCAUUUUAAUAUAUAAGAACAAAACAGCGAGAUAAAUAACGACAGAGACUGACUCUCACUCUUAUUACAAAUGAGCCAACGACACAGCACGCCCGUCAUCUUCAUCUUCCCUCCCCCUGCUCCAAAUCUCCACCUCAUUAAACACACUGAAAGAGAGAGAGAUGGAGUUUUCUGAAUAUAACACUCUCUGACCUUCUUGUCAUAUCACAAACAAAUCUCUCACACUCGUUUUUCCUCAUCGAAACAUUCUCUUUCUUCUUCAUAUUCGUCUUCUUUUUCUUUAUGGGUUGUCGAGAUGUUCUGUUAACUUUCUAUGUGGCUCUCUUGCUCAUCUUUCUGUUCCAGGUCUGGCUUUUCCGGGAAGGACAAGUCCGGGAACUGUCCGAAGACAACCACCUCGGAAGAGACAGAAACACUCUUGUCUCCAAGAACAAGAAGGACGACGAUGAUGUUCAACGGCUCUUUCAAAGGUAUUUCAAGGGAUCAUCCUUUGGUCUAAACAACAACAACAGCAACACUCGCUUUGAAGAUUCUGAUAGAAAAAUCCCUAUUUCCCCAGAUCCCCUACACAACUAGUUAGUUACUUUAGCUUCUUCUAUUUUUUUAUUUUCUUUUCAACUCUUAUUGUCCAAAACAAACCUUAUAUUUACCUCACUUUCUUUGUAUGUAUUUCUUAAAUGAGGACAUGUUCUGUUUAUCACUAGAGAAUAUUUUGAAGGCUUAAAGCAAUAAAUCACUAAAAUUUCAUAAGAGAGAAUAUGAUAUUUAAUUAUUGAAUGACCAAAAUGGCAAAAGCUCUGCAGAAAAAAAGAAAGCUGGUCAAGAAGAAGCAUUUAUAAUCUAUUUGAAGAAAUAAGGCUGUGCAGCUAAUAAUAUAUUAAUAUCAAGGGUUGUCAUGACGAAGGACCUACCCUACUUUUUUCUUCUUCACGUAGAACACACUUAAACUGACGUAAAAGUUGUCUCUGAACGUUAAGAAAUUAGCCAUGAUAAAGGAAAAGAAAGUCUUCGAUGAGACAGUAACGAAGAAAGGUCAACUAGUGUUGAAAAUCGUAUCAAUUAUGUUAUCAAAAAAGUAAAACACUGUGCAUCGGUUACACUAGCAGUAAACCAAGCAUAAAUAACACAUGAUAAGCAUUGAACCAUGUUGCACGAGUAUCGCUGGGACAUGCCGACCAAAAAAAGGGAACCAUGUACCUGUGAUACUUGUAGCAAUAUUUUAGGUCGAGGCGUGUGGGCAAUGCGUUAGAUGGAAUUGAGCGAUGUGCCCAAUGUCAAAGUAACCGUACAAAUAAUUGUUAAAUACUUAAGGCCAUAUACUAGACAAGAAUUAACACUAAUAUAUACUUUUCUGAGAAAGAACCCUAAUAUUUUCUGCCGUGAAAUCGACACCUACAGCCUGCCCCAAGCUCAAGAUCAUGCAGUCCUCUGAUGACUUAUUCCAAAACGUACUCUUUUUAAGGUUUCGUAUUUUUGUAGUUAACCAAACUCUAUAAUUUUUAGAUGAUUAGUCUAAAAGCAUGGUAUCUACAUGUCUCUUUAGAAUUUCCACCUGUCAGGAAGGAAAACACAACUAGCAAAGUAGCAAUUCAUAGUGAAAUAAAUCCCUUAGUGAUUGGUUAUAACUUUAGCAAAAGAAAAUGAGUAAAAUGGCUAUGAUCCACCUGAUCAUACAAGACGAAGAGAGCCGACGUCCGUUUGGGCUUUGAUUUAUUUAUGGGUCAACACUCAACAGCUAAACUUUACCUCCAAUCACUCAUUUUCGGACCAUUCAUUACUCACUGGUCCCUGAAGUUUUGUCUUAAUAUUCUUUUGGUAAGCCCACGUACGUAGGAAACUAUUAUCGAGUUCAGGCAGGUGCAGGUUGCCGCGGGCUUAGUGGAAGAAGUUGCAUAAUCCAACUAGGGUUUAUAUAGCUGUAAUUUAUGUUUAUGUAGGAAGGAAUAUUUAAAAGAACUGAGCUGAUAAAAAGAAAAUUUAAAAGAACUGAUUUGUUUAUGGAAAAUUAGGUGAGAUUGCCAACAGAAAAACAAUAAUUCAUUAUCUAACUAAAAUUACAUUAUCUCUUUUCUUUUCUCUUACUAUCUCUCUACCUUCUCUCUGAAAAAAACUAAUUUUUUUUUUCUUCGUUAUUAUUGUUUAUCUACAUCAUCAAAAUCAAAAUGUCUUUUCAAUCACUUGUUUACAAAAUUCAUGAUUAAACGUGUUUGAUCUGGAAUAAUGUAUAACUAGGAUAAACAUGCGCCUUAUACAGGAUAAGUUUAUUUGUAUAUAUUGACAAUGUUUUUUUUUAUAUAUUUAAUUAUUUUAUUUAUACAUAUACAAUAUUUUUUGUUAUUAUAAUAUAAUUUCUUUCCGAUGGACCGGAUCAAUUUUUCUUAAAAAUUUUGAAACUAAACUAUAAUUAAUAAAAUAUAAUUAAUAUAUCAUGGAUUGAUCAGAUUAGACAUUAAACAAAUUAUGACACAAAAACCUUAUUUUUUUCCACCGAACACAUUCUUGAAAAAGUGAACAGUAUUGUUUCUACAGUUGAAUUAUUUUGACAUUUAUCUUUCAUAUGGUUUUGAAAGGUUUUAGAUCAACCGUCAAAUCGAUACAUGUCAUUUUAAUGCUUUUAGUCGUAGGUUUUAUCUUCCAUAUGGUUUUGAAAGGUUUCAGAUCAACCAUCAAAUUGAUACAUGUCAUUUUAAUGUUUUUAGUCGUAUGCUUAAUGAGAAUUAUUUUUUUGUAAUUUAAAGUCUUUUAAAAAAUUCAAAAUAUAACAUAUAAGAAAAAAAUAACAUAUAAGGUUUCUUAAUUUUUUUAAUUUAAAGUCGUUUUAAAAAAUUUAAAAUAUAACAUAUAAAGUUUUCUCAUUUUGUAAUUUAAAGUCAUUUUAAAAAAUUUAAAAUAUAACAUAGAAGAAAAAAUAUUUUUAUGAUUGUUUAAUUUUUUUUAAUAAUAUAAAAUUAAAAAAACAUAAAAAAUGAUGGAAAAAUUGUUACCAAAUCUUUAUUAUUCAUAGUCAUUAGUUAUCCAUAGCUUUUAUUUAAAGACAAAAUACACGUUUUUUAUAUUUUGGGUUAGUAUAAUGUUUUCUAGUAAUUGGAUUUGGACCAACAUUUUUAAUUGAUUCUUAAGCCGCCACGUAAGCUAAAUUGACAUCCUAAUUAAAUGACACCUAAGUAGUGUCUCUUUUUAAUUAGUACAAACUUAAGAUUAUAAUUUUUCAAAUGAUUCUCAAUUAAUGUAUAAGGCAUUUAUCGAAAAUCAAUUUGCGAUACCAUGUCAGUAAAGCAAAAAGAUAGAAAAUAUCAUAUAGUAAUUGUAUGAUAAGUAAAUAAAUCUCAAACUUCCAAAAAAAAUAAAGAUAUGGAUCGCCACAUAUUAGGAUAUACGGACCGAAUAAGUGAGCCUAAAUCCAUUAACUAUGGGGACCGCUUAAAAUCCCAUAAAUAUUAAUCAUGGAGCGUUACAACAUGUUGUUGUAGUCAUGUGUCAUCACGAGGAUGAUUCUUAAAAUUUUUAGAAAAAUAAGCUAGUCCAUAAAAACUUAUACUAUGCUUUUUAUUAAAAUAACUAUCAAAUUAAUUAUAGUGUACCAAAGAAUGUUUUUUCUUUCCUUAAAUAAAAGCUACGAAAUUACCUAAUAUGGUUAACAAAUAUAUGACAAUUAAUGAUUGUGAAUAAUACAUAUUUGAUAACAAUUUUUAUAUCAUCUUUGUUUUUUGUUUAAUUUUAUAUUAUUAAAAGAAAUUAAACAAUCACAUUAAACAUAUAAUAAAAAAAUUAGAUUUUUUCUUAUAUGUUAUAUUUUGAAUUUUUUAAAAUGACUAUAAAUUACUAAAAAUGGUAUUAAUUCCACAUUGAAAAUUUUGUAAAUGGUUUAACUUUUUUUUUGUUCAAGCAAGAUAUAAAUGAUCAUAUAUCGUAGGGGUGAACGUUCAGAUACACGUUCGGGUUUGUAUCAGGUAUUUAGGAUUUUUGGGUAUUUUAGUAUAAAGGUAUAGAACAUGUUCGGGUAUUUCUGUACUUCGGGUCUGGUUCGGGUAUUUUAUAUUUGGGUUCAGAUAUUUUGGAUCGGGUUCGGAUAUCUAAAUUUUGAAAAAAAAAAAAAAUUAUUCAUUGUUAAAAAGAAAAUGUAUUAAAAUAUAUUUUUAACCUAACUGGUUUUCUAAUUUUCAAAAGAUUAAACUUUUAAUAGGUUUGAAGAUAAAACUUUAAAAAUAGAAAACCACUAAUUUAGUUGUUGUUUUUUAAUUUUAGAUGCAACUUUUGUUAAUGCAAAAAACAAGAACUUAAUAUGUAUUUUAAGUGAGUAGUAAAUGAUUUUGUCCAUAAUUAUAUGUAUAUUAUCUAAUUUUGAGAAAUGUGCAUCAUUAAUAUAAAUAUUUUGAAUUAAAUGAGAGGAGUAAACUAGAAAUAUAGGGUUAAGUAUACUUAUGUUUGGUUAUCAUCGGAUAUCAUGCAGGUUUUGAUAUUAUUCGUUCAGGUUCGGAUAUUAUCCGUUUGUGUUUGGAUAUCCAAUCUCUCUGAAUUCAAUAACCGUUCGGUAUUUUGCUACUUUGGUUCGGAUUUUCGGAUCGGAUUCAGAUACGGGUUCGAGUAUCGGAUAAAAUGCACAACCCUAAUAAAUCGUAUGAAUAAGAAGUUUCAUUAAUAGAUAUUAAUAUUUAUAUAUAUAUAUAUAUAUAUAUAUCAUUUUAAAUAAAUUACGUACUACAUACAAAUAUAUAAAUAUGUUAAUUUUAGAAUUUCCAAUGAAAAAUUAUUGAGAUCUGAAUAUUUUAAUUUUGAAAUUUUUAUUGAAAGAUAUUACUUUAAAAAUUUUGUGAUUUAUGGUUUAAAUUUUUGUUACAGCAAAUAUACAAAUGCUAAAAAAAUAAUAUGAGUAGGAAAUGUCAAUAAUAAAUAUUUAUAUUAAAAUAUACUAUAUAUCUAUGUCAAUAUCAAUAAAUUUUAAUUUAAAUCAUAUAAAGUAAAUAAAAUAAAUUUUUAGUUAUUUACAAAAAACGUGAUUGCAAAUUAACAAAAGGUAUUAGUUUAAUUUAUCUGAUUACUCUAAUGUAUACACUUUUAUGUAUACAAAUUUAUUUUUUAAAUAGGUGGUUUCUGAUAUCUUAUUUCAUUCUGAGAAUCCCAGAAAUACACUUCUUCAAAUCGAAGUGAUUUUAAUAUUGGAAGCACUAUAUAUAUUAUUUCAUUCAGAUUAUAUAAUUUAGUCUUGAUUUUUAUUUCUAAAUUUUUUUAGUGAAAUAUCAUGACAAGAUUCCAAUCACCUUCUUUUGAGUUUGUUCGAAGAAUGAGAUAUUUGAACUAUUUUUUAUAAGUUUUCUGGUUUAUCAUUUAAUAAAUCAAACAGUUUUUAGUUUAUACAUAAUUUACAUAUACCAGAAUGGUAAAAUAUUAUAUAUUUUUUAUAUGUAUACUCUUAAGUAACUAAACCUCAAAAUCCUAGGUUAAUAAAAUAAGUAUUUUUUUUAUUGUUCUAGAAUUAGAUGAUUUUUAGACCAAUAUGGUGAAAAUAUAUUAGACAGAUAUUUAUAUUUCGCAUCUGCACUUAUAUUCAAUAAUAGCUUGAUAUAUUAGAUAUGAACACUAACCUGUUAAUAUAGUUUGCUGGUGGUUUUCUUCAAAAUUUUGAUUCUUAGAUAUGUAUCUGGAGUGGAAUUAAUUUUUAUAGAUGUUCAUCUUUUUAAAUUUACACUUAUGUAAUUCAGCGAAUUCAUAGAAGAAUUUAAAAAAAGAAACUAAACUCAUAGAAAAUGAAAUCAAUUAUGGAAAGUCAAUAGUAAACAAAUCUAGAGCAGAAAAUCUAUUCUCCUUUUUUCAUUAUUCAAUCGAUGUUGCCUAUAUUGUUUUGGAGAUUUGUAUCACCCAUAAUAAUUUUUUUUUUGUGCAUAUGAAAUCUUAAAAAUAAUUAAAAUAAUUAAAAUAAUAUGUAAUAUGUUAACUCUUCAACAUCGAUGAUAUAUUUAAGAGACCAACAUUUGUAUUUUAUAAUCGAUAAAAAUUAUAAUUUUUCAAAAUGUUAAAACCAUUUAAUAAACAAGCCUUAUUAUAAAAAUUCACCAUGCGUAUGCACACGGGUUAUCAUCUAGUACAUGUAUUACUUUUUGGGAUGAAAGUGAGUUAUAUUGCAUAGUUUUAUACUCUCUUCAUUUAAAAAAGUGUCAUUUUGACAUUUUCACAUGAAUUAAGAAAAUUAUAAAAUAUAUAUAUAUAUAUAUAUUUAUAUUUAUUUAAUUUAUAAUUAAUUAAAUGAAAAUAAUUAAAUAAAAAAUUAGUAAUCAUUCUAAAGGAUAAGAAAAGAUAGCAAGUGUAUAGUCAUAUUUAGGGGUGGGCAAAAAAACUGAACCGAACCGAUCGAACCGAACCGACCGAACCAGAAUCGAUUCAAACCAAACCAAAGUCUAUUUCAAAUCUUUCAGUUGAGAUUUUUCUAACCCGAAUGGUUCAGUUCAGUUCGGUUUAAACCGAACCGAACCGAUAAACCAAAGUGUUUUUAUAGUUAUUUAAAUUAAAGUUAUUAAUAAUAUCAAGAUAUUAAAAUCCUAAGAUUAAGCCCACACAGUUUCCUUUUGCACAAAGGAAAUCCUAAUAUAAUUUGAUUUCCAUGACACUUCGUCUAACUUUUGUAAUAUUCGUCAUUAAGCCCACAUAAUUUCCAUGUUAAUUUCUUUUCAAUAGCGUAUACUUUUAAACCUUAAAAUUAAAACCUAAACCAAGUCUAAUUAAAUUGAAUUUAAUUUACAUACUUAAUUUUUGAUUAUGUCCAACACAAAGUAUUUCAUGACAACCAUACAUUUGUGUAUUGAAACAUGAUUUCUUGUAUAAUAAAUAAACUAAGAGAAAUCCGAUUAAACCGAACUGAACCGAAAUACAAACCGAAUCGAAUACAAACCAAACCGAAUAUAAACCGAACUGAACAUAGCCGAACCGAAAUCGAUCCAAACCAAACUAACUAUGGUUUACUUCAGCUGGAAAAAUUUCUAGAACCAAACCAACCAAACCGAACCGAACUCGAACCGAUAAAAUAACCGAAGUGCCCACCCCUAGUCAUAUUGGAAAUAUAGAAUGGCAUUUAAAAAAAAGGAAAGUUUUUAUAAUAUGAGGAAUAUAUCGCUUCAACAUAAUCUCAUUUUAGCAUCACUUGUCGCUUACCAAUGUCUAACUGUAUAGUAAUGAUUAAAAAAAUUUGGAGUUGAACUUUCCUCUCUCUCUUUAACAUCUCCAACUUCUCUCUACACAAACCCUAGAUCUGUGGUAUUCCCCCCGGCGGCCGGUGUCCUUUCUCGGAGCCGGAGGCUUCUCCUUCUUCUUUUAUCUCGUUUUUCGUUUUGCCUUCUUGGCCGUUUCACACUUUCCGGCGAUAUGCUCGACGGAUCUGGAGUUCGAUGGAGGCCUCUACUUUGGUUCUGACCGGGGUGGAGCUGAGGUAGCAGGAGGAAGACGGAUCUCUGGAACGGCGGCGAGUCGGGUGAAGAGGAACUUCCGGGAUGUGUCGGCUCUUAUGGUUUGUUGGGUUUCGCCGGCGGUUGUUUUCAAGCUUGAUUCGUCGGAUCUCAACAUAGAGAUGGAGGUGCGUGGCUGUGUCUCUGUUCCCGUUUUCCAUAGAUCUGAUGGCUGGUGUCUCGGACUCGAAGAGAGAUGGGGCGUGGGUUAGAUGCCUAGAGAUUUUAUGGCGUGUGGAAAGGCUCUUGUCUCACCCUCGACAAGUGAACGUUGAGAGUCCUCCUUUUAAUGGCGUUCCCUGAGUUCAUAAGGAUGACGUGUGUCAGUUGAUUUGGCUCAGAUGUGGCGUGUGGCUGUGAUUCCUUCAGUCGAAGAGGGUCGUCUAUGGCCAUCUCGGAGGAAGGAAGAAUGGCGCUUCAUUGUGGACAUAUGGAGCUUCGUCAGCGGCAAGAAGGUUCUCCCAAGAGAUGCUGCUUCUCUGGUUCUCAGAAACAGAACAUGAGGAGGUUCAAGCUUCAUCGACUGGUCAACGAAGGAGUUUGGGUCUUGGUAGUUUCAUGUUUCAAAGUGUAACAUUCGCAGUGCCAAAGCAUUGUUCUUACCCGGCAGUUUCGCUUUGUCCCUUUUUGGUGGUGAUCUAAAUAGUCGUUGUUGCCAAAAUCUCAACCCGACUUUUGGGAUAUUCGGUAGUUCAUAACUACUGACCAUCCAUUUGCAAGGAUACAAAGCCUUAGUUUCAGGCCAGUUAGAGUUUCCACAUGGGAAAAUGCACCUCUCGGUGUUGUGGCGGUUGGUCAUGUGCUUCAUUCAAAUCAUAAGGCAUCAACUGCUCUGAGCGUAUUAAUGUGUUUCUCUUUGUGUUUUCUUUUAACUGUUUUUGAAAUAGCUUUGUAUUCUUGUUAUCAGUGGUAGAAUUUAGGUGGUUUAAAGGGCGGUUCAUACUGAGUCGUUGUGUGGAUUCGUCCCAUGUGGUUGCAAGAGUACAAAGGAGUAUCGAUUGGGUAGCAUAGGAUCCAUAGACGUGUUCCUAAGUGAUACUAGAUCACUCAUUUGUCUUGUGGUUGAAUCUUGUGUGAGGUCUAAUUUCAUUGUAAAACUCUUUAAUUAAUGAAAGUUGAAGCUAAGUCAAAAAAAAAAUUGUAUAGUAAUGAUUAAGAGAAGUAAAUAUAUUACGGACGUGUCCUUAUGAAAACAUCAUAGGAUAAAACGGAGAUGCCAAACGGGGGUUUAUCAAAAUGACGGUCCCUCACGUUUUGGAAUUUACUCAUUUUGUUUAACGAUGGAUUGUAAAUUUUGAAAAGACUUUUAGAAGAUGAGUGGACCACAAACAUGUCACUUCAGUUUCCAGCCCACACAGCCAGCCAUGAGACACCCUUGUCUUAAUAUGAAAUAAAUUAUUACAAAAUUCCAAAACUUCAAUUUAAUUGGUGGGUCCAAUUUGCCUUUCAAUCUUUGUAAAUCUCUCCAUUGAUUUGGUCCAAAUAAGAUGGGAUUCACAGCUUUUUUAUUUGUCGAGAACAAAUUCUCUAUUUUGGCCAAAACUAUUUCAAAUUCUUAGAGUCCUUAAAUAAUAUUUGAACAUUUCAUUGAUUGGUAGAGCAUUAACAUUAGCAGUAAUAAUUUGCUAUAGAAGCAGUACUAUAGAAGCAAUAUGCUGCAGAAGCUAUAUACUUUUGCUAAAUUAUUUAAUAGAAUGAUUGGUAGAGCAGUAUGAAUAUACUAUUUAAAAUUAUUAUAAAAAUUAGUAUAUAAUAUAUAAUAUAUUUAUUUUUAAUAAAUAUAUUUCUAAUGUAUAUAUAUAUAAAAAUAUAUAUUAACAUAUAAAAUUAAAAAGAUAUAUAAUAAAUAUAAAAUUAUUUUUAUAUCGAAAAUUAUUAUUUUAAAAUAAAUUUUAUAAUUAAAAUAUCUAUUUUUAAAAAUAAUAUUUCACAUUUAAAUAAAUUUAAUUUAAUAUAUUAUAUUAUAUUUUAAAUGUGAAAUACUAUUUUUAAAUAAAAAUUAUUGUAAAUUAAUUUUAGAAAUCAAAAUUUUAUUUUCUGGAUGUAAAAAUAAUUUUAUGAUAUUAUUAAAUAAAAUAAAUGAAUUAGUUAUAUAUUUUUCUUAAUUUUAUAAAUUAUAAAUGCAAAUGUUCUUCUAAAAACUUCAUAUCAGAGCAUUUGGAGAACACUAGCAUUUAGUAAAUACUUCUCUAAAUAUUUUUCUAACAAUUGUUGAUUGGAUAAUGUAGAGCAUAAUGCUAAUGCUAAUGCUCUACCAAUGAGGAGCUUAAAGCCAUGACUCGUUUCCCCGUUACCAUGAAAAAACACAGCUUUUGCGGUUGGUUGCGGUUGCAGGAGGGUAAAUAUUUUUUUUCUUUUUAAAAAAAUAAUAUAAAUACAAAAAUAAAAAUAAAAAUAAAAAUUUUAAAUUGAAUAAUAGAUAUACUAAAAUAUAUCUAUUAUAUUUUAAUUUUUAUUAUAAAUUAUUAAAAUAAAACAUUUUACACUUUUUAAUAAUUUUAAAAUAUAAUUUUACCAAUAUAAUUUUUAUAUUUAUUAUAUUAUUAUGUUAUUUAAUAUUUUUAUAAUUAUAUAAAAUGUAAAUAUUGUUAAUUUAUUAUUUAACUGCUGUUGUAUUUGGUGGUUUACCAGUCAUAAGUAUCCCGCAAACACACCAAUUUCUAACCGUAGUAACAGUCAUACAAAUAUCUUAAAACUGUUUAAAACCACAACCAUCCGCAUCCGCAAACUCCCGCAAUCGUAAGAAUUGUGGUUACACCAGUCAAGCCCUAAGACACCAUCAAACCAAACGUUACGUUUAAAAAGCGUAAAUACAUUAAAAUCAUAUCAUAUGAUUCUUUCUUGUGUUUGUAUUCGAGACAUUAAACUUGCAAGUUUUGGUGGUUUUGUUUAAGAAUGUCCACAUUGGGAGUCACUGGUAUACCGUAUACGAUAUUUGAUUAACUUCAUGUUUCUGUGGGUACAUUUUUGGUGAUAUAAUAGAUUCAUGACUUUUGAUCAUAUCUAUAACAAAUUUGAUAUAUAUCUUUCUUAUAAAUUUCUCUUAUCUUGCUGAUUUCUUGUUACAGCAUAUGAUUUUUACUAUACUUCCUUUAAACAUUCUUUAGGAAGACAUUUAAUUUAAGAAGCCUUUUCUUGAUGAUAACCGAGAAUUAGUACAUCAAAAAAGCAAGAAAACUAUAAAGCUAUUCGAUGAAGGCAACCCCAUAUUAGGGUUUCUUAUUAAUGAUUGUAAAUUAUAAUUUACAAGCUUUUAGAUCCAUAGUUAUAACGUUCAAGAAAAAAAUUAUUAUUUUGACCUAGAAUAAGUUUAUUAUACCGAACAAAAUUCAACCUUUAUUGAUAUAACGAGCUUUAAACACAAUUAAGAUUAAUUAGGUUUUACAUUAGUGUUUUAGAAGAAUAAUAACACUUACGUAUCAUAUGAAGAUGUUUUAAUAUAAAAAAACAAAAAUUUCAUACAAGUACAUCAAUUAAAUUUUGUAAAGCUUUUUAAUACACAAACCUUUUUGUUACCCACUUUAAUACCUCAACUAAUUAUUUACUUAUUUUAAUACAUAAACUUUUAAAUUGUGUUCAUUUUAAUACCUAAAUUUUGUUUAUUUUAAUCCGAAAUAUUAAUAAGUUUCAAACAAAUUUUAAAAAAUCUCUGAAAUCUAAGAAUUUUUUAAAAAAAUUUCCACUUUUAUUUUAAGUUGUAGGAAAGAAAGUAACUAAAUUAUGGAGAAAGAUAUAAAUUUAUAAAAACUUAAUUUCGAAGGGAAAGUAAAUAAAUUUGUUUUCUAUUUCCAAAAAUAAACCAAAUUUGAUAUUUAUUUAUUUUUGAGAAAGAACCAAAUUUGAUAUUUAUUUAUUUUUGAGAAAGAACCAAAUUUGAUAUUUAAAAUUCUUAUUAUAUAAUUUAAGAUUAUUCAUAAUUUAGUUACUUUUAUUUCUAAGACUUAAAAUAAAAUUAGAAUUUUGAGAUUGUUUUUGAAUUUUAGAGAUUUUUUAAAUUUUAUUUUAAACUUAUUAAUAUUUUUGAUUAAAAUAAACAUAUUUUGGAUAUUUAAAUCAACACCAUUUUAAAAGCUUGUGUAUUAACAAAAAAAUAGGUAUUAAAAAGCUUAGCAAAAUUUAGUUGGGGAUAUUUGUAUGGAAUUUUGCCUAAAAAUUUGCCAAAUAAUUUUUUUAUAAAUAUUAUAUCAAUACUCUUAAAACAGCAUCAUGACCAAUUGAUUAAUAUUGUGUCUAACUUAAAAAAUAAAUCAUAUAUUUUAGGGGGUGUUAGUGGGACUUAGAUUUCUAUAGAGUUUGUUGAUUUUAAAAGUUGAAAGAUUUGUUAAAUUUGGAAAGAGAUGUAGAGAAUUUUGUAUAUUGUGAAAAUCUAUGAAAAUAAAGUAAUGUAAUGAUUCUAAGAAUUCAAGGUAAACAUGUAGUAUUCUCAAAAUCUUAAUUUGUGAGUUAAAAUGAUAAGAAUUCAACUCUAAAUAACACUUACUUUAAUAGAUUUGUAGAAUCAUUAAAAUCUAAACUUUUUGAAUAACAAAUGAUUUUGUAUAGAGUUAUAGAAUCAUUAACCAAUAACAAUAGAUUUCAAUGAGAAUAUGAGAAUCUAUAAACCAAUAACACUAGACUUAGAAAUUCUAAGACUCAUUAUAAAUCUCAUCCCCACUAACACCCCCUUAUAAUUGUAGCCACCUUUAUUAAUCAAUACGUAACCUCCUAUCCAAAAUUCUUGGACCAUUUACAAUUGGUUACGUUUUCCCCUUUUGUCAAUAUUGAGUCCAAUUUUUUUUGUUUUGAAGUGAAUUCAGCCCAAACUAUUUUAUGCUAUUUAAUAAUUUUAACCUUUUAAUUGAUGAAUAUAACACGUUACUUCAUGUAAUUAAUUUACAUGUAAUUAAUUUAUGCAGUUACAUUAUUGACAUAUGAUUAAAAAAACAAAUAUUAAAAAUUAAAUUUGUAAAAAAGUUUAAAACAAAAAAUAUACCCGCCUUUUUAAGGGUAGGUCAGAAACUAGUAUUCUCUAUUAAAAGAGAAGUAUUAUUUUUAUCUAGUACAAAAUAGUCAUACUUAAAGUGUAGGUCCAUAUAUUCAAAUAAUAUUUUUAUUGUUUACAUAGUUUAUUUAAUGUAUAACAUUUCUAAAUAAUUAUAAGGAUAUUAAUAACAAAUCCAUUUUAAAUUAAAAGAGAAGUACCAUUUUUAUCUAAUACAAAAUAGUCAUACUAGAAGUCUAGGUCCAUAUAUUCAAAUAAUAUUUUUAUUGUUUACAUUAGUUUAUUUACUGUAUAACAUUUCUAAAUAAUUAUAAGGAUAUUAAUAACAAAUCCAUUUAAAUUUAAAUUUUAGUUUUAGGAAUAACAAAAUCUUUUGAGAAAAAAUCUAACAAAAUCUUUUAAAAUUUUUUAAUAUUCUUUUAAUUAAUGCACUGAUUAAUUUUGCAAUUAGUAGUAUAAUGUUAUUAUAAAUUAAUUUUAAUUGCAUUUUUAUUAUAAAUAAAAUAAUGAAACUAUUUGCUAAUUUUAUUAAUUUUAUAAGUAUAUUCUACAUUAUAUUAAAAUAGAAGUAAUUAAUGAAUUACGUAUGAAAAUUGUUUUUUGUGCAAACAUAUUAAAAUUAUGUUGAAUUGGUAAACCAAUAUAUUUUGAAAAAAAUAUUUUCAUUAAGAUAAAUAAAUAAAAUAUCAUUCACCGUUUAAAGUGACUAAAAUAUCAUUCACCUUUUAAAAUGAUUAAUAUUCAUAAAUUAUGUAAUAAUUUUUACAAAAAAAUAAAAUUGUUAACAUAUGUUAAAUUUUAAUAUUUAUAACUAUAUAUCAUCUAUUUAGUUAUUUUUAAAAUGACAGCAAUAUAUUAUCAUAAAUUAUUAUAUACAAAAUAAUAUAAAAUUUUAUAUUUAUAAAUGAAAUGUUAUCCGCACGGGUGUGCGGAUUAAAAUCUAGUUGUCCAAUAAUACUUACGUACACAUUUUAUCUACUAUCCAGUAACUGUAACAAGAAAAGCGGCAAAUCGAAGGUUGAAUGUGAUAUAAGUUACAAAGCCAAUGCCUCUCUAGGCUCCUUCAUGCGGACCCAACUCUUAGCUACACAACAACAUCCGACGAUGUGACUUCUACAUCUUUUAGCUGUGUCCUGUCUUUUUAUGAAAUGAACUUUUUUCAUCAUUUUAUAAAAAUAGAAACAAAAACGAAAAGAUAUCUCUUAUCUUUGAAAGUUUCCUCGAUGUAUAACCCAUAUAUACUUUCUUAACAUGUACUACUUAACUUUAGAUAAUCAUACGUUAGCUUUUCCAAAAAAAUUCUUUGAAUUAACCCAUCUUACCAAAAUGUUAAGCGCCACCAAAAGUAACAUUUCUUAUAUACCACAGAUUUAAAUCAAUAAUUGCUCCUGGAUAAAGAUGUAUGAGGAUAUUUUGUAUAGGCGCUGGUAGGUAGGUUGUUUGCUGCAAUACACGCUUGUGUGGUAGUUAGUUGUCAAUUUAAUAUUAGCUAGAGAGUAAAAUGGAACUGGACUCUACAUUAAAAAUGUUCACAUAUAUAUGUUGGUAGGGACGACAUAUAUCUUGGUUCAUUGUGUGCUUAAUGUAGCUUUUCAGGCAACUCAUUCCCUUUGUUACAUAUAAGUGUUAUAAAUGUGGUGGUGAGUUGCAUGUUUUAAGAAAAUCGGCUCAGUUAUGAUUUGAGACAAUUUGUUCGUUCAGUUUCGGCUUUGAGAGAUAAACAUCGUUAAACUAAAUAAUUUAAACAAUGGAAGUGCCUUGUCACAUUCUUAUUACCAGAUAAUAUAUACAUCAGCUCUAUUCAUACAAGUCACAUUAUUUGGUUUCCCUAUGUACAUAUCAAGCCCACAAAGCACAAUUAAGUGCAAAAAAACUUCCGUCAUUGCAGAAGAAAAAAGUCCACCAAAAAACAUUCAAUUUAAAAGGUAAAGUGAGCUAUAGCCAAAUAGCUAGGAUAUUCAGUAAUUCACACCCAAUGGUGAACUUGCAGCAGAUAGAGCAAGUGAAGCUCUCUUAACGAAUCUUCCUUUCAUUCGAGGUCGUUUCUCUGCAUUCAGUUUACGUACCUCGUACCUUAUCUUCUUUGAAAACAAUCUCGUCCUCCUCUUCUCUCUGUACCUCGAAACCCUAGCUUCUCUUCCUCCAUCCCCAAACCCACUUGAUGGUAAACAUCCACCAACGUAAUGCUUAUGAUGACUUUCUCCUCCAUUUAUUUCCUGGGAACACACAUUUUCAACUCUACUUUGUUAGGCAGGUCUUCAACAUAGCGAAAUGAAACAUUACCCUUGAGUUCCUAAAAUUUUUGAGUUAAUAUAUAUAUGAACAUAAACCUCUAAAUUAUUUUUAAAAUUUACUUAAUUAUUUAAAUCCUUCAAAAUCUCAAGGCCAUGUUGUUAGGUUACCACAUCUAACUUGGACCUAAUUAAAGUAAUAUAUAAGCACCAUGGACUAAUAUAUUCAUUUGACAUAUAAAGAAAACUCUUUUUGAUUCGUGACAAAAAAAGAACAGAAAAAAAAAAAAAACUCUUUUUGAUUUACAAAGAAUGAGUUUCUAUAACAUACCAUGGAAACAACUGGCUUGUCACUGAUGUCUAUGUCUCGUUCUGGUGGCUCUCUUGACAGCCACGGUUGACCUUGGCCUCCCCAAGUUGAUAUCACCGACUCGUAGUUUAAACUCAGCAUUAGAACAUUCUUUUGCUCUUCCUCCUCCACCUUAAUACAAUCAGCAUUCUUUAUCGCCUCUUCUUCGUAUGUGUUGUGUGAGUCGUGAUCAAACCUCAGCUCAAACGCCACAGUUCCAUCCCCAUCGCCCCGAUCCUCACCGCAGCAUAUUCCCAUGUUCAUGGCUUUUGUUUCUUCUCCUUCCUCUUCCUCUAUCUCGUCUUUUUCGAUUUUAAACAUCUCUGUAUUAGACAACCCUAGCUCCUCCAUCGCAUAGGACUCUGUGACGUCUAACCCGCGACCGAGUAGAAUCUCCACGUCAGCAGCGAACUCCUCAAGCUCCAUGUCGGUCGGGAAAAAACCAUUCAGACAACUUUCAGCGUUGUCUUCGUCCUCUUGAUCAUCGAUUGUAAUCAUAGGAAACUCGAUCUUUGGCUCAACGACAUCGUUUAAGAACUGCUCAGCCACCAUGGGAUCAAGAACCGGCACUUGACAGAUCAGCUGCUCUUCGAUCUCGUAGCUGUCCGUCUGAUCCUCUGCACUAAUCUCCGGAACCAAAUCAUGAAAUAUCGACAAAUUGUUUUUCUUACCAGACCCACGUGGAGUCCGAGGUUUACGAGUGAACCCUUGAUGCCACGUUGCAGCUUCAAGCGGUGGACAAGAAGCUGAGUGGUUGUGGCUGCUAUACUUUGUGGCCACGGGGCUGGCCGACUUCAAACGAACCCUCUCGUGCCGGCGAGCGAGAGGGUUCGCUGAGUGGACUAAAGUGUCGCAAGACUGGCAUAGAAAAGCAUCGUCAGCGGCGCAGUACCACCGUGCCCGCUUCUUCACACAGCUGUCGCAAGCUCUCGCCGUCUUGGCUCCAACAGCAUUCGCCAAAUUUUUCAUCUUUUUCACAAGCUCGAGAAACGAGAGAGCACGAGGGGGGGUUCAACUUCAAUAAUUGAAUAUUUUCUUCAAAUUAUUGCUCUCUGCAAAAAGUUAGAUAUAGUGUGUACUCUUAGGGGUAUAGUAUUGGGCAACGAGUGUUUGAGACUGAGAGGACAUUCCCCGCAUGUAGUGCGUUCUCAUUUGUCAGUGGAUUUUGAAGUAUUUUAAUGCACUUUUUGGGUGUUUAUGUCUUUAAUUGGGACCCACCUGAAGGCCUUAUCUGGAUUUUAAUUGGUUGAGUUCUGAAGAUGAUCCUUGUAAUAGGGUUUUGAUUGGUCUGCUUCUUUAUCCAAUGGAUUUCUUGUGUGGUCCAUUUUGUCGCUUUCCCUCAAUUUUUUCCUUUCUCUUAUUCGGUUUCGUUUAUUGAAGACUUUUUGUGGUUUUUGUUAUUUCAUUCUUUUCUGGUAGGAAAGAUUUCGGCCGGGUUGUAAAUAUUCUCAACUACAAAAAAAUGAAUGAAAAGUUACUAUACACGAGACACUUAUAAAAUAUUAAUAUGCAAAAUAGAUAGUUCUUUGGAACACUUGCAAAUAAAAACUUUUUAUUGUGAAGUAAAAGAAAAACCGACACCUUUACCAAAAAAAGAAAGAAAUAGCAAAUAUCAAAAAAGACCCCCUGUUUUGGUCAGUACAAACUUGUUAAAGAUACCACAUUCAAAAUUAUCACUAGCUUUGAGCACUGGAACCAUACACGUACCUUUGAACAUAUGUGUGAUAUUUUUGGAAGACUCUGCGGUUAUAACAUCCCAUGCAAUUUACACUAGAAAUUAGCCACGAUCAUGGCUACAAAUUUUUGUGACCAAGUAUUUCUGUCACUGUAUAGCCAAGGGAAAAUUUUCAAAAUAGUUGGGAAAAUCUUGGCGAGUCCAUAAACAAUAUAUGGUUUGCAAAAGUCUCUUUGGUCUUUGUCCACCGAUUUGAUUUAUGAAACAAUUAUGAAUCUAUAUCAGAAAAUAUGUCCAUGAGAUCUAUAACUAUUUAUAUAGGUGAAAAUAAUAUAUCUUUUUGAAAAAAAUGGCGUAAUUCAAGUAAAAGUUUUAGAUGUGAAUUUUUAUAAAACAGUAUAAUAUAGUUCAUGUGAAAUUAUCAGAUGUGGAUCUUCGUAGAGUAGUAUAAUUGUUUGUAGUAAAAUUCAUAAAUCAAUAUAAAGAGCAAUCAAAGUCUUUCUUGGAAGCUAAAAUGAUAGGGAUGGCAUUCGAUAGACCACAAAAUACAGCAACGAAGUAUCCGUUGUCCAAUUAUUCUACAUAUUUACCAGUGACCACAGAGCAUUUGUGGCCUUAAUGUGACAAAUCUAACAGGUUUAAAUGGAUUUGGUAUCUAGCCCAAAGAUAUGUGGGCUGAUAUUGUUAAAGGAUCUCGAAACAAACUGUAAUAAUAAAAUCUAAAUGGAGGCCCAUACUUUAACCCCAAGAAACCCUUACCAUAUCCUUGCAAAAGUUGCAGAACUCACUUUGGUUCGACCGUUAAUUUUAGUUGUUACGAGAAAAUGAUUAUUAGUCAUCCAAAUUUCAAUGGUAGGAGAGUCUGCUUGCAGUUUCUGUAUGUUUCACUCCACAAAUCUAGGACGAACUGAACAUAAUUUGUACUCAAGAUUUGUAUAAUUAAGACAGUUCGUGUACCCUAGAGUUUAAGUGGCUAGAAGCAAAAGCAAAAAAAAUGACCGCUUGAUGAGGAUCAAACCCAGGUUUACGUUUUACCUAGACAUAGAACUUGAUGUUAUACCACUAGACUAAGGCAAUUUUUUGGAAAAAUGUGGCCGAAUUUUAAUGAUAAAUAUGUCGGCUGGAAGCAGUUGCUUCUUUUGUGGCCCAAGGGCCGGCCCUGCGUGUACCACUCAUCGGUGAGAGACACGGUGGUGAUUUACUGUUUAUGUUCGUUAAACCCAUCAUAAUGAGAUCUGAGAAGUGCAUGUUUAGGUGGAGUCCUAGCUACUUGAGAUAUAGUUAACCCUAUUGAAUUCAUGUAGAAAAUCUUCAUUCAUUACGCAUUUUCGAGUGGUAUAUUUGAUUUCUUAUUUGGUGGAUUUGUUUUAAGGCGUAAAACCAAAGAUGUUGGUAGGACAGGAACUUCUCAUUAACAAUUUGUUCCUCUUUAAUUUUUUCUUAGUUCUUUGAAAAAACUUCACCGUUAAAAUUUUGAAUUAUACCUUCCAUAUUACGCUUUGAUAAUAUAUACUGAUCCCCAGAUUUUAUCAGGGGUAAAAAUUGGGAUGUGUAAGGAUGGAGAGGUGUUGAUAAAACAGCAAAGAAUCUAACGACUUUAAGAAUAAAGAGGUGUGGGUAAAAUAUAGCACUGGGGAGAGCGUAGAGGCAACAACUAACCACAUGAAUAGACUACAGUUUCACGUAUAACCAACAUAUUGUUUGCAUUCAGUUAUUGCCGAAAUAAAAGAACGGCCAGUGUUAUAUUGCAGUUAUCUUUCCCAAUCCAAUUAUGGCGAGACUGACAACGCAUCUCUCUUACCACUUCCACAAGUCUCAUUCAUUUAUUUCUAGGGAUGACAAUGCAUGUUAGGUCUGUUCCGGAAUGCACUAAAAAUAUGUGUGCAUCGUGACUGAUUGGUCCGCCAAAUACACAUUGAAGACUUGAAGUGAGGAGAAUUCAAAAACACACACAUGUGUUGAGACACUGAUAGUACCUCUCAUUUUUUUUUUCACAAAUCAAAAUUCAUUGCAAUGAAAAGUACCUCUCAUCAAAUAAAUUUGAUAGAGUCUAAUAGGAAACGAGCUAGCUAAUAUAUGGUCUAAACAAUAUCUUCAUCGAAUAUUGAAGUAAUCUUGUAGAUCUUUUGCUACAGCACUUAGGUUUUUAAAAUCUCAAUUUUUACUCCUAUUUUUGUGAUUGUAAAACUUCUCAGGUCAGUCCAUAGACAUACCUACAUAGACAUAUCAAUUCUUAAUAAUACUGGUUUAGCAAAUGCAUAAACGGUCGGAAUUUCCUAGCCAUACAAGAAAAUGAAAAUGGGUCUGGAGACUUGUUUGCUUCUGUGCUUUAAGACGUUAAUGUGCUAAAUAUUUUUAGUAAACUUGUUUAACCCGUGCCAUUCGUGUAACCAAUUACGUAUUUGACUAUUUGUACGAUCAAAAGGUAUAUAAAAGAAAACAGACAGAAAUUAAAACUAAAGAAAACGAUUCACCACUUUAAGGUUCUCACCAGAAUUUCCGUGCACAAAGUUAAAUUGGAUUUUAGUAGGCUGUCAAGUCUAUCAACUGUACAACCACAUGGCCUGGCCCCCUAUUGAACUCCCCCCCUAUUACCUAAUACUAUUGAUUACAUAGCUUUUAUUGGUCAAACCCAAAAAACUUUUAUUUUUCUUUUGCUUGCUCUGUUCUGUUUAAUUUUUCUUUUGUUAGCUCAGGCCUCAGGUAUAUAAGCACAUUCAAGGCAACGUUAAGAGAAAGAGAAGUAUUAUUUCAAAUUUCUAAAAAAGAAGAGAAAAGUAGCAUUUGAUACAUCACAAAUAACAUAUCACGAGAAUCUAAAAAGAAAUAAGAAAAAGAAAUACUUCAAAUGAAAAAAUAGAGAUGUAAAAAUAUACGCAGAUAUGAACAUUUUUAUGGUAUUCGUAUCGUCUUUUUCACUUUUCUCUAUCAUAUUCCAACCUUAUUGAAACGUAUCACCGAAAAGAGAGAGAGGCAUGCUCAUAGUUUGACAACUUCAGGGAUAAAGACAGGGUAUCGGUCGAUACAAUCCGACCAUGGUCCCUCCGUUGGUGUCUUGAUCGUACGAUUAGAUUUCCACACGGCUGAGUUACACUUGAAUCCACUCCCGAACGCGAUCUGCCAAACCCUGUCGCCUCUCUUCAUCUUCCCUUUAGCCUCGAUGUAGCUAAGCUCAUACCACAACGAAGACGAAGAUGUGUUACCAAACCUAUGUAACGUCAUUCUCGAGGCUUCCACGUGCUCUGCCGAUAGCUGUAGGUUCUUCUGCAGCUCGUCGAUUACUGCUCUACCUCCAGCGUGGAUGCAGAAAUGUUCGAAAGCCAUCUUGAAAUCUGGUAUGUACGGCUUCCACUUUGCAUUAAAGAUUUUACGUCCGAUGAGAGACGUGAGGAAGAGCAGCUGUUCGGAUGCCGGUAGGACCAAAGGACCUAUUCAUCCAGUACUUGUGUUAAUUCAAGAAGAAGAAAAACAUGAUCAUAGUGAUAUAAAGUCAUUAACUCUUAGACAAAUUAUUAUACAACAAUUUAAAAUUUACGAUAUAAACUAAGCCGCAACUGUGUUUUUGGUCCUGAUGAGUGACCACUGUGUUUGUGUCAGAGUCUAGCAGGUGUAUAUAUAUAUUUCAUAUGAACUCUUAAACAUUUUAAAGCAGAAUUUGUUCCAUUUAUAUUUGCGUUUUGCACAAAUAUUUUUUCUUGAAAAACUGAAAAUAUUUAUUCCUAAAGAGGUGAAUUAAAUGCACUAAGUGUUGGCCCAAUCCAACUCUUAUAGUUAUGAUACUCCAUCGGUUUAUAAUGUAUGAUGUUAUGGGUAAUACAAAAAAAGUUAAAUGUUUUUUUGUUCAAAAGCAUUUUUAAAAUAAAAAAAAAUUAUUUAACUAUUUUAUAAAAAUGAUUGUAAAAUAUAAAGUUAAAAUUAAGAUGUUAAAAUAUUUUACAUUUUAAAAUAAUAGAAAUCUUCUAAAAGUAUCCUGAAACUAUUAUAUCGUUAGGAAUGAAAAGAAAAUCAUGUAAACAAAGCAUAUUGUAAUAAGGAUUUUGAGUUACCUAUGGUGGUGAUGUUAGACUUCAAGGCUUCUCCAGCGAUGGCCAUGAGAUCUUUAUUCAAGUUGAUUCCGACGUGACUUUCAUCGUCUUCCUGCUGGUAAACGCAAUAGUACGACUUGUCUUCCGCACCCCGGUGGGUCCUGACAAGGUGACAGAGCUUAUACUUAGCUCUCCACCUGUCUGAUCUGCGGUUAGAGAGAAGAAUAGCCGCUGCUCCCAUGCGGAAAAGGCAGUUUGGGAGCAACAUAGCUCUCUCUUUGCCCUGGUAGUAAUUAGGAGUAAUGAUCUCAGUGCUAACUAUCACAGCGUUGGAGUUAGGAUGAACUUGUAACAAGUCACGUGCUACAUCAACAGAGAUAAGACUAGCGCUGCAUCCCAUCC
rnacentral:lncRNA from 1 species